UGGUUCUGGACUAGUAGCUGCAUCAGGGUAUUCUGCUGCUGGAUCAACUGAGUGAGCUCCGGUGGGAAAGCAAAUCCAUUGUCACGUCUCAGAGGCAUCUGAUGGGUUUGGAAAAGAUGAGAAAAUAGAAUAGAAUGAGAUCUAGAGGGAAAACACUACCCAUAUGCACAUGAGACAAACACAAACAUAUCACUUCAAUCAAUUCAAACAAGGGCAUACAAUCGGUCUAACUAUCGUUACAAAAGUGCUCAGACUAUACUAUAUAUAUGGGGGGAUACUACUACUGAUAUGGUGGUCAACUAGAAAAUUUGAUCGGUGGAUGACUCCAUAAUAUCUGCUCCAGCUUCAUCAACAUAGUCGUCGUCGCUAUCGUCGGGGUCUGAGUCGGUGUCGUCGAUGAUGAUGUAGUUCUCCGGGCAAGUGGAAUCGUCGUCUUCUCCUCCUGGCGCGGGGUCUCCCAUGAAUACACCUAGCUUCCUCGUCAAAUCAUCAUUCUUCUCCACGAGUAUCGUCAUUUCCUCCUCAUAUCCAUCGCGUGUAGACUUGAGUUCUUCCUCCAGCUCCGUGAUCCUGGUCAUUGCCUUCUUCAGAUCUAUCAUGCCUGCACACAUCUGGUUCUCCUAGCGUCGAAUGUGCUAGUUUAACUCCUGGAUGAAUGUUGCAACGGAUCUAUCCCUCCUGGUGCUGAUCAUCUCCCAUUGCUCAUCUCGGUGCCCACAAAUCUGAUAGAUAGUCUCCUUGAGAUCUUUGUGAUAAACUUCUCCAAUGCGUCCCAUGAUGAUGUGGGCUGCCAUGCUCUUUCCUAAACUCCAGGUUGGUGCAUCAAAGGAAAACUCUAUGGGCUCAGUGACUGGCAUGAACGUCCUUCCUGGAACUUGAACUCGAAUCAUCCAACGCUCCUCUUCUGGUAAAGUGGCGAUGUAGGUUCCGAUGAAUCUUGGUAUUCCGAUGUUCAGGUACCUAGUAACCUCCUUCAAGUGUCGUCCAAAAGAUGUAUCUUCAUCCGGUUGGGUGAACUUGCUCCUUGCAUCCGCCAUCCAAUAGAGUAGAAAAGGGAGAGGAGUUAUAAAUGAGAAGAGAGUAGUGAUCUAGGGCUUUAGCUUAGUGACCAUGUCCUAUAGUCAAUGUGUGCUCUGAUACCAUCUUGUAGCGACCAGACCUCAAAUAGUCCGAUCUCUGUGCAUUAGUGUCAUCCCUGGAUUGGUAAUGCUGACACACAUAGUACUCAAGGAUUUAUAACAGAGUAGCAAUCACACACUUAUUACAUCGAAUGUCUCAAAAGAGAACUUAUUACAAUAAUAUGGCUUAAGCCAUCUAAAAACGAUAACAACGAAAGGCUUGGAAGAUAAAGUGAGUCCAUCAACUCCAACAGCAUAGCUGAGUAAAAGACAACGACCUAUGGCACCUUACUCGUCGUCUGAAAAGUCUGCAACAUGAAAUGUUGCAGCCCGAAACGGGUCAACACAUGGAAUAUGCUGGCAAUGUAACACAUAGAGUAAUGCACAAAAUAAAUGCUAUCACUACGUGCAUAUAUGGCUGGUGGAAAGCUCUAUGGUUACAGUUUAGCAUAAAGCCAAUUUUUCCCUACAACAAAGGAAUAAAUUUUAUUUAACUAUCAUGGUGGUUGCUAAACAUUGAGAAGGUUCCUCCAACUCAAUCCCAAUUAAGCAUCAUCAUUAACCAAAUCAAAUUAAAUUUAGAGUGAUGAGAUCAACAUGAUAAUCCAAGAACCAGAUACUCAAAACGUCCAUAACCGGGGACACGGCCAACCAUGAUUAGUUUGUACACUCUGCAAAGGUUUGUGCACUUUUACCCACAAGACUCGAACACAUACAUGGUCGUAGAAUUGAGACACAGUCUUUCUGAAACAAUAACUCUUUACUCUGGGUGGAAAGUUACACCUACUUUCCCCUACAUCUGCUAGUCCACCACUGAAAGAGGUCUUGCAACAUACUCAACUAUGCUAGAUCCCAUAAUAGCUUGUGGUUGCACACGGAAGUUUCUAGCAUGAAUAAUCUUAUGAUCCCUUUGAGCCUGGGUGCCGGACCGUAGGAUGAUCACACGGGUACUCCGAGAUAUCCUUGGACAACACUGGAUUCUCCAGGUGCCCUGACAACCACUGGGUACUCCAGGGUGCCUCAAGCAAUCCACCCAGAUGUGUAUUAAAGUAGCCACCUUAAGUUAACCAUUAAGUAAUAGCAACACUCACAUCUGUCAUGGAUCACUCAAACCAAACCACGUCUAUGAGCAUAGCAUUGCAGUAUAAACAUAGCGUAGAAGUAACUCCCAAAGGUUUGAUAAUAAACAGGGCGAUAGGUUCUAGCUCAUCAUCUACUUCCCAAAACCCACAUGUUAACAGAUCCUAAGCAUGAAAUUGUUUGAGGGUUGAUCUAAUGCAGUAAAACUGGGUAGUAAAGAGGUAUGAUCAAAGUGUUACUUGCCUUGCUGAUGAUCCGUGAAACCUAGAGACUCGUAGUAGCACGCUUCGCACUCCGGGUACUCUAUCGCAAACAAACAAGCAUACAAUAAGCACUCAACUAAAAGCAUGGGUAAAACUCAAAUAAAAGACCUAACCAGAAAGUUCAAUUUAAGAACUCCGGUUUGCAAAAGAAAUCAAAUCAAACACAGCAACGAAACUCAAACUAAGAAAGAAACAAGAUCCAUUUACUAAUCUGGACUAAAGUCAAAUUUUACAGUACUAAAAUCUUGUUCAAGUUGGUUAAUUAGAAAAAGGGCUUCGAGACAAAGAUCUGGGCGCUUGAAUUGCCUGAUUCCGAUAAACGAGCGAAAAGAUAAACUAAAACAAAAAUCAGGGCAGAAAUCACGAUCGGAAAUAAUCGCAAAAAAACCCUGGAAAAAGAAAAACUGACGAAUAGACUAAUGAACGAACCUUCGCUAUCUGCGGCUAACGGGUGAACACCAUUCGUUAAAACGAACGUACGGACGAACGUCCACUAUUAAACUAAAAUGAAAAAAACCGAUCUAUAAAAAACGAAUCUAGGUUUCUAAAAAAACGCGUGGUUUUCUAAAUAACCAAAACGGCCGCGGAGACGGUUUCUACCUCCGGCGAGGUUCUGCUGCAACGGCGGGACUCCGGGGUGGUGGAGCUCCGGCAGGCGGCGGCGCCGUCGGGUGGAGGGGCGGGGUGGAGAGGAGGCGGCGGGGGCGGCGAUAUUAAAGAGGGGGCGAGGAUGGCGGCGACUUGAGCNNNNNNNNNNNNNNNNNNNNNNNNNNNNNNNNNNNNNNNNNNNNNNNNNNNNNNNNNNNNNNNNNNNNNNNNNNNNNNNNNNNNNNNNNNNNNNNNNNNNUGGACUCAACAUUAGUCAUAAAGAACUCAUAUAGUUAUUGCAAAAAAUCUACAAGUCAUGAAAAACAAAGUACUACACGCAUUCUCCUAGGGGGAUAGAUUGGUAGGAAAAGACCAUCGCUCGUCCCCGACCGCCACUCAUAAGGAAGACAAUCAAUAAAUAACAUUGUGCUCCAACUUCAUCACAAAGCGGUUCACCAUACGUGCAUGCUACGGGAAUCACAAACUUCAACACAAGUAUUCUUUAAAUUCAUAAUCACCCAACUAGCAUGACUCUAAUAUUACCAUCCUAAUGUCUCAAAACAAUUAUCAAGCAUCAAAUAGAUCAUAGCAUCCAAUUCACUUUCUAUGAUAGUUUUUAUUAUACCCAACUUGGAUGCCCAUCAUUGUAGGACCAAUUUUAUAACCAUAGAAAAUACCAUGCUGUUCUAAGAGACUCUCAAAAUAAUAUAAGUGAAGCAUGAGAGAUUAAAAAUUUCUACAAAAUUAAGCCACCGCCGUGCUCUAAAAGAUAUAAGUGAAGCACUAGAGCAAAAUUAUCUAGCUCAAAAUAUAUAAGUGAAGCACAUAGCGUACUUUAAUAAAUUCCAAUCAAGUGGGUUUCUCCCAAAAGGUGUGUAUAGCAAGGAUGAUUGUCGCAAACUAAAAAGCAAAUACUAAUAUCAUACAAUACGCUCCAAGCAAAACACAUAUCAUGUGGCGAAUAAAAAUAUAGCUCCAAGUAAAGUUACCGAUAGAUGAAGACGAAAGAGGGGAUGCCUUCCGGGGCAUCCCCAAGCUUAGGAUUUUGGCUAUUCUUGAAUAUCUUGGGGUGCCUUGAGCAUCCCCAAGCUUAGGUGCCACUCCUUAUUCCAUAGUACAUCAAAUCUUUACCCAAAACUUGAAAACUUCACAACACAAAGCUCAACAGGAAAUCUCAUAAGCUCCAUUAGUGAAAGAAAGAAAAACCACCAUAUAAGGUACUGUAAUGAACUCAUUAUUUAUUUAUAUUGGUGUUAAACCUACUGUAUUCCAGCUUCUCUAUGGUUCAUACCCCUACAUACUAGCCAUAGAUGCACUAAAAUAAGGAAACAACACACGAGAAACAGAAUCUGUCAAAAACAGAACAGUCUAUAGCAAUCUGUAACUCUAGAAUACUUAUGGAACUCUAAAAAUCCUACGAAAAUAGGAAGUCCUGGGAAAUUUAUCUAUUGAUCUACAGCAAAAAGAACCAACACAAAAUCACGUUUCUGUGAAUUACCAAAAUUAUUUUUGUGCGCGCAAAGUUUCUGUUUGUCAGCGGAAUCAAAUUAACUAUCACCGUAGGUUAUCCUAUAGGUUCUACUUGGCACAAACACUAAUUAAAACAUUAAAACACAUCUAAACAGAAGGUAGAUGAAUUUUUUUUAUUAAACAUAAGCAAAAACAAAAAAACUAUAUUAAAAUUGGGUUGCCUCCCAACUAGCGCUAUUGUUUAACGCCCGUAGCUAGGCAUAAAAGCGAGGAUAGAUCUAAGUAGUGCCAUCUUUGGCACUCAAUUCAUAAGUAGCUCGCAUGAUUGAUUCAUAAGGUAAUUCGACUUUCUUUCUUGGAAAGUUCUCCAUGCAUUUCCUUAAUGGAAAUUGGAAUCUAAUAUUCCCUUCCUUCAUAUCAAUAAUCGCACCAAUUGUUCUAAGGAAAGGUCUACCAAGAAUAAUAGGACAUGAAAGAUUGCAAUCUAUAUCAAGAACGAUAAAAUCUACGGGCACCAAAUUCCUAUUUGCAACAAUAAGAACAUCAUUGAUCCUUCCCAUAGGCCUUUUAAUGGUGGAAUCUGCAAGGUGCAAAUUUAAAGAGCAAUCAUCAAGAUCAUGGAAACCUAGAAUAUCACAUAAAGUUUUCAGAAUCGUGGAAACACUAGCACCCAAAUCACAUAAAGCAUAGCACUCAUGAUCUUUAUAUUUAAUCUUUAUAGUAGGUUCCGACUCAUCAUUAAGUUUUCUAGGUAUAGAAACUUCCAAAUUAAGUUUUUCAUCAUAAGAUUGCAUCAAGGCAUCAACAAUAUGUUUGGUAAAGGCUUUAUUUUGACUAUAAGCAUGAGGAGAAUUCAACAUGGAUUGCAACAAGGAAAUACAACCUUCUAAAGAACAAUUAUCAUAAUUAAAUUCCUUGAAAUCCAAGAUAGUGGGUUCAACGCUAUUUAAAGUCUUGACCUCUCCAAUCCCACUUUUACCAAAUUUAGCCUCAAGAUCUAAGAACUCCGAAUCAAUGGAACGCCUUUUAACUAAAGUUGAAUCAUCUCCAGUCCCAUCAUUACUAAGAUUCAUAUUGCAAAAAUAUAUUUAAUAGGGGACACAUAAAUAACUUUUAGAUCUUCUUCAUUAUUUUCAUGGAAACUAGAAGAACACGCUUUUACAAAGCAAUCUUUCUUAGCACGCAAUCUAGCGGUUCUUUCUUUGCACUCAUCAAUGGAAAUUCUCAUAGCUUUGAGAGACUCAUUGCUAUCAUGCUUAGGAGGAGUAGAUCUAAGUUUCAAAUAAUCAACAUCAAGCGAAAGUCUAUCAAUGUUCCUAGCCAAAUCAUCAACUUUAAGCAAUUUUUCUUCAAGCAAGGUAUUAAAAUACUUUUGAGAGAUCAUAAAUCCUUUCACGCUAUUCUCAAAAUCAGAGGGCAUCUUAUUAAAAUUUCCAUAAGCAUUAUUGUAGGAAUUUCCAUAAUUAUUAGAGGAAUUACAAGGGAACGGUCUGGGAUUAAAGUUUCCUCUAUAAGCAUUGUUACCAAAAUUAUUCCUACCAACAAAAUUUACAUCCAUAGAUUCAUUAUUAGUCUCAAUCAAAGUAGACAAAGGCAUAUCAUUGGGAUCAAUAGAAGCACUCUUAGUAGCAAACAAUUUGAUAAGUUCAUCCAUCUUUCCACUCAAAACAUUAAUUUCUUAUAUAGCAUGCACUUUUUUACUUGUAGAUCUUUCGGUGUGCCAUUGAGAAUAAUUAGCCAUAAUAUUAUCAAGCAGUUUAGUAGCUUCUCCUAAGGUGAUUUCCAAAAAAGUGCCUCCUGCGGCCGAAUCUAAAAGAUUUCUAGAAGCAAAAUUCAAGCCGGCAUAAAUUUUUUUUAUGAGUAUCCAUAAAUUCAAACCAUGAGUAGGGCAAUUGCGACUCAUCAAUUUCAUUCUUUCCCAAGAUUGGGCAACAUGCUCAUGAUCAAGUUGUUUAAAAUUCAUAAUAUCGUUCCUAAGAGAGAUGAUCUUAGCGGGAGGAAAACUCUUAGAGAUAAAAGCAUAUUUGCACUUAUUCCAUGAAUCAUAGGCAAAGACGAAAACCAAACUUUAGCACGAUCUCUAAGUGAAAAUGGAAAUAGCUUCAAUUUAACAAUAUCAUUAUCCCUAUCUUUCUUCUUUUGCAUCUCACACAAAUCAACAAAGUUGUCUAGAUGGGUAGCGGCAUCUUCACUAGGAAGUCCGGAGAAUUGAUCUUUCAUAACAAGAUUCAACAAAGCAGCAUUGAUUUCACAAGACUCAACAUCAUUAAGAGGAGCAAUUGGAGUACUAAGGAAAUCAUUAUUAUUGGUAUUGGAAAAGUCACACAACUUGGUAUAUCUUGCGCCAUCGCGACAAGCAAUCCAACACACAAGCAAACAAAAAGGAAAGCAAAAGAGAGAGGAGAUUGGGAAAGAGAGGGCAAAUAAAACGGCAAGGGUGAAGUCGGGGAGAGGAAAACGAGAGGCAAAUGGCAAAUAACGUAAUGCGAGGGAGAUAGGUUUGUGAUGGGUACUUAGUAUGUAUUGACUUGAGUGAAGACCUCCCCGGCAACGGCGCCAGAAAUACUUCUUGCUACGUCUUGAGCUUGUGUUGGUUUUCCUUGAAGAGGAAAGGGUGAUGCAGCAAUAGUAGUGUCAGUAUUUCCCUAAGUUUUUGAGAACCAAGGUAUCAAUCCAGUAGGAGGCUCCUCAAAAGUCCCACGCACCUACACAAACCAACAAGAACUCGCAACCAACGCAGUAAAGGGGUUGUCAAUCCCUUCAAGGCCACUUGCGAAAGUGAGAUCUGAUAGAGAUAAUAUGAUAAGAUAAAUGUAUUUUUGGUAUUUUUAUGAUAUAGAUUGGAAAAGUAAAGAUGCAAAUAAAAGUAGAUUGAAAGCUUAUAUGAUAAGAGAUAGACCCGGGGGCCAUAUGUUUCACUAGUGGCUUGUCUCAAGAUAGCAUAAGUAUUACGGUGGGUGAACAAAUUACUGCUGAGCAAUUGAUAGAAAAGCGAAUAAUUAUGAGAUUAUCUACGCAUGAUCAUGUAUAUAGGCAUCACGUCCAUGACAAGUAGACCGAAACGAUUCUGCAUCUACUACUAUUACUCCACACAUCGACCGCUAUCCAGCAUGCAUCUAGAGUAUUAAGUUCAUAAAGAACAGAGUAACGCAUUAAGAAAGAUGACAUGAUGUAGAGGGAUAAACUCAUGCAAUAUGAUAUAAACCCCAUCUUUUUAUCCUCGAUGGCAACAAUACAAUACGUGCCUUGCUGCCCCUGCUGUCACUGGGAAAGGACACCGCAAGAUUGAACCCAAAGCUAAGCGCUUCUCCCAUUGCAAGAAAGAUCAAUCUUGUAGGCCAAACCAAACUGAUAAUUCGAAGUGACUUGCAAAGAUAACUUAAUCACACAUAAAAGAAUUCAGAGGAGAUUCAAAUAUUUCUCAUAGAUAAACUUGAUCAUAAACCCACAAUUCAUCGGAUCUCGACAAACACACUGCAAAAAGAGUUACAUCGAAUAGAUCUCCAAGAAGAUCGAGGAGAACUUUGUAUUGAGAUUCAAAGAGAGAGAAGAAGCCAUCUUGCUAAUAACUAUGGACCCGAAGGUCUGUGGUAAACUACUAACAACUCAUCAGAAGGGCUAUGGUGUUGAUGUAGAAGCCCUCCGUGAUCGAUUCCCCCUCCAGCGGCGGUGGAAAUAGUUUUUCGUGGUCGCUUCUGAUGUUUUCGGGGUACAUGGGUAUAUAUAGGAGGAAGAAGUAGGUCGGUGGACGCUCGAGGAGCCCACGAGGGUGGGGGGCGCACCCAGCUCUCGUGGCUGCCUCCCUUGUUUCUUGACUUCCACUCCAAGUCCUCUGGAUCACGUUUGUUCCAAAAAGAUCGCUCCCGAAGGUUUCAUUCUGUUUGGACUCCGUUUGAUAUUCCUUUUCUUCGAAACACCGAAAUAGGCAAAAAAACAAUUUGGGCUCGGCCUCUGUUUAGUAGGUUAGUCCCAAAAAUGAUAUAAAAGUGUAAAGUAAAGCCCAUAAACAUCCAAAACGGGUAAUAUAAUAGCAUGGAACAAGCAAAAAUUAUAGAUACGUUGGAGACGUAUCAGCAGUCAUCACCUGCCACAGUUUCUGCGUGUUCCAGGUAUUAGCAGGAUACCGAACGAUGCCCCAUCGAGAUUGCAAAACACCAAAGGCAUGCUCGACAUCAUUCCUAGCACUCUCUUGCUCUUGGGCAAAUCUUUUCCUCUUCUCUCCGACAAGGUUGGGUAUUGUCUUGACAAUAGUGGUCCACUGAGGAUAGGUACUGUCACCCAGGUAGUAUCCUUUGUCAUAGUUGUGGCCGUUGACAGUAAAGUUAAUCGGUGGGCUGUUGCCUUCGGCAAGCCUAGCAAACACCGGUGAGCACUGAAGCACGUUGAUAUCAUUGUGUGAUCUAGCCAUGCCAAAGAAAGAGUGCCAGAUCCAGAGAUCUUGAGACACCACGGCCUCUAGUAUGACAGUGCAAGCCCUGACAUGUCCCUUAUACUGCCUUUGCCAAGCAGAAGGACAGUUCUUCCACUCCCAGUGCAUGCAGGCUAUGCUGCCAAGCAUCCCUGGGAAGCCCCUUCGGGCAUUCAUCGCCAACAAACGGGUUGUAUCUUCAGCUGUCGGCUCCCUCAAGUACUCAGGGCCAAACACAACAAUAACAAGCUUGCAGAACUUAUACAUGGACUCUAGGCAUGUAGACUCACUCAUACGGAUGUACUCGUCAAUAAGAUCACCGGGCACUCUGUAUGCAAGCAUUCGGAUGGCGGCAGUGCAUUUCUGAUAAGAGGAGAAACCGAUCUUGCCGAUGGCAUCCUCUUUGCACUCGGAAUAGUCAUCAUAGCCGACCAUCCCCUCUCUAAUACGGUUGAAAAGAUGCCUACUCAUACGGAAACGGCGGCGGAAUUUUUGAUGUUUGAACAACGAGUUUGUUGUAUCAAAGUAGUCCUUCCAAAGAAGGAAAUGCCCGCUCUCUCGGUUGUGAUUCAACGCCAGAAGGUGGCCCGGAAUGGAGCCACAGAACAAUGGCUGCUGGCUGUUGAGGUGGUGAUGGACCAACAUGGCAGCCAAUAUCUCCUCCUUGUCGUCGGACGACGAAUCGUCGGAGUCGCAAAGGAAAUUGUGGAAAAAGAACUUGUCGGCGGAGUCCAUUUCGUACCUUGGCAAACUGUCGAACCGCUUGUGGGCAUCGAAUAAGGAGACGGCCGACGAGGGGAGUCGCGCCGCGCAUGGAUCAGCUAGCUGCCAUGCCGGCGUCUGCUACGUCUUGAGCUUGCAUUGGUUUUCCUUAAAGAGGAAAUGGUGAUGCAGCACAGUAGCGUAAGUAUUUCGCUCAGCUUUUGAGAACCAAGGUAUCAAUCCAGUAGGAGGCUCCUCACAAGUCCCACGAACCUACACAAACAAACAAAGAACUCGCAACCAACGCGAUAAAGGGGUUGUCAAUCCCUUCACGGCCACUUGCGAAAGUGAGAUCUAAAAGAGAUAAUAUGAUGAGAUAAAUAUAUUUUUGGUAUUUUAGAAUAUAGAUGCAGAAAACAAAGAUGCAAAUAAAAGUAGAUUGAAAGCUUAUAUGAUAAAGGAUAGACCCGGGGGCCAUAGAUUUAACUAGAGGCUUCUCCCAAGAUAGCAUAAGUACUGCGGUGGGUGAACAAAUUACUGUCGAGCAAUUGAUAGAAAAGAGAAUAAUUAUGAGAUUAUCUAGGCAUGAUCAUGUAUAUAGGCAUCACGUCCAUGACAAGUAGACCGACUCCUGCCUGCAUCUACUACUAUUACUCCACACAUCGACCGCUAUCCAGCAUGCAUCUAGAGUAUUAAGUUCAUAAGAACAGAGUAACACAUUAAGAAAGAUGACAUGAUGUAGAGGGAUAAACUCAAGCAAUAUGAUAUAAACCCCAUCUUUUUAUCCUCGAUGGCGACAAUACAAUACGUGCCUUGUAACCAUUUCUGUCACUGGGUAAGGACACCGCAAGAUUGAACCCAAAGCUAAGAACUUCUCCCAUGGCAAGAACGAUCAAUCUAGUAGGCCAAACCAAACUGAUAAUUCGAAGAGACUUGCAAAGAUAACUCAAUCAUACAUAAAAGAAUUCAGAGCAGAUUCAAAUAUUAUUCAUAGAUAAACUUGAUCAUAAACCCACAAUUCAUCAGAUCUCGACAAACACACCGCAAAAAGAGUUUACAUCGAAUAGAUCUCCACAAGAGAGGGGGAGAACAUUGUAUUGAGAUCCAAAAAGAGAGAAGAAGCCAUCUAGCUAAUAAAUAUGGACCCGAAGGUCUGUGGUAAACUACUCACAACUCAUCGGAAGGGCUAUGGUGUUGAUGUAGAAGCCCUCUGUAGUGGAUUCCCCCUCCGGCAGAUCACCGGCGAUGGCUCCAAGAUGGGAUCUCGCGGAUACACAAGGUUACAGUGGCGGAAAUAUUUCUUCGGUGGCUCCCUGGAUGUUUUCAGGGUAUGUAGGCUUAUAUAGGAGGAAGAAGUACGUCGGUGGCCGCUCGAGGGGCCCACAAGAUAGGGGCGCGCGCCCAGGAGGGGUGGGCGCGCCCUCCUAUCUCGUGGCCACCCCGGCUGCUUCUUGGCUUGCACUCAGAGUUCUCCGGAUAACGUUCGUUCCAAAAAUCACGCUCCCGAAGGUUUCAUUCCGUUUGGACUCCCUUUGAUAUUCCUUUUCUUCGAAAUACUGAAAUAGGCAAAAAAAUAGCAAUACGGGCUGGGCCUCCGGUUAGUAGGUUAGUCCCAAAAAUGAUAUAAAUGUGUAAAAUAAAGCCCAUAAUCAUCCAAAAGGGGUAAUAUAAUAGCAUGGAACAAUCAAAAAUUAUAGAUACGUUGGAGACGUAUCAAGCAUCCCCAAGCUUAAUUCUUGCUCGUCCUCGAGUAGGUAAAUGAUAAAAACAGAAUUUUUGAUGUGGAAUGCUACCUAGCAUAAUUCUCAAUGUAAUUUUCUUUAUUGUGGUAUGAAUGUUCAGAUCCAAAUGAUUCAAGAUAAAAGCUUAUAAAACAUAAAAAUAAUACUUUGAAGCAUACUAACAAAUAAUCAUGUCCUAUAAAAAUAGCAUAGCCAAAGAAAGCUUAUCCCUACAAAAAUCAAAUAGUUAGGCCAUGCUUCAUUUUCAUUACACAAAAUACUCCCAUCAUGUACAACCCCGAUGACAAGCCGAGCAAUUGGUUCAUACUUUUUAACGCCCUUCAUCUUUUUUUUCAAUCUUACGCAAUACAUGAGCGCAAGCCAUGGACAUAGCACUAUGAUGGUCUAUGGUGUUGGUUGUAAGGACAAAAGGGAGAAGAUAGUCUCACAUCAACUAGGCGUAUCAAUGGGCUAUGGAGAUGCCCAUUAAUAGAUAUCAAUGUGAGUGAGUAGGGAUUGCCAUGCAACGGAUGCACUAGAGCUAUAAAUGUAUGAAAGCUCAACAAAAGAAACUAAGUGGGCGUGCAUCCAACUUGCUUGCUCACGAAGACUUAGGGCAUUUUGAGGAAGCCCAUCAUUGGAAUAUACAAGCCAAGUUCUAUAAUGAAAAAUUCCCACUAGUAUAUUAAAGUGACAACAUAGGAGACUCUCUAUCAUGAAGAUCAUGGUGCUAUUUUUGAAGCACAAGUGUGGAAAAGAGAUAGUGGCAAUUUUCCCUUCUCUCUUUUUCUCUCAUUUUAUUUUUUGUCUUUUUCUUCUUUUUUUCUUUUCUUUUUUUUUCUUUUUUCUUUUUCUUUUCUUUUUGGUGGGCUUCUUUGGCCUCUUUUAUUUUUAUAAAGUCCGAAGUCUCAUCCCGACUUGUGGGGGAAUCAUAGUCUUCAUCAUCCUUUCCUCACAGGGACAAUACUCUAAUUAUGAAGAUCAUCACACUUUUAUUAAUUUACAACUCGAGAAUUACAACUCAAAGCUAGAACAAGAUAUGACUCUAUAUGAAUGCCUCCGGCGGUACACCGGGAUAUGCAAUGAAUCAAGAGCAACAUGUAUGAAAAUUAUGAAGGUGGCUUUGCCACAAAUACGAUGUCAACUACAUGAUCAUGCAAAGAGCAAUAUGGCAAUGAUGAAGUGUGUCAUAAUAAACAGAAUGGUGGAAAGUUGCAUGGCAAUAUAUCUCGGAAUGGCUAUGGAAAUGCCAUAAUAGGUAGGUACGGUGGCUGUUUUGAGGAAGGUAAAUAAUGGGAGCAUGCUACCCGCGAAAAUUGCGCGGUAAAAUAGAGGCUAGCAAAGUGGAAGGAUGAGUGUGUGUAUAUCCAUGGACUCACAUUAGUCAUAAAGAACUCAUAUACUUAUUGCAAAAGUCUACUUAGCCCUCGAAGCAAAGAACUACUACGCAUGCCCCUAGAGGGAUAGAUUGAUAGGAAAAGACCAUCGCUCGUCCCCGACUGCCACUCAUAAGGAAGACAAUCAAAAGAGCACCUCAUGCAACAAAUUUGUCACACAACUUUUACCAUACGUGCAUGCUAUGGGACUUGCCAACUUCAAUACAAGUAUUUGUCAAUUUCAUAAUUACCCACUAGCAUGACUCUAACAUUACUACCUUUAUAUCUCAAAACAAUUAUCAAGCAUCAAAUUGAUCCUAGUGUUUAAUGCACUUUCUAUGAUAGUUUUUAUUAUACCCAACUUGGAUGCUCAUCAUUCUAGGACCAAAUUCAUAACCAUAGAAAAUACCAUGCUGUUUUAAGAGACUUUGAAAAUAAUAUAAGUGAAGCAUGAGAGACUAGCAAUUUCUANNNNNNNNNNNNNNNNNNNNNNNNNNNNNNNNNNNNNNNNNNNNNNNNNNNNNNNNNNNNNNNNNNNNNNNNNNNNNNNNNNNNNNNNNNNNNNNNNNNNAAGACCGGUAUUUCACCACCAUGGUUAUACCCGAAGCCAAAUCCAAGACCGCGGGCGCAAACGUCACCGCGAAAAAUGAGCCAUGGGUACUGGCUUCCCAAGUGGACCAAUGCUUCUUCAUUACCGACCCGUCAAAGACCAGUCGUGUUGUCGUGAGGAGAGGCAAAAGGAACAUCAUCGGAAUGGAUGGAGUCGCCAAUGAGCAAGACUUCGACAAGUACGGCGCCUCGAAGAUGGAAGAUGACGACGACGAUGAAGUACCAUACACCACAAGAAGAAGCAGGACCACCCUACCUAAAGGACGUCCGUUCAAGAGAAGAACUCCAUUUGCGAAAAAGAAGGGCAAGAAGAUUGUGAAAAGAUAGCUAAGAUCGAAUCAAGACGUGUCGGCUGCGUGUGUGUGUGUGUGUGAGUGGCAAGCUAAAUUAUUACAUGCAACUAAGUUCUAGUAUGGAAAUGGCAUUUCUUCUGUUCUAGUUCUCUAUCCAGUAACCUCUUUUGUUCAAAACUGUGGGGAUUAAUGUUGUCUGUACUUACCUUCCUUUUGUAACUUCUCCAUCACCAAGUUGAAGUAUCGACCACCUUCUUCUUGGAUUUGGAAUUCUUGUUCUUCUCUCUCUUUUUUUGUUGCAAAUCAUCAUUUAUAGGCACCUUGGGCUUCUUUGUGUUUUCUUCUGGUAUUUUAAUUGUUUUUAUUUAUGUUUAUUCUGGUAAAAUAAAAAAAGUUAGUAAUGGCGCAACAAGAGAAGGUGCGCCAUUGAUAUCACGGUGUUUAUGGCGCACCCCUAGAAGGUGUGCUACUGAUAUACCAAUUUUUAUUUAUGUUUAUUCUGGUAUUUUAUUUUUCAGUGUUCCUUUUCUUGCUUAAAUUUGCAAACAUUUUUUGAAAAUGCGAACAUUUUUCUAACUCACAAAAAGUAGUGAAUUUGUUAAUAUUUUUUGAACUCAUGAAUAUUUUUUAAUUUAAUGGGCACUUUUGAACUCAUGAAUAUUUUUUCAAAUUUGAUGAUAUUUUUUCAUAUUCAUAAAUGUUUUGUAAUUCACAAAUGUUUUGCAACACAAGUAUUUGAAAAUUAGUUAUAACUACAUGCAACUAAAAAUCCAAAAAAAUAGUAAUGGCGCACCAGGAGAAGGUGUGCCAUUGCUAUACCAAUUUCUAUGGCGCAUCUCUAAAAGGUGCGCCAUUGCUAACCCUCCCCCUACUAAAAUAUCCAAGACCCAGCCGGUCGGUCCGUCGGUCGGUCGUCUCCCCCCAUCCAGAGAUCUGCCUCCCUUCCCACCCUCCCUCCCCGAGCGCGACGGCUAGGGUUCCUCGCCACUGCUGGCCCGCCACCAUUCCUCUAUGGCACGACCAGCCGGCCGAGGCCCCCGCUGCCCCGCCGCCCGCACCGACCCGACCGCCCCUCCUCCUCGAAUCCUCCCUAUCGAGCCGCCCCUCCUCAAAUCCUGCACGCACGGGCUGACCUCCUUCAGUGUCGUGCAGCAGGACACGCCCGUCAACAGGACUCGACCGGCCGCCCGCCUGCCCGGCCCUCUCUUCCCUCCGCCCAGCAGCAGGAGGCGCCUGCCCGCCCGGCCCUCCCUUCCAUUCGCUGGUGAACUCCACGGCCACUGCCUCUCUUCUCCUUGUUUAUCUCACUGGUACUAUAUAUGUAUGUUAAUCUGUAGUACUAUGUAUGAGAUUGAUGACAUGUACUGAAAUUUUUUAUAUGCAACAUUUAGCAAAAAAAAUUAUGUAUAAUCUGUAAAGGAUGCACUUCUAUAUGAUUGAGCAAUUUAUGAUAUUCGAAACUUGCUUUUAUAUUGUAGUAAUAUUAUAUAGUUUAUGAGAUCUGCAUCUCAUUUCUCUUUUGAUAUUACCAAUCCAUCACUCGCUUCAUUGAGCUGACGAGGGGAGCGGCUCGAUUGCUCUGCUCUCUCAUGCCUUCCUUCCUUCAGUAAUGGCUAGACCAACAUUCUCCUUCUAUCUGUUAAGAAACCAGGAGUAUGAGGUGUACUAAUUACAAAAUAGUAGCAGUGAGGCAAGGCCUAAUAACUAUAGGUAAAUAUGCCCCUUGCUUGUACAUAUUUCUAGGUUGCCUGGCAGCCCCUCCGAUGAAGUGUGAGUAGUUUACUUCAGACCUUCGGGUCCAUAGCUAGUAGCUAGAUGGCUUCUUCUCUCUUUUUGGAUCUCAAUACAAUGUUCUCCCCCUCUCUCGUGGAGAUCCAUUCGAUGUAAUCUUCUUUUUGCGGUGUGUUUGUUGAGACUGAUGAAUUGUGGGUUUAUGAUCCAGUAUUAUCUAUGGAAAAUAUUUGAUUCUUCUCUGAAUUCUUUUAUGUAUGAUUGAGUUAUCUUUGCAAGUCUCUUCGAAUUAUCUUUUUGGUUUGGCCAACUAGAUUGGUAGUUCUUGCAAUGGGAGAAGUGCUUAGCUUUGGGUUCAAUCUUGCGGUGUCCUUACUCAGUGACAGAAAGAGUUGCAAGGCACGUAUUGUAUUGUUGCCAUCGAGGAUAACAAGAUGGGUUUUUUUAUCAUAUUGCAUGAAUUUAUCCCUCUACAUCAUGUCAUCUUUCUUACUGCGUUACUCUGUUUUUACUUAAUACUCUAGAUGCAUGCUGGAUACGGUCGAUGAGUGGAGUAAUAGUAGUAGAUGUAGAAUCGUUUCGAUCUACUUGUUUUGGAUGCGAUGCCUAUAUACAUGAUCAUCGCCUAGAUAUACUCAUAACUAUGCUCAAUUCUGUCAAUUGCUCAACAGUAAUUUGUUCACCCACCGUAGAAUACUUAUGCUCUUGAGAGAAGCCACUAGUGAAACCUAUGGCCACCGGGUCUAUUCUCAUCAUAUCAAUCUUUAUCACUUUAUUUACUUGCUUUGUUUUUACUUUGCCUUUACUUUUACUUUGCAUCUAUCUAUCAAAAAUACCAAAAAUAUUAUCUCUAUCAGAUCUCACUCUCGUAAGCGACCGUGAAGGGAUUGACAACCCCUAAGCGUUGGUUGCGAGUUGCUAUCGUUUUGUGUAGGUACGAGGGACUUGUGCGUGGUCUCCUACUAGAUUGAUACCUUGGUUCUCAAAAACUGAGGGAAAUACUUACGCUACUUUACUGCAUCAUCCUCUCCUCUUCGGGGAAAUCCAACGCGGUGCUCAAGAGGUAGCAGCUUCCUAUUACCAUCAGCCUAAGACGCACAGAUCGGGACCCCCUACCCAAGAUCCGCCGGUUUUGACACCGACAUUGGUGCUUUCAUUGAGAGUUCCUCUGUGUCGCCGAUGCGAGGCUUGAUGGCGCCUUCAAUCGUCAACAACACAGCCCAGGGCGAGACUUUUCUCGACGGACAGAUCUUCGUGUUCGGCGGCUUCGCACUGCGGGCCAAUUCGCUUGGCCAUCUAGAGCAGAUCGACAGCUACGCCCCUGGCCACCAGGUCAGGUUCAGAAACCUGAACUACACGGCCGAUAUCCGCGGAGACUUGAUCUUCGAUGGAAUCGGGCCUGUGCCAGGAGCGUCGGACAGUCACGAUGAGCACGGCUUAGACCUGCUGUCGGACAGUGCUCGGGAUAUCACCCGUGCAGUAGCCCUGGACCUAAAUCCAGAGCAUACUGCAUGGCCCAAGGACGGGUGGAUGGACCCCGCCCCGCAGGCCGCACACUUAUCGGCGGUAGAGCCGAACCCAGGCCUCACCUCUAAGGAAGCCUGCGAUUCCGGACCCCCGGACUCGUAUCCGGUUGUAGGUUCCAGUCCGCGCGCUCCCGAGCCCACCGAGCCUGGUUGGGCUCUGGCAAUGGAGUUUACCGCUGCGGAUAUCUUCCAGCACUCGCCCUUUGGCGACAUGCUGAACUCAUUAAAGUCUCUCUCUUUGUCAGGAGGCUCUUGGACGAACUAUGUCCAGCUCGAGUGGGAAGCAGGCAACGAAGGACUGGACCAUGAAUUUCCACAGGGUUUUAAACCUGUGAACAUAGAGGCAUACGACGGAACGACAGACCCAGGGGUCUGGAUCGAGGAUUUUAUCCUGCAUAUUCACAUGGCCUAUGGGGAUGACCUCCACGCCAUCAAAUACCUUCCCCUCAAGUCGAAGGGACCAGUUCGACACUGGUUGAAAAGCCUCCUCGAAAAUUCAAUUGGGAGUUGGGAGGAACUCGAGGACGCUUUCAGGGCCAAUUUUCAAGGGACUUAUGUCCGGCCUCUGGAUGCAGACGAUUUAAGUCACAUAAUCCAACAGCCCGGAGAGUCUGCCCGCAAGCUUUGGAACAGAUUCCUCACUAAGAAGAAUCAAAUUGUCGACUGUCCGUAUGCCGAAGCCUUAGCGGCAUUCAAACACAACAUCCGCGAUGAGUGGCUCGCCAGGCACCUUGGCCAAGAAAAGCCAAGGACAAUGGCAGCCUUAACAAGCCUUAUGACCCGCUUUUGCGUGGGUGAAGAUAGCUGGUUGGCCCGUAAAGGCACCAAUGACCCAAGCACAUCCGAAAUAAGGAUGGCAACGGGAAGCCACAGCGUAAUAAAAACAAACGUCAAAACAAGGAAGAGAGCCCGGACAACACAACGGUCAAUGCCGGAUUCAGGGGCUCUCGACCCGAUUAGCAAAGGAAGCCAUUUAAAGGCACUAAAGAGGGACUUUUCUGUCUGAACAGAGUCCUGGACAGACUGUGCCAAAUUCAUGGCACCCCCGACAAACCCGCGAACCACACGCACAGAGAGUGCCGGGUCUUCAAGCAGGUCGGCAAAUUAAAUGCCGAACACAAGGGAAGGGAAACACCAAGUGAAGACGAGGAUGAACCUCGCCAGCCGAACACUGGGGGACAAAAAAAAUUCCCACCAGAGGUUAAAACAGUAAACAUGAUCCACGCGACUCACACAUCCACGAGAAGGCACGAAUGCGCGCUCAGGGACGCGUACGCUAUAUAGCCCAUCGUACCCACACCUAACUACUGGUUGGCUUGUCCGAUCACCUUUGAUCACACGGACUACCUGACUAGUAUUCGGCGCGGAGGAUCAGAGGCCUUGGUGCUUGACCCAAUAGUCGACGAAUACCAUCUCACCUACGUCCUCAUGGACGGCGGCAGCAGUCUCAAUUUAAUAUACCAGGACACAGUCCGCAGGAUGGGGAUAAACCCAUCCAGAAUUAGCCAAAGCAACACCACCUUUGAAGGGGUGAUACCAGGCGCUGAAGCCUACGGCAGGGGCUCCGUCGUAUUGGAGGUAACAUUCGGCUCCCCAGGCAACUCUAGAAGCGAAGAACUACUGUUCACCAUCGCACCCUUCCAAAGCAGCUAUCACGCAUUGCUUGGAAGAGCGACCUUCGCCCGCUUCAACGCAGUACCACACUAUGCCUACCUUACACUCAAGAUGCCCGGUCCAUGUGGAGUCAGCACCGUUAACGGAAACACAAAGUGCUCUUCACGCGCGGAGGAAUACGCGACGGCUCUAGCGGCCAGACUCUAAGCGGCCUUCGAUACCAAAAAACAUGACGGGUCGUUAAGACCACGGACACGGUUAGACGAGUACGGCAGCCCGGAUAAAAGUGAGCCAAGGCGAUGUAUAUGUAAUCCCAUAGAGGACACCAGGGGCUAUAAAUAUUUAAUAAAACCCCACUGUCGUCCUGACCUUAUUUACAGGCCAAUGCCUUACACUUUUAUCCUCCAUCGCACGCUUACGUCGUACUCUUUUUACACGAGUUUUUCUUUUUUACAGUCACAAUGCAUGCGAUACCCUUCCAGGAAAUGGCACAACAGAGACAAAGGCGCAGACGUGCAGCAGGGCCCUGCUCAAAGGUUUCUCUUUAGAUUAAGACCCUGUGUAAACCUUUUAUAUUGCCUCUUGUUGCUUACACAUCCCAUGGGUACUAUACCCAUAGAGGAUACUGCCGUUAUUGGCAUUUCGCCACGACAGACCGAUGCACGUACGUGGAAAUGCAGGGUUUAUAAUGAAAGGUCGCACUUCAGCCCAUUUUCUGUUACAAAGUCCGAAUACCUUCGGGAGUGUUUGGCGUCACGAGUUUGGCCUUAUAUGCAUCAGCUCCGAAUCAUGUCUUUGCUCAGAUGUUGGGUUUGCCCGGCUCCUGGGUUUGCCGCCUUACGUUCCGUUCUUAUCGGCUAAGGCGGCCAAAGGAGAACUACUGCGAUUGUGCCCUGGUUAUUCCAGAUGAGCACCUUAGUAGAGAAAGCCGAAAACUGACUGUCAUGAUACAGCGAGAGACUGUUCAACCACUCGAAGACUUAUCGGAAUCUUUAGGAUUCCUCCGCAUUAACGAAGGACCGUUUCCUGGUCAUGUACACACGCGCCCGUAUUCGGAUGCAUGCGAAGGUACCAGGGGCUACAUAGUAGCCCCACCGUUAAAUUCCCAUGGCUAAGCGAAAGUGUUACAGCUAUAUAGUCCGGUUGCCUAGUUCAACGUGCUAUCACCUCCUUAAUGGACCAAGAUGUUGGAUCAAGUGUGAUUACGCAUAUUUUUCAUGAACACCCCCGCAUUGUAUGCGCGGCGGCUGAAGCCAACGGCUGCUAACUUUCGGAUUACACAUAUACAUAAAAACGGUCGCGCAGGAGACACAAUAAUAUUUUUCAGGCAAAAAGUAUAAAUAUAGCCUUGUAAUCAAAAUAAAAUUGUUUUUAUAAUGAUUCAAUUUGUCACUCGAACAAAACAUUCUUUGAGCAUUGCGCCUCUAUUAAGCGGGCACCUUCUGUUACCUGCUCCAAGUAGUGCUCGGCCGGAUCCUGGCCUCCCACCGGAUUCUGGGUCACCACAAUGGUGGCCUCCAUAUCUGUCCAAUAUGCUUUAACGCGGGCAAGAGCCAUUCGUGCACCCUCUAUGCACGCCGACCUUCUCAUGGCGUCGAUCUGAGAUACGGCCCCAAGGUAUUGUUGCACCAAACCAAAGUAACUGUCCGGCUUUGGCUCCUUCAGCCAAAGAUGGUCUAUUACAGACCGCAUGGCUAGCCCGGACAGCCUAUGAAGUUCCGCCACGGCAGCCAUCUUCUCACUCAACGGCAGCGAGCGCGCGGGGCCAUUGAAUUGUGACCAGAAAAGCUUCUCCACUUCUUUAUCACCUUGAUCCUCGAAAAACUUGGCUGCAUCAGCUGUACUCUUCGCCAAGUCCACAUACGCGUCUGCAGGACUCCAGCGUCCAUCCAGGGGAGCAUACUUCGGAUCCAAAAACUUCGUCCGCAGUAGGUAGGAGCCCCCAGCAGCGAUUUUACCGGCCUGUCGAAGCUCCUCCCGCACACCCCUGACUUUGGUCCGCAUCUCUUUGGUGGCGUUAAGUGCCUUGUUCAGGUCAGUCGAAUUAACCUGAUUCUCCUUUUCAAGGAGCUCAUACCGGUCGGCGGCAUUUUUCAACUCCACAGCCAUUUCGGCUAUCUUUUCCUCGCUUCGGCGAUGAGCAACCUGUUCGGCUCUCAACUCUUCGGUCGCCUUUAGGGCAGCGCAUUGCUAGACCGAGCGUGUUCCUUGGCUUGGGCAAGUUCCACCCUCAGGGCUUCCACAGCAGCAGCUCCGUCUGCAGUCCAAACAUGUCGCAUUAAUAUGAUGCCCCUCUCCUAUUUUCCUAUACAACAUAAUAAGGAAAAGCAGAGCACAUACCUUGCGACUCGUUCAGCCGCUCAUUCACCAGUGCGAUAUCGGCAUCAAUAGAUCCGACCUGCCUCCUUAGUUCGGCAACUUCAACAGACUGGUCGGCUCCCGGACCCUUAGAUACCUGCGCAUAUGUACAGCGCAAUCAUUACUUACACAAUAUGAUCCCCCGUUUGCCGCCUAGUGCGGGCAACCAGAGUCUCAAGGGCUACUAUCCAUAUGGAGCACCCCUAGCGCGUGCCUCACAACCAAAAAUAGUGUAUUUUUCACUACAUACCUCAAAGCCUCUGAGCAGGCUCGUAAAUGCUUCAUUCAAACCGCUUGUGGCGGAUAAAAUCUUCUUGAGCACCGUGCUCAUUAAUGAGCGGUGCUCCUCCAAGAGCGCAGCUCGCUCCAGAAGGCCCGUUAGUAUGUCCGGCCGGACACCGAACUGUGCCGGACCCUUCUCAUCCCCCCCCCCCNNNNNNNNNNNNNNNNNNNNNNNNNNNNNNNNNNNNNNNNNNNNNNNNNNNNNNNNNNNNNNNNNNNNNNNNNNNNNNNNNNNNNNNNNNNNNNNNNNNNUUUUUUUACAUUUUGUUCACUCACUAGGAGGGUCACUAUUUAUAUGCUUGCUUCAACUUUUUCCGUAUCAGCAUGGAAAUCAUUUGUACAGGAGUUCUGGAACAAGGAAAACAAUAAUCACAAGGAUGGAGGCUGAAUAAGGUAUGUCCAAAGUAAUUGUGGUUCCUCUGCAUUUAUCUGAAAACAUAAUACACUAUUGUCUGAAUAUGGAAAUGAUAAAUCUUAUAACUGUUUGCAGAUAUAUUUCAGUUCAUCCAUAACAGAUUUUAAUAUAUAUUUUUUGUAUGUGAGAUAUAACCAUAUUCUUAUUUCACUACUAAUAGUACUGCCUAAUUUUACAUAUCAGUUGUAUCGCCAUAACUUGCCCAGUGGCGAUCACUGUAGGUUCCAUUCGUUUCCAAAAUCUGCUAAUUAUUAAUCUGCACUUUAUGUUCUGUUUUAUAUACUAAUACAUAUAUCAAGUUUUUUGCUCGGUUAAAUCAGAGGUAUGGUAGUAGCUACUAAUGUCUACCUUGCAGCUUUGUACUGUUUUGUUAUGAAUUGUUUGACUGAUUCUUUACAUAUUCAAGUAGCUUAAUUUUCUAAUAGUUAGGUUUGGAAAUAGGCAGGUCAUGGAAGGCCUUUGAUUUGUUGGAUCAGUCUGCCCUACUGCUAACAAGACGAAGGAAGAAAAGAAAUUUAAGCAAGAACUGGUGUUGUUGCUGCUAAGAAGAAGAUUCGAGCAAGUUAACAAGAAGAAAUCAUUAGGAAGACAAUGGGGAGCCAUGUGAAAGAUUCAGAUUCCUCCUACUACCUGCGCCCCGGUUGCACACACAUUGGCCCCAGUACCAAGCUCAAGCUCAAGGUCCUGCCUUUGUCCGCUUUCCAAUUAAUUAGCUUAAUUCAGUUCUGAAUUAUAUAAUUAGUAUGUAUGAUACAUACUUGAAAGGUUGUCACCUAUUUUAUGCUUCCAACAAAACUGUGAAAAAUUCAUCUGCUACAAUCAUGUGUUGUUUAUUUAUUUAUUUUGUAAUAAGUCAAGUGUUUUUUCAUUCCUUGGAAUCCAUUCACUUAGUUAUUUUUUGUUAUAGAUUCUUCAGUUAUUAAAGUAGCUUAAUUUUCUGAUAGACAGAUUUGGAAACAAGCAGGACUUUGAAGAACAUGUCAUGACUUUGCUUUCUAGGAUCAGUCUGCUCUCCCUCCUAACAAGACCAAGGAAGAAAAUAAGUUUAAGGGAAGAACCAGUGCUUCUAAGAACAAGAUCAAGCAAGCCAACAAGAAGUGUUACUUUGAUUUGCUCCCUCACUUUAGUGCUUCAUACACAAAAAGGUAUAACUUAUGGACUUGCUCAAUCAAACUGUCAAGCGGAUGCAGAUUGAAACCACAUGUACAUCUUUUCAAGAACAAGUUCGUUUGAUAAAAGCUAAGGAUGAUAGAGUCACUAUAACCACUAAUUUGAAAAUAUUUCCCGAAGGAGCAAAUAAUCAUGGAGGUGAUCAUUAGCCAUAUAAUGCCACUAGAUGUAGUGCUUCAUAGCGCCUUGUAUUGCUCAGUUUUAAUUAAGUAAGUAAACUGCCCUGUUCCAAUAAUAAUGAAAAGGUUGUUUCUUCUUGUCCUGCAAAAUAUAGCCCAAAACUUUCAAAUGUUUUGUUUUCAAAGGACGGAGCACUUCUCAUAUUAGUGAGCUGCUUUUUACAGUUCAUAUUUGUUGAACUAUACACAGUUACAGCUGGAUCUCUUUGAUUUUUCAUCAGUUUUCUAGGAAUGUAAUUGAAAUAAUACAUCAAGGUUGUCGUGUUGGCGACCGGGCGUGACGAGCCAAAGCCGCUUGAUGAACUAUUGGUGUGUGCCACUUCUGCGGGUUUUUUCUUUGAUGCCACCUCAGUAGUUAAAACAAUGAUGGCUCCAAUGCCUAUGCUGCUUCUUUGCUUCAAAUUAUAGCAUUUAUUUUUAGUUUCACCGAUUUUUAAUUAUGAAAGCCACUCACUCACCGAAUCUGCUCGACCUCUUCCUCCUUGGUGCUCGGCAGGAGGAGCUCAGGCUGCCACCACACAAAGGGAGAGGAAGCCAAGAUGAAUCAGUCCCGGCUUAUUGUCUAUGACCCGACGACAGAUACAACUACUUCGGGCCUAGGCGAGCAGCCGCCAGCCCUGCAUUUCAAUCCUAGGUAACCGAGUUUGUAUCUGCAUCUUAACCUUUAGGCCGUUACGUGCCCUGCAACCACAACAUAACCCUUUCGACUUGUUUGCCUCGUGUGUUAAUUAGAGGUUUCCUAAAAUCUCUGGCUACAUAAUAAUUCCAAGGUGGUAUGUGUUAAUCAUUUAUUCAUCACUGCAAUAGAUGUAAUUUUUGGGUUGGAUAUGCAUUGUUCAUUUUCCUGGUUCAUUGACAUGUUUAUCUGUUUGUAUCUGUAGGAUUUCUCAACGCUGAUUUUAUUAAGACAUUAAAAUCCAAUAAUACUGAAGUAUUCCUUGUGUCCAGAGGUUUCCGGCAAAUGAUCAAGGUAUAUCUUCACUAAACGGCUGCACGAACGGUACAUUUGGAAUCUGGAUUAUCAGAACAUAGUCAAAUUUGCCUGUCCUUGAAACAUCUUCAAAUUUUGUGACAUACACACACCAAGAUGCUUUUAAGAUAUCCAUAGUUUGAAUACAGAAAUUGGUUCUAAAUUUUCCGUCUAUAUUAUUUGUUGAACAGUAAACAAGGAUAUGUUUCUUCCAUGAUCUAAAAGCAACAAUUCCUCAUUUUUCUUCACUUUAGAACAUUUUGAAUUUAAUUUUGUGACUGAAGUUUCACAUAGUGGUCAACAGAGGUGUAUUUAGGCCCAAACUUACAGAGUUGUAACAACAGAGGUGUAUUUAACCGAACUAAUGUUACCUUAUUUAAAAUUUUGCUCGAGAUUAAACAUUCAUAGAGACCUAAUUCAGAUUGAUUAAACUGUUCUUAUUUUAAACGCUUGUUGGCGAAGUAUCAAGUGAAAAUGGCCAUUCAAUGAAAACUCGAAAACUUUCCUCAUACGCCUUUGGAUCACGAAUGUAUGGUAUAGAUCAAAGGUGGGAAUCCCACCAGCCACUUAACCACACUUUUCCCGAGAACCCCCUGCCCGUACGUGCUAGCUUGGUAAGGGUUCAGAAAAAAAACAGAUCAUGUUCAAUCUGUGCCGCCAUGGAGCCUCAUCCCACGCCGAUCGCCAUGUGCGCUGGCCCUCCAGCGGACGUGUGCCCUUGCUCUCCAACGGCUCCAUCCUCGAGCACUCUUCCUCGCCCUCCAAUGGUUCCGUCCAGCAGAGCUCCCCCUCCGCCAGCAGUGAUCCCCCACCUUUCACCGGCCCCGACCAUGAUUCAGAUGCUCGAAUGUUAAUUGACAACCUUUGGAAGAGGAAGAAAUUCUACCAAGGGUUCUUCUUGAGUAUAUUCUUGGUGAUACAAAUCGGCUGACACAUGUAUUUUACUAGGAGAUUAUCAUUUGCUAGGAUUAUGAUGCAGUCCUGAGUGACAACUUAGAUGGCCUUGUAUCUCUGAAUAUUUGUACUGAAGCUCAUUGGUACUCGUGCCGACAUUUUGCUAGGAGAUUAUCAUUUUAUCUCUGAAUAUUUAUACUGAAGCUCAUGUGUUGGAUGAAUUUUAGAUGGCCUUGUAUCUCUGAAUAUUUGUACUGAAGCUCAUGUGUUGAAUCAAUUUUAGAUGGCCUUGUAUCUCUGAAUGUUUGUACUGAAGCUCUUGGAAGCUUGUGUCAAUAUUUUGCCAGGAGAUUAUCAUUUUAUCUCUGGAUAUUUGUACUGAAACUCACUUGUUUGAUGCAUUUUAGAUGGCCUUGUAUCUCUGAAUAUAUGUGCAACAAUAUUGUUUCUCAUGGCAAAACUGUUUCUUUUUACUAGCUAGAAUUAGAUAUGGUAAUAAGGCACAAGAGGUUAAUUGAUUAAUGCCAAUUCCUGUUUAUUGUAGCUGAUGGAUUAGUCAACUCGGAAUUUAGCAAGACUGAAGAUGUUAACCACCAGUAAUACAUGUCUCACUGAAUUCUAGCUGUCUGAAUGUUAUCUCAUGAAUUUUAGUUAUCUCGGAGUACCACCAGUACAUGCUUGGGCAUCAGCGGCUGUACAUAUAACAUCAGCACAUGAAUUUCAGUACACUAGCACUCUGAAUCAGUAAAGAAAUAACAUGGAUGUAAAAGAAGCAAAAUCCUUUUGUGUUAUCCAUGUCACUGAAAUGUUAUAAAAGAUUUCUUGUACAUUCACAUUCAUUCAAGUAUUUUCUGUAGAUCCACACUGAUUCAUAUGCAGCAAAAGAACUACGGAGUAGGAUUUAUCUACUCAUCCACAUUCAUUCAGUUGCAGCAAAACAACAUCAACAUUCAUGUGGAGCAGUUUUGAAGGGCCAGCAAGCCCCUGGGUCGCCGUUGCAUGGAUGCAGCGCCACGGCAGCUUGCUCCCUCUGUCCCUCGUGUGGGGGCAGCACCGGGUCGCCUUCGCAUGGAUGCAGCACUGCGGCGGCUUGGUCUCCCUCGCGUGUAGGUGAAUCGCCGGGUCGCUGAGGUUGCCGCCGCGCGGAGGCAUCACCAUGGCCGUCGGGUCGUCGUUGCGAGAGCGAGCGCCGGCCUGCCAGAGCGUGUGUUCAGUGCCAGGUCGCGGUCGCCUCGGGGCGUCGCCGCGGCCUCCGAGUCGCCGUCGCUAGGGGAGCGGCGCUGCAGUGAAUCGCCGUGGCCUCCGGGUCGCCCUCGCGGCUAGAGAAAAAGUAGGAAGGGGAUAAUUCCCCCAAAAAAAUUCUUGAGCUAAUUAUUGUUAGUGGUUUUCAGGAAAAGCGUGGUCAAGUGGCUGGUGGGAUUCCCACCUCUGGUCUGUACCAUAUGUUCGUGAUCCGAAGGCGUACGAGGAUAGUUUUCAAGUUUUCACUGAAUGAGUGUUUUCACCCGAUACUUCGCCAUGUUUGUUAGUUCCUUUAUACUCCAAAAUAAAAAAAUAUGACUAACAAAACUCUGUCAAUGAUUUGAAGUAUCAGUUUGCCUACCAUUCACUGCAGUAAUCGGACAAUUUUCUGCUUUCAAAUUGCUAUGACCUUUGAUCCACAUAACUAAGUGUGUGUGUGUGUGUUGUGUGUGUUCUGAUCUAUUUUAUGCAUCUCGACAUACAUAUCAGCAUCUGUGUGUGCCGCGGCUUGCGAGGGACAAAAAAAAGGUCGAUAUGAAAUUAUGGAAGAGCAAGGGAGGCCGGAAGAAUUGUGCACUUCUAUCCUUUCUAAUAACGCAUCAUAGCAUCUGAUCUUUACCCACGUCGUUGGGACCGGCACGCUCGCGUCAAGGCGCGAUCAUGGUGUAGUGGGAGGAGAUCUGUGGGCUUUUGUAAUUUACCCAUAGGUUUAGCAUUUGCCUUUAUUAUAUAUACACCGUCAUAUGCUUCUUAGUUAAAUUUUUUAAAUGUUUAAAUUCAAAUUUAUUGAUAUUUGUUAGGAGUAACAACAUUUUGCAUGCAUAAAAGUAGCCCCAACAAACUAUGUUAUGCUAAGACUUUAGUUAUCUAUUCUGAGUUGCGGAUCAUCUGCAAGUUAUGUGUUGUUGUAUAUAUUUGGUGCCAAACCUAUCGCGAAACAUGCUUUCUAUGUUCAUACAUUGUUAAGCAGCUUAUCGUGUGCAUACAAACGUUUUGACCGGCACCCUCGCGCCUGGGCGCGAUUCCGAUCUAGUGAACAAGAGGGGAGCUCGUAUUGGACGCUCGCGUGCGUCGAACCUAGAAUUCACGAAAAGCAUUUUUAAGUAAUAUCUGCACUAGCAGAUCUGUCUUUUUUCGAAAAACAAAAAACAUUCAUAGAAACAUGUGAACAAAAUUUCGUAAAAAAUGCGAAUACUGUUUGAAAAUGUGAACAAAAUUUCAAAAUUCAAAGAAAACCAUUAAAAGUAGGGCACCACUAGGCACCGGCGCACUGGCCGAAACUUUCGGCCGGUCCAGCCAUAGCCGCUCGAUGCGAGCCGCGCGGCGGUUGGAUCUGGAGCCAAAAAAAUAAAAAAUCGCCCCAGCUUCUUCUUCCUCGGGCCCCGUGGCGCAUCUCCGACGAGAUCCCGUGCGGCUCGCAGCACGGGCAUCUCCGGCGAGAUCCCCCGCGGCUCGCAGUACCGUGCAGCUCCAGCAAAGGCCCCCACAGCGCAUCUCCGGCGAGGCCCAGCUCCAGCAAGGCCCCCGCGGCGCAUCUCCGCGCGAGGCCCAGCUCCAGCAACGCCCCCGCGGCGCAUCUCCGGCAAGGCCCCCCGCGGCUCGCGGAGCCUCACGUCGCCGGCCGCAGCACCCGUUGUAGAGCUCGUGUUGUUCCUCGUCCUUAAUUUGCCGGUCACAGCAAAAAAUUCCACCGGUCGUAGCAAAAAUUCUUGACAGUUCCAGCAAAAAUUAAUAAAACGUUGGUAGCAAAAUUAGAAAAAAUCGACGACGCUCCAACAAACCAAAAACCUGAUGGUAGCAAAAAUUGAAGCUUGUUCCAGCAAAUCGAAACGCUAGUGGUAGCAAAAAUAAAAAAUAGAGCGCUGGUUCCAGAAAAAUCAAAGAAGUCGGCGGUAGUAGCAAAAAUUGACACUGGUUGCAGCAAACCACAAAACGGUUGUAGCAAAAAUAACUUGUGGUCCAGCUAGGGCUUCUCCAGUAGUAGCAAAAAAUGCAGAAGGUUGUAGCAAAAACUGUAAAAGGUUGUAGCAAAACACACAAGCGCAGGGUCUCGACAAUCUCAUGAAAAAGGAUGUAACAAACAACAGUGCCGGUAGUAGCAAAAAACCAAAACUGUUGUAGCAAAAAAGUGGUACAAAAUGAUUCCAGCAAAAAGACAUGGCAGCAAAAUUUGGUUAGUUCCAGCAAAAAACAAAGACGGUGGUAACAAAUUAGUACACUGGUUCCAGCAAAAACAAACAUGGAAGCAAAUCUGGAGUUGUAGUAACAUGCCUCGAGCUCGUAAGCCAUGGCCGCCCUGGCAUGUGAGCUCGCAGGCCAUGGCCCCCUGUCGUAGUAGCGCCGGUGCUCAGCCCCGUCGCGUUCGGCCAUGGUGAAGGGCACGGCCAUGGCGAUGGCAUCCCUUGCAGCAACAACAACUCCCGCGGCGCCGCGCUUCGUGGGGGAGGGCGCGCCACGCUUCGUGGUUGAGGGCGCCCCGUGCAGCAACUCUAUAGCAAUGGCGUCUGAGAAAAAGUAGAUAGGCAGAAGCAGCGGCGUGGGAAGCCCAGGAAAGAAAGGAAGGAGAUGUGGUGUGUGUGGACAGCAGCCGCGCUAGAAAGGAUAAGGAAGCAGAGCGGUGUGCGGGCCCUCGUGGGAUGACGUGUCCCUCAUGCUUUAGCGCUACGCGCGGGGUGAGCGAGUGGACCGGCCGAAGUUUCGGCCGGUGCCCCGGCUCUAAACGUUUCCCUUAAAAGUAAACUAAUUUUGAAAAAUGAACAAAAAUUGAAAAACAUGAACAACUUUAUAUCCCUGAACAAUUUUGUAAUAUAUGGUAGACAAUUUAUAAAUAACCAUUAAGCAUUUUCGUGAUAUAUGCUGAACAUUUUUAUGGUGUGCGCUGAACAAUUUUCAAAUACAGAAUGAACAUUUUUCUGAUAUCCACUGAACAUUUUUAAAUACACGUUGAACAUUUUUAUGAUGUGCGCUGAACAAUUUUUAAAUACACAAUGAGCAUUUUUUAAUAUACGCUGAACCUUUCGUUAAUAUACAGUGAACAUUUUCUUAAAUAUACGAUGACCUUUUUGUAUAUACACAAUAAAAUUAGGAAAAAUAAAAUAUGAACAGAAAAACAAAAAAAGGGAAGAAAGAAUCAUAGGGAAAAAACGGAGAAAAAUAUAAAAAGCCAAAAAAUGUGAUUAAAAAACAAAAACGGAAGAAAAAUAGNNNNNNNNNNNNNNNNNNNNNNNNNNNNNNNNNNNNNNNNNNNNNNNNNNNNNNNNNNNNNNNNNNNNNNNNNNNNNNNNNNNNNNNNNNNNNNNNNNNNAAGCAGGUUGUGCCUGACAUGCUAUUUACCGAAGGUGAUAUGCAUAUGGUUAGCUUACGACCAACUCCUUCGAAGGCUUACUAUACUGCAUUACUCGAUUUCUUCAAAUGAUGGAAGGCUCAGAAUCAAAGAACGGAGCAAAGUGAUGAAUGCGCACAUGCAAAUAAUUGUAGACAAAAUGAAUGUGCACAAGCCACAAGUUGGAGAUAGGUUUAUGUCCAUUCUCCAUUAUGCUGAAGGACUGGUUUAUCCGUUUUAUGGUAUUUUAUCUAGGAGAGAGGAGUAGGUCCUAAGUAUUAAGAACAAUUAGUUAGUGUUGAUUAUAUAUGACUACAAUGUCUUAGACUUGAUGGUGAUGCUGAGUAGGAGUAGUGAUUAUGAGUACUAUGAUGAUGAUGAUGAGGAGUUGUUAUUAUAACUAGUGACGAAGUUGUUAUAUGAUGUCUCAUCAUGGACAAAAAUGAUGAUUAUGAGGAGUUAUAUGACAAUGAUAUAUUAUGAUGAUAAGUUGUUAAUGAUAUGAUGAUGAUGAUGAUGAUGAUGAUGAUAAGUUAUUAUGUCAUUGGGUGAAAGAACCAUGGAUUAGUUUCAAAUGGAUGGAUCCAAAGUGACCAUUGGUUACUUUGGAUCCAUGCACUUGAAACUAAUCACAAGAUUCUUUCACAUAGUGAUUUAAUAACUCAUUAUGAUAUAAAAACAAUCUCUAAAUUGCUACUGUAUGAAAAAUUGUAUACAGGUGUAUGAAUACGACCUAAAAUUCAAAAUAAAUGGAAUACAGAAUAAUAGUAGUAGCGGUUGUUUUCGAAAACGCUACUACUAAGUAGAUGUAGUAGUAGCGAGUGCCAGUAGACGCUACUGCUAAGCUUUACCUGUAGCGCUGUAUCAAUAGCGCGCUUACCCGCGCUACUGAUAGGCCAAAAACCAGCGCUACUACUAGGCUUUUCCCUAGUAGUGCAUGUUAGGAAAAAGUAUCCCUCGCCACAGCCUUCAAUCGUGUACAGACCUCUGUAAACAGGUCUCGAUUCUCCAGUCGUUGUAGAGAGGACCAUAAAUGAAUAGUCCUGAUACAUCUGUAGAUAACCUGCAUAAGAGAAGUACUUUUAUCGAUAAAAACCUUAUCAUUUCUACAUAGACAAAACGACCAAAUAACGGCAAGCGCUCCCACCCUAAAAAGAGUUCUAAACCUGUGAUCAAUCCCAUGUAGCCAGUUGCCAAAUACAUUAGCAACACUACAAUGAGGAUACAAGCCAGAAGCUAUUUGGAUGACUGACCAUACAGAACGAGCCAAUUUGCAUUCGAAGAAUAAGUGCUUUAUCGUCUCAUCAUGGUGACAAAAGACGCAUUGCAAAAUUCCAUGCCAAUUCCUCUUAAUAUGGUUAUCUUUAGUAAGAAUGACUCUGCGACCAAGAUACCAUGCAAAAUUUUAUUCUUAAGCGGUAUCUUCAUCUUCCAGAUCUUCUUGUUAUUAUGAACUGGCACAUCAAACUGGAUUAAUGCUCUAUACAUAGACUUCACUGAGAACUGUAUGUUCCCAUGUAGGUUCCAUCGGAAUACAUCGGACCCAUGUGACAAAUGCACCAUGGAAAACCGCUGGAGUAGGAUGUUCCACGAUUGGAGUUCGGGUCCAGUUAUAUCCCUUCUGAACGUCACAUUUGGUGGAAAUGAUUCCAUUAAUAUGGCGAUAGCUAGUAUCACCCUUGUGACACACAAUAUUGUACAGAGCCGGAUAUUGUUCUCGGAGAGUGGCAUUUCCUAGCCACUUAUCCUCCCAGAAUCUAAUUUUCAAGCCGUCCUUAAUUGAGAAACAUACAUAACAGAAGAAAUAUUUCUUUGUAGCCAAUAGACCUGCCCAAAAGUGAGAAUCCCCAAGCUUCCAGUAUACUUGUGAUACCGCCUUGGAGACCACAUAUUUCCUCCUGAGGAGGUUUUGCCAUACAUCAUCUUCCGUUAAUAAUUUAAACAACCAUUAACCGAGUAGGCCCUAUUCUUAAUCUCAAGGUCAUGAAUGCCCAACUCGCCUUGGUCUUUGGGGCACAAACCACACCCCAUUUAGCCAGUCGAUAUUUAUUUCUCUCGCAAUCUCCUUGCCAAAAGAAUCUUGAUCGGAAAUAAUCCAAUCUAUGUAAAACUCCUUGUGGCAACUGGAAGAAGGAAAUCAUAUAUAGUACCAUAUUACUUAGUACUGAAUCCAUGAGGACCAAUCUUCUGCCUUCAGAUAGCAGUUUACAUUUCCAACUGCUAAGUCUUUUUUGUAGUCUCUUCUUGACGUGUUUCCAUUCAGCAUUUGUGAGCCUCCGAUAAUGUAUCGGUAUCCCCAAAUAUGUGACCGGAAACUGGCCCAACCCACAUCCGAAAAGGUCGACAUACAUGUGAGCUUCAUCUUGAGCCUCGCCAAAGCAAAACAAUUCACUUUUAUGAAAUUGAUCUUAAGACCUGAGAGUCGCUCGAAUGCCGACAAAAUUAAUUUCAGAUUUCUCGCUUUCUUGAGGUCAUGAUCCAUGAAGAGAAUCAUAUCGUUGAUGUACUGAAGUAUAGAGAGCCCACCAUCAACUAGAUGAUUUACUACCCCAUAUAUUUGCCCAUCAGUCUUGGCACGCUCAAUCAUGACUGCAAGCAUAUCCGCCACUAUAUUGAAUAACAUGGGUGAUGGCGAGUCACCUUGUUGGAAUCCCUUCUUCGUUUGAAAAUAGUGGCCAACAUCAUCAUUGAUCUUAGUGGCAACACUGCCUCCGAAAACGAAGAUAUGGAUCAUAGCGCGCCACUCUGCAGAAAAUCCUUUCAUUCUGAGAGUCUGUUGAGGAAAUGGCCAUUUGACUUUGUCAUAAGCUUUUUCAAAGACUAUUUUCAGUACCACCCCAUUCAACUUUUUCCGAUGUAAUUCAUGGACAGUUUCAUGAAGGAUAACAAUGCAGUCUAGGAUGUGUCUACCUUGCAUAAAAACAGUCUAUGAAGGAUGAACCACAUGUUCAGCAACCGAAUUAAGUCUACUUCAUGAAUAUUGUAAAACUAACAUUAAGGAGGCAAAUAGGUCUAUAUUGUUGUAUCAUGUCAACCUUGUUAACCUUAGGUAAUAAAAUAAUCUCACCGAAGUUUAAGCAAAACAAAUCUAGUUGGCCAUCAUGUAGGUAGCUAAACAAGAGGAGGAGAUCUGGUUUGAUGACUUCCCAGAUGUUCUGGUAGAACUCUGAGGGAAAACCAUCCGGACCAGGGGCUUUGUUGUGCUCCAUGAAGAAAACCGCCUUUCUAACUUCCUCAUUGGAGUAUGGUGCUGUUAGAAGGUUGUUUUUCUCCUUAGAGACCUGUCGAAUGUCUUCUGUUCGGGACUCAUCCAUCGAGAAGUUUCCUUCCUCUGGCCUCCAAAUAGGUUUUUUAUAAUAAUUAGUGAUAUAAGAUUUAAGUUGCUCAUGCCCCCUCAAUCGUGCCCUCAUCCUUGUGUAGGGAAUGAAUUAUUUUCUUCCGGUGUCUUCCAUUGGCGACUCCAUGGAAAUACCUAGUAUUUGAAUCACCUUUUAGGAUUAAUUGAGAGUUAGAAUGUUGGUACCAUUUGAGUUCCUCUUAACGCACGAUGCUAGCUAUCUGAGAAUUCGAUUGACUCCUGAUCUCGAUUUCAUGCUCAGAUAGAGGUCUAAUAUCUGUCAAAGCUUCUAAUUCAUCAAUGAUAGAUGAAAGAUGAAGCUUCUCCUUUUUUUAGGAUACAUACCACCAUAUGCCUAGCCUAACUACGAACGAAUUUACGUAAUACACACUUUUUAUUAUUCCAUUUGUGUAUUGGGGUAUGCCCGGCCACCGGUUUCUACCAUACCUCCUUGACCAUGUCAUGGAAGCUGUCGGUGUCAAAACCGGCGGAUCUCGGGUAGGGGGUCCCAAACUAUGUGUCUAGGCCGAUGGUAACAGGAGACAAGGGACACGAUGUUUUACCCAGGUUCGGGCCCUCUUGAUGGAGGUAAAACCCUAUGUCCUGCUUGAUUGAUAUUGAUAUUGUGGAUGUUUACAAGAGUGGAUCUACCACGAGAUCAAGGAGGCUAAACCCUAGAAGCUAGCCUAUGGUAUGAUUGUAAUGGUUGUUGUUGUGUCCUACGGACUAGAACCAUCCGGUUUAUAUAGACACCAGAGAGGGCUAGGGUUACAUAGAGUCGGUUACAAUGGUAGGAGAUCUACAUAUCCGUAUCGCCAAGCUUGCCUUCCACGCCAAGGAAAGUCCCAUCCAGACACGGGACGAAGUCUUCAAUCUUGUAUCUUCAUAGUCUUGGAGUCCGGUCGAUGAUGAUAGUCCGGUCGAUGAUAGUUCGGCUGAUGAUGGUAAUCCGGCUAUCCGGACACCCCCUAAUCCAGGACUCCCUCAGUAGCCCUGAACCAGGCUUCAAUGACGAUAAGUCCGGCACGUAUAUUGCUUGGCAUUGCAAGGAGGGUUCCUCCUCUGAAUGAUAGAAGAUUGUGAACACCAGGAUAGUGUCCGGCUCUGCAAAAUAAAUUCCACAUUCCACCGUAGAGAGAAUAAUAAUAUAUACACAAGUUCAAUCUGCUGAUGUUUUUUGUGGCAUGAUGUCACGCCACUACCAAGCCGUUACUUGAAUCGUUUUUUACUCUACCACCUCAGCGCAUUUAGCGAAGCGGUUUCCUUGGCACGUCUUGUCAAAGCAGAGAUCGUGUUCCCCCUUAAUCCGGGAUUCUCAUCAAUACGGACGUGGGUAACCCAACCGCGUCAUUGAUGGUGACACUUGGGGGAUAAGCGAGUUUUACCAGGCCGGUGGGGGACGCGUAGACUUCGCCCGCCCAUAUAAGGGAUAAGGAUUCACCUUUUCACCUACGCCUUCUUCCUCCUUUGCUUAUCCAUCUCCGCGCACUCGAGCUCCAGCGCCCAAGCCUGCACAUCUUGUCUCAACCUUCCCCAGUUAUGUCCGGAGUGGGAGGCAAGUGGAUGACCUCCUCCGUUACGGAGGAGCACAUCGAAAGACUGCGCAGCGCCGGCUACCUGUCCGGCGACAUCGCGCACCGGCUGCCCGACGAGGGGCAGCUCAUCCCCACCCCAGGCCCCAUGAGAGGGUCGUUUUUCUUCCCCACUUCCUCCGCGGACUGGGUUUUCCACUUCACCCCUUUGUCCGGGGGCUCAUGUUCUACUACGGCCUGGAUUUCCAUGAUCUGGCGCCGAACUUCAUCCUCAACAUCUCGGCGUUUAUCGUCGUGUGCGAGGCCUUCCUCUGCAUCCAGCCCCACUUCGGCUUGUGGCUCAAGACCUUCAAUGUCAAGCCGAAGGUAGUGAAGGGCACUCAAGCGGAGUGCGGAGGCGCCAUGUUGGGCAAGAUGCCCAAUGUCCUUUGGUUCGAAGGGGCCUUUGUGGAAUCCGUCAAAGGGUGGCAAUCGGGGUGGUUUUAUAUCACCGAGCCGCGCGACCCUAAGUGGGCGGCGGCCCCCGAGUUCAGAUCUGGUAUCCCCACGCAGCUCACCUCCUGGAAAGAGAAGGGCUUGCUGUGGGGUAGUUCGGAGGAGGUGACGAGACUCCAAGCCUGUAUCCAGAAGCUGGUGAAGAAGCUCAGGCUGGUUAACAUGGUCCAAGUCAUGCUCGUCCGCCGGAUUCUCCCGUGCCAAGAGCGGGCAUUCAAUCUGUGGGAGUUCAAUCCGGAACAGCACCGGGCACUGAGCGGGCUCUUCGACACGACGUACGAAGGCGCCUGGAGGGUGCUGUUUAAGGGCGCCGAAGCCCCCGCAUCCGCGACUGAAGAUCGUGGAUUUCACUCGCAGCGCCAAGCCGACGAGGUAAGUGAUUCUACCCCUUUACGGGACACUUGCUUUUCAUAGUUUAACUUUAUGCGGGUUUUAAUUUCCCCUUUUCCUUUGACAGGACUGGAUGAGGAAGGCGGAGCAGAUUAUCUGCCUGGCUGCCAUGCCAGAAAACCCAGUAGACACCCAUCUAGCGAGGCUGCUGGUUCCGGCACCGCACGUGGUGCCGGAGAAGAAGGCCAAGAAGGAGGCCACGGGUGCUCGAAAGAGUUCCUGUUUUCAGGUGUCCGAUGACUCCGGGGCGGACUCCUCCCCCGAGAACGAGGAGGAGAAAGAGGACUCUCUACCAGAGGAGGGAGAGAGGAAGAGGAAGGCUCCCCCAACAGGCGAGGCCGAAGGGUCCAAGAGGGGAAGGACUAUUCCCCCGGACAGCUCCGCCAACAUCAACGUUGGCGAGGAAGAAUGGCCUUCUAGGGCCAGGCCUCCGGAGAGAUCAUAAGUAUCCGGAUUCCUGAGUGAUUUACAAUUUCUUUUUCUGUGUCACAUAGUGUCAUUCUGAUGCUGCAUGCUGCUUGUAGUCCUGCCAAUGAUGAUCUCCCCGCUUCAUCGAGCGGGUCGUUGGCUCCGUCGGAUAUAGAUUCCAUCCCGACCGCCUCCACCCCUCGCGACAUAGAGGACGUCGAGGUGGGAUCCCAAGAAGGGACCCAUCAGGGGGAGGCUCCGGAGGCGCCACAAGGCGGCCUCCCGGACUGUGCGCCGGACUCCAUAUCGGAACCCGCAGUGGUUCCGGAGUCCGGCCGGCGGCCCCUUCGCAAGAAGGGCAAGACCGUGACGCCGGCGGCUUCCGUCCAACCGGAGGCGCCGGACAAUUUGUUGGAGGCGCUCCAGAGCGCUUCCAUCGAGGAAGAACACCGCACUAUUAUGAGUGCGGUGAUUCAGAAGGUACAGCUCGCCAAGAGCGGGCUGACCAAAGCCAGCAGUAGCCUUCUAUCAGGCUUUGAGGUAAGAAGUUAAAAAUAUGCAAUGUAAUAUAGCAUAGAUAGUAGCCCCUGAUGCUCGGUUCGGUGUUCGGAAAGAAAAGCCGGACUNNNNNNNNNNNNNNNNNNNNNNNNNNNNNNNNNNNNNNNNNNNNNNNNNNNNNNNNNNNNNNNNNNNNNNNNNNNNNNNNNNNNNNNNNNNNNNNNNNNNGUGAUGCAGUCACAAAUUCGCGUGACUCCAAGCUUUGGUACAGGUGAUUCACGGCAUUGUCCCAAGGAUCACGUGACUCUGAGCUUAGCAAAGGUGAGCAGCUUCCUAGCGUCAAUGAUCUGUGUGGGUCCGAUCUUGGUGAUGGCGAUCGGCAUCGUGACAUCGAGGAUUUGAAUGAAUUUCGACUUGGCAAAGGCAUGUGGCAUCGAUGAUCGGUGUAACUCUAAGCUAGCGAAGGCAAGGGGCGUCACGACACCGAUGAGCCUUUCACCAUUUGCAGGAAACGCUCUUUGCUUUACAUGUUUUUUACUUCGACUGAAAAUUGUUUAGAUCAAGCCAUCUAGCUUCAUCAAUUCACGGCUUCCCCUUGGUGAGGAUUUACCACCGUAGAUUGCCAAGUUGUUGUAGUACUAAAAACAAUAGGUGAUUAUGAAGGAAAUAUGCCCUAGAGGCAAUAAUAAAGUUGUUAUUUUAUAUUUUUUUUAUUCAUGAUAAAUGUUUAUUAUUCAUGCUAGAAUUGUAUUAACCGGAAACUAUGCUAGUAAUAAGCUAUAAGUACAUUGUUCUGGUUCCGGUCAAUCUGGGAGGUUUACCAUUUGGUUGACUUGUUAUCUUUUGUUUGCUAGUCCCACUGUAAACAAAUAUAAGAGUGUUUAGAUCACUAUUUUAGUGAUCUAAACGCUCUUAUAUUUCUUUACGGAGGGAGUAGUAUUUUGCUGCACUCUUGAACUUGGUUAUGAGUUUGGUGCUGGUUGCUAGUUAUUGUGCAACUAGUGCUAGUUCGAAUCUAUCGUUUUGCAUGCCUCUGAUGUGUUGAGAUUCUUUCUCUCCAUAUGCUUUGAGACUAGCCACAAUGCAUAGUAACAUACACUAGUAACAUACACAUAUCCCUAGACUAUGUUACUACCUUCAUAGUGGCUAGUAACAUAAAUGUGGUAACAUGCAAAGCUUCAUUUAUUAGGUUAUAGACUCAUAUUGCAUUGGGACAUGUGAUGUUACAGUAACUAGCUAAGUUACUGUAACUACCUCUCUCCUCAUUAACUCAUUGCCACAUAAGCAAAUUUGCUGAGUUGGACUCGAUGUUACUGCUGAAGUUACUCCCAUUGUGGCUAGUCUGAGUUUGAGUGGUGAAUUCCUGUUAUGAUGUUGUGGCGCUCCAGGUGAGCUGCCACCAUGUGUUCACAAGCUUCUUGUUUGGUGGUGUGCAGUGCAAUUUGCAUGUCACCCUAUUCCACAUGUCAACCCUAGCAUCCUAGGGCGACUCCAACAAGGAUCACCAAAUCGCUAGCAAAAGUCCGACCAGGCACUUUAGGCUGCCUCUACUUCGAGCCUAUAUUUGUGAUAAAAAAUAUGACUCACAUAUUUAAGAAAAAUAAACCAUUAGAUUCAUAUACAAAAUUACAUGGCACACAAAAAAUAUACUUUUGAGGCAUAUACAAGAUAUAGAAAUUGAGGAGAUCGUUUCCAUCCGUGUACAAAAGGCCGUUGACAACCUUUCCAAAUGGCUAGCCAAGCACCGGUAUGAGCGCAUGACGCACCCACAACGUGAGACCAAGGAACAAUCGUGAAGGGGGCCCGGUCGAAUUUGAGGUGUUGUAACCCGAAGCCCUAUCCCAUAGAGUUUGCACUAUGAAAAGGAGAGGGAGAACUCCCACGACAGAGGAUCCUGUUCUGCUUCGCUCCACCCGCCAAGUUCCUCCUAUAGAGCCAACAUUGCCGCCACCACCAUAGCAAUGUCUCCAUAUUUUUAUUCUUCUACACGACAUUCCUUAAUGACCCGAAGAAAUAAUAAGACGGUUUACUCAUUCAUCUUAAAGAAACCUUUUUGCAGUGCCUCUUGUUUGCGAUCUAACCAUGAUGUGUGAUUAGUCUGAGCUUUAUGAUGGCGACACGCAUCAUGACAUCGGGGAUUUGAAUGACUUCCGAGUUGGCAAAGGCGUGCGGCGUCGAGGAUCAGCUUAACUCCAAGCUAGCGAAGGCAAGGGUCGCCGCGACAUCGAUGAGCUUUUCACCUUUUGCAGGCAGCGCUCUUUACAUCACUUGUAUUUUACUUCGGCCGAAACUUGUUGAGGAUUUAGCAUCACCGAUUCACGACUUUACACUUGGUGAGGAUUUACCACUGUAGAUUGCAAUAAGUUAUGACGGUGUUGAGGAAGGUUUGUCGUAUAGUCAAGCCGUUCUCAGAUUACUUCAACACCCUAUCCAAACUUCUCUUCCUCGACACCGAUCCAGGUUGUUCUCUACUAUUUGGACUUAACUGUUUUAUUUAAUCGUCUAUCCAAACAUGGUUAGUCAACAAAAGUUUGUUUGGAUAGACAACAAAAGUUUGAUCGUAAGAUUAGUUAUUCUCACAACGCUUACUUUUCUGGUAUGCAUAUCUCUAUUUGGAUUAACCUGUCAGAUGUUUUUAAUAAUAAUAAAGUGAUUUUAAUAGAUAAAGAUGACAACAUACUCCUCCAUUUCUUUUUACUCCGCGUAUAAAAUUUGGUCAAAGUCAAACUACAUAAAGUUUGACCAAAUUUAUAUAAAAAAAUGAGCUUUUAUAAUACUAAAACUAUAUAGUAUGAAAAUACAUUUCAUGGUGCAUCUGAUAAUAGUGAUUUUAUAUGGUGAAUGAUGAUACUUUUUAAUAUAAAGUUAGUUAAAUUUUACAAAGCUUGACUUUGACGAAACCUUAUAUGCAGACUAAAAAAACGGAGGGAGUACCAUUUUAAAAAUAAAGUUUGACUAACAGGUAACUUAAACUGUGUGUUAUGCUAUUUCGCAAAAAAAAAACUGUGUGUUAUGCUUGAAUGUUGGAGUAUGCAUGUGAAUUGUAAGACUCUUGGGAGAAGAGAGGGCAUCAUGAUGGCGUGGGGAAAAGGCAAAUCAAUCGGCUGUCUCGGGUGGCAAAACACUUCAACUUUUUUUUCAAAAUUCAGAUUUGACCAACCAUUAAUACCUUUCAUUUAUACGUGCAUAUGUUCCCAAAACGUCUAGACUCCUCUUUCCUAGAGCACGGCCGCCUCUUCUUCUUCCCACAUGACCGCAUAUAUUCUCCCCGCCUCUUCCGCUAGAGCGUACUGGCCAGACGGACGAAGCAGGCAGGCCAGAUUUUAGUCCGGGAGGAGGUGAAGAGAGUAAGCUUUCCUGCAUCUCAUCUGUUGCUGAUUCGUUCUUUUUAGAUAAAUUCUUUGAGACUAAACCUGCAUUCUUUAUUUAUUUAUUUACUCCCAUUCUACCAUUCGAUUUAAGUUAACCUAUCCUAUGACUCGGAUCAGAUCUGAAACUCUCUGAAAUUAUUUUAUUCGUGUAUAUGGCAAUCACGUUCUUUUUCUUUUCUUUUUGCGUAAAGUGUAUAGCAAAGAAGUUGACAGCCGCAUCUACACAGUAAAAUUGAUCGGACAUGUGGGAACCAAACAAGGGCCUAGCAUUCGCGGAAUCAAACAUUCUAGAAUCUGAAGACUAAAUUAUGAGAAUGUUUGACAUUAGCCGUAUGAAAAUCGUGUCACUAGAUUUUGUCGUCAAUGGUUCAUGCUGUUCUUAUAUGUUCUUUUGCACUAAGAGACUUCACGGUAGAAGGUAAGUUAGAUAUAUGUGCUUAGUUGCUUACCUUUAAUAUGCUAUGCAUUCAUAUCUUAAUUCAUUGCUCACACUUUUUUUUUACCUAUUUCAGCAGCACAAUGACAAUAAUAGACUUCAUAGACGUGAUUGAUGAUAUCAUUGACUUGAGCAGUGACGAGGAGAAUGUUGAACAGGAUGAAAUCCCGACUCAGCCCCCGGCUACGAUGCUUGAUAGGCAGGAGGUGUUUGUCGAAGCUGGUGAUGGAAGGCAAGAGGCUGCCGAGUCCAGAGAUACUAUCCAAGCUACCACAUGGUCCAUGUUUAUGGAGGAAGGGCCUCUUGAUACAACUGCAAAACAGAAUUGCACUUCAAUGACAGUACCACUCCCAAGUAAUUACAUUCUUCUCUAUCCCAUUUUAUGUUCAAAAACCUCUUGUGUUUAUCAUAAUAAUAGUACACAUAUCAAACAACCAUUGCAAUGCCAAUCCCUGUUUUCAGUUAACAGUAGCACCAUGAUAGAGAUAAAAAGUUGUUACAUGGCUGCAGGCCCCGCUUUGGCCGCUCCGGAGGCUCAUCCCUCAUCACAGCCAGACCAAACUGAAGAAUGGUCCUCUACUCGGUCCAGAGAUACUAUGACAGGUACCACUGCAACACCGUUCUCGGUUGCAGAGAAAGGGCCUCUUGAUGCCACUGCAACACAGAAUUUUCCUCCAACAUCAGUGCCAUUCCCAAGUAAUUACACUCUUCUCUAUCACACUGUUUCUUAAGUUGUGUGCUUAUCAUGAAAAUGUUCCAUAUCAACCAAUCAUUGCAACAUUGAUCCCUCUUUUGAAUUAACAAAGACAGCCUGAUAGAGAUAAGUGGUUAUCGCUGCAGGUCCCACUUUCACGACUCCGAAGGGUCUGACAUUUGAAGGAGAUAAUGGAAGGCUGCUGAGGAUGUAUGGGAGACGUCCUAGGAAGAAGAAGGACUACCAUACCGAAAUCCCUAGGAGAAGUCCUAGGUUCGAAGAUAAGCAUAAGUGUAACAAAAAGCUGUUGUAGAGCUGGGAGUCGAUUGCAGAAGAAUCAACUGCCUCUGCAAGCAAUGCAGAAUCAUCAAAAACCCUCUAGCUAGCUCUGCCUACACCCCUGAUUACCUGCAUGUGUUCUCCCCAUGAAACCAUUUUGAUGUUGUUGGCCUAGUUUGCAUACUUUGCCCAGUCUAGAUCCAAACAAUGUUUGCACUUGUCCUGACCCACUUGGGUAUCUCCGGUAUUAUGGUUUUACUAUGUGUGCUGUUCCUCACUUGGCUUUCUCUUGAGGUUAUGAAGUUCAGUUUACCAUGUAAGAGUAGCAGGCCUUGUACAUGCUUGAUUUAUUUAUUUUUCGAUACUUUCUGAUAAUUUAACAUCAAUGAGCCCAUUCCAAAUUAAAACUUUGGAAACUCAGUGCUUUUCCGCUGGAAAAUGCAAUCAAGGUUUGUUAUAAACGCUCUACCGUUCAUGAAGCGAUAAUUUACUAAAAAAAAAUCUGAUGAAGUGAUCGUUCAAUAACAUACGGCAGAUGAGAAAUAUUUGCUUGACAGAAUCUUUAAGCUUUUACAGAUUGUAGAAAAAUUGGGGAAUCUUUUUAUUUACUUGAGGAGUAAUGUAGGUUUCAUGAUGUAGGAAGAUGACAAACAUCUUUGUGUUGCAUACAAUGUGGGUGAUUUUUGCUUAAACUACUCCCGAUUUGUGUUUCCAUUUCUGCAAUAGAAUCUCUUUCCAAGCUACUGCUUCUUGUUAAAUGUCACAAAAAGAUUGCCUACCUGUUUCGGAUGUGCAUUAUGAGGUGAUAUUUUUAAUAAACUUGGGAAAUGCACACAGUUUAUGCAGUUUGGGACUUGAGAAACUAAGGGUGUGUUUGGUAGCUGUUCCCACCCUAGCAUAGUUGUUCCCAUUUGAGACAUGCCAAGUAUAGACAUGCUGUGUACAUGCAUGUGCAGUUGUUUGGUAGUGAUGUAUGUGUUGAGACAUGCUGAGUCGAGAUUGUGUUUGGUAGCCUGUAUACGAGGUAGGAUGCAUCAACAAUUUUUUUGCGCCAAUACAAUUUCGAACAACACUUCGACACUUCAUUAAUAAUUCGAACAAUAAACAUCUCCGUUUCAACAUAAUCUGAACAAUAAAAAUCAUUUCGGCUAUAUAUGAAUAUGAAGAAAAAAUUACUGGUCAUAUCUCAGCAUGAUUGGGAAAUAAAACAUCUUAGAAACAAAAUCUCAGCAAUAUAACAUCACUAGAUCAACUAGACCAAGCUCCUCUCACAAUGAAUUUUCUUUGUUUUCUUGCCAAUUCAUUCAUCUAAAAAAACAAAAACAAAUAAAAGUUAUCACAUGCAAAUUUUUUCAGCAUGACAAGCAAUCAACAAAAUUAAGUCUGAGCACAAUAGCUACAACAUAUGAAAGGGAAACAUCUACUGUGCUCGUUCUUACCACCUAAACAUCAUAAUCAGAAGGGAAGAGAGGAAUACUGCAAAGAUCUACAAGGUAGACAUGGCAGGAAGGAUGGAUGGAGGGGGUUAGAGGAAGGAAGUGAGGAGGGAGAAGGGCGGACNNNNNNNNNNNNNNNNNNNNNNNNNNNNNNNNNNNNNNNNNNNNNNNNNNNNNNNNNNNNNNNNNNNNNNNNNNNNNNNNNNNNNNNNNNNNNNNNNNNNAGAUUAUACGCACUCUCACCCUUCCACCAUUGCUAGCCUCUCUUGCGUCGUGCUACUUUCGCCGGUACCAUACACCCACCAUAUACCUUCCUCAAAAAAGCCAUCAUACCUACCUAUUAUGGCAUUUCCAUAGCCAUUCCGAGAUAUAUUGCCAUGCAACUUUCCACCGUUCCAUUUAUUAUGACACACAUUAUCAUUGUCAUAUUGCUCUUUGCAUGAUCAUGUAGUUGACAUCGUAUUUGUGGCAAGGCCACCAUCAUAAUUUUCAUACAUGCCACACUUGAUUCAUUGCAUAUCCCGGUAAACCGCCGGAGGCAUUCAUAUAGAGUCAUAUCUUGUUUUAAGUCUUGAGUUGUAAUCUUGAGUUGUAAGUAAAUAAAAGUGUGAUGAUCUUCAUUAUUAGAGCAUUGUCCCAGUGAGGAAAGGAUGAUGGAGACUAUGAUUCCCCCACAAGUCGAGAUGAUACUUCAGACUUUACAAAAACAAGAGAAAAAGAAAAAAAAGGAAGAAGAAAGGCCAAAAAAAAGAGAAAGUCCCAAAAAGAAAAAAAAGAGAGAAAAAAGGAAGAAAAAUGAAUGAAAUGAGAGAAAAAGAGAAAAUGGGCGAUGCUACUAUCCUUUUACCACACUUGUGCUUCAAAGUAGCACCAUAAUCCUCAUGAUAGAGAGUCUCCUAUGUUAUCACUUUCAUAUACUAGUGGGGAUUUUUCAUUAUAGAACUUGGCUUGUAUAUUCCAAUGAUGGGCUUCCUCAAAAUGCCCUAGGUCUUCGUGAGCAAGCGAGUUGGAUGCACACCCACUUAGUGUCUUUGGUUGAGCUUUCAUACAUUUAUAGCUCUAGUGCGUCCGGUUGCAUGGCAAUCCCUAAUCACUCACAUUGAUAUCUAUUAAUGGGCAUAUCCAUAGCUCGUUGAUACGCCUAGUUGAUGUGACACUAUCUUCUCAUUUUUGUCUUCUCCACAACCACCAUUCUAUUCCACAUAUAGUGCUAUGUCCAUGGCUCACACUCAUGUAUUGCGUGAAAGUUGAGAAAGUUUGAGAAUACUAAAGUAUGAAACAAUUGCUUGGCCUGUCAUCGGGGUUGUGCAUGAUUAAAUACUUUGUGUGAUGAAGAUAGAGCAACAGCAAGACUAUAUGAUUUUGUAGGGGUAACUUUCUUUAGCCAUGCUAUUUUGAGAAGACAUGAUUGCUUUAUUAGUAUGCUUGAAGUAUUACUAUUUCUUAUGUGAAUAUGAACUUUUAUUUUGAAUCAUUUGGAUCUGAACGUUCAUGCCAAAAUAAAGAAAAUUACAUUUAGAAUUAUGCUAGGUAGCAUUCCACAUCAAAAAUUAUCACUACAAAAAAAUAAACUUCUGUGAUGAUACGUGUUUGUCACAGUAGGUCGCGUUUUUUGUCAUGCAUGUACAUCCAUGACAAUUUUAUGACAGAAUCAAGAUAGUCAUACCUGUGCUGUCGUAGAAGUGUUCCAUGACAUUAUCAAAAUUAUCAUCACGGAAGUGUCCACUUCCAUGAUGAUAAAUCGCGCAUCACAGAAGUGCUUUCGUCAAGGGUGACCGACACAUGGCAUCCAUCGUAACGGAACGCCGUUAAGCUAUCGGAUCGGGUUUUGGAUCCGAUAACCCGUUAACAGCUCCGACCAAUGGGGAUUUUCCACGUGCAAAAUCAUCAUUUGGUGGAGGAAACACGUGUCGGCUCAUCGUUGGGAUAGAUGGCAUCCACUCAUUGGACAGUAGGCGCCUAUGAUACGUCGGCACGUGGCACGGCCCAACAGAGGCCCAUUCUUGUGAAAAGGCCGGCCCAUUUGACUUGGUCAAAAGGUGGCGGGCAGGCCCAUGGAAAGCCUGUUAAUGGCCUGUUCGCAUAUAGCCCAUUUACAGCCCGCUAAGCCAAGGCUCGUUACGCCAUAUCCAAAUUAGGCCCAGUAGCAUCAUCUGGGCCAUCCAAUAUGAUUCCAGCCCAUUUUCACUUCUGGCCCAUGUAUGGCACAUGACGUCUUUCGACCCAUAUCAGGCCCGCUGUAACUCUUGGCCUAUUAACGGCCCGUGGUGGAACUGGCCUGUAAUGAACAGUGUAUCACUAUACACCCAUUAACGGCCCAUGAUGAAACUGGCCCGUAAUGAACAGUGUAUCACUUUAUACACAUUAAUGGCCUGUUAUUCCGUUGGGCCGUUUCCAGCCCAUGUUAUCUUCCGACCUUCUCAGAGCCCAAUUAUUCUUGGGCUCAUUUCCAGCAUUUGUUUACUUACGGCCCAUUACUGUCAUUUUUUGCUUGUGGGCCAAAUUCAGCCUGUGGUUACAGUCGGCUGUUUGUGGUCCGUUAAUACGUUGGGCCAUUUUCAUAGCGUCAUCAAAUAUGGCCUAUUAACGAUGGCCCGUUCUGGUCGGCCCAUGAAUGGACGAUUCCAACUCUAGCCCGUUUCCGGCCAUAAUACGACCUGUUAUUGGCCCAUGUUUGGCCAAUCGAUCAUACGGCCUGUAUAAGGCCCAUUGAUGAUACGGCCCGUAGAAGGCCCAUUGUUUCUACGGCUCGUAGAAGGCCCAUUGUUUCUACGGCCCGUAGAAGGCCCACUGUUUCUACGGCCCGUAGAAGGCCCACUAUUUCUACAGCCUGUAGGAGGCCCAGUGUCACUACAGUAAAUAUUAGCCCAUGGUUAUUGUGGCCUAGUUUUAAAAAUAGGUUAUUGCAGCCACUAACAAACCGCGGAAAAAGAACUGUAAUGACUACAAGCAAAUAAAUAAACAAGACAACAAGGAAAUAAAUAAGCAAGCAACUUACGCUAGGCUAUCACACAUAUUACAUCCACUGGGCAUCAAAGUUCACCACCAGUGCAAAUAAAUGCGCCGACAAAAGAAUACACAAAACCGAGAGCACUUCAGAAGGCACUAGGCCUGCCGAGGUUGGCCCCCCCAAACAGUCAAAGAAGCUGAGUAGACCUCAGUUGUGUCAAUGAUAGAUGCAUCAACAUUAGAUUUAUGGCAUGAUGGUGCGCAUGGCAGUCCUCUGACAUCUUCAUUGCAUCUUUGACUUCAAGUCGGAGCUGAGCUGAAGCAAGCCUUUCCGCUUUAAGUUGAGACUGAAGAAGGCAAACUGAUUGAGGCAGCGACUGCACAGAGGUUGUCUCACACCUGCUAGUGAGUUGCUUCAACUCACUGUCUUCAUCAAGAUAGGACCUUGGGGUCAUCACGCUGUCCUCAAGAUGGUUUGGCUCACUAUAUUCCCUAAAGUUCUGCCUGGCGUAAGAGAUACGACUGUGAAAGAGAAACAAGGAGACACGUAACAGGUUUCACAAUUAUAUAAGCAAAUAAAUGGAUCUGUUCUGCAUAAGGAACAUGUUUUUACAACUACAAUUUGAAACUGGUAGUUGUUGCAAACAUCCAAUCAGAUGUAAACAGCAAAGCAAACAACAGUGGAGGAAAUGAUGCCUAUCCAAAUCUAUACUAGAAAAAAGUUUGAAGGCUUGAGAAGGAUGAACUUACAUUACAUGUUAACACGGGCUGGACAAAGCCCUUCUCCAUGUUGAUGGAAGGAUAAUUCAAUAAAUUCCCCAAAUAAAAUUCUUUAUAAGCGUUGCCAUUAUUCUACAUUUCGCAAAGAGUAAAUAUAGAUCAAAUAAUAUUGAAAGAAACCGAGGAUAAUGAAGCUCGGGUGCAGACUGAUGAUACAUAAUCAAAUAGCAAUUAAUUAAGUACAGCGUUACAAGGCAAAAGGGAGAGAGGUACUGACAAGAGCAAUGCAGAUCCCAAUAUUGUUUUGAGAUCGUAUGAUCCUUUGAGCAAGGAGAUUCAUCUGAAAUUAGUUUUCAUACAAGAGAGAAGGUAAGGCACAAGCAGAAAUUUAGGAGUUCAAAUUUUGAAUUGAUACCAUAGACAGUACGUUACGCUGGGCUCCCAGCAGUUCUAAUAGGGGUUUGGCCACUAGAGUAGGGGUAAAGUGUGGUACAGUUGGGCCUGUGUUUUCUGUGGCUGCUGAUCUAUCUGAUUUAACAGGUAUCACUACCUUUUCCAAAUACCUAGUCUGUACUCCUUGAGGAUCUGCACUCACCCUCUUCCUUUUGAACAUCUAUUACAAAAGAACAACAUUUGACUGGAAAACAUAGUGUGACGACACAUGGAAUAGGUACACAAAAUGGAUAGGUAUGGCAUAUACUCAUAUAUGAUGAUUAAACUAAGUAGAUGGUGUAACAAAGUAGAAGUAAUGCAAGAGGUCAGAUGCAAAACAUGUGCGACCAAUACAACUUUGCAAAGUUAGAGCAAGCACCUUGAUGGGUGAAUAAGAUAGGCUAUCCUCCACCAUGCCAAGUUUGUUAGCUAGUGGAUUGUUCCGCAAUAUUCCUCUCGUGCGCCCAUUCUCAUAUUCAUUUUGAUAAUGUUCAAUAUCUGACAUGCAUGAAAACAUAAAAACAAGUGAGGUUUUCUUUGUAAUGCAGAAGUGAUUCUAAUCCAAAACUGCCUCCCUGUAAACCCCUUUGUGCUAUCUCUGCAAUUCUUUUAAGAGAUGCCAUGCAUGCUGUAAUUUGUCGUGUGCAUUAAUAUAAUGUGGCCUACUACUCAAAAUAUGAGAGCUCCAGAAGUGAUGACACUUCACAGAUGACAGCUUCGACAUAUAGUAAAGAACAACAAGUCGACCUGACCUGACAGAUUCAAAAUAUGCUAAGGGAGAACAACUUGACCUGACCAGUCGACCGCAAGAGAAGAGUAUCAUCUUAAAGAAGAGCAAAAGAGCAAGCAGAUUGAAGAUAUUACAAGUCUUUCAAUACAAUGUCGGUUGGCCACCCAUGAUGAACCAGAGCGCACAAAGAAAUACUAUUCUUUUGGUCUCUCCAUAUGUGGCUCACAUGCAUUUCAAAACUAAAGUAGAAAAAUUUAGCUAACCAAUUAAACAUCUCUCAGUUUUACUAAUAUCAGCAAUAAUAUCAUAUAUGAAUUUAUACAACUAAGCUUGUUUAGCUCGAUGGGUGGAGCGGUGCUAUUACGACACGAACCACAUAGGCUGAUGGUGGUCAUCAUAAAAUGGGGAAACCGUAAGCAUGAUGAGUACAGUGUUGACCGUGGCAGUGGGAUGGCAGAUCUGAAGCUGCAAACCGCGCAAAGGGUUGUUAGCAACCGAUGUUUGCUUUGAAAUAACAACUAAGAUUUGGUAUGGACAAGAAAGUACGGUCAACAAGUGACAAAGAAAUGCAAUUAUGNNNNNNNNNNNNNNNNNNNNNNNNNNNNNNNNNNNNNNNNNNNNNNNNNNNNNNNNNNNNNNNNNNNNNNNNNNNNNNNNNNNNNNNNNNNNNNNNNNNNGAGGUAAACCACAACGAAUUUAUCCAAAUACUCCAUGAAGAUAGAGUUCAUUAAGCGAGAGAAAGUGGCUGGAGCGUUGGUUAAACCGAAGGACAUGACGGUGUACUCGUAUUGGCCAUAACGAGUAACAAAGGCCGUUUUAGGAAUGUCCCCGUUCCUGAUUUUGAUUUGAUGGUAGCCCAACCUCAAAUCCAUUUUGGAGAAGAUUGAGGAUCUAGCGAGCUGAUCAUACAGGUCGUUGAUCCUGGGGAGCGGAUACUUGUUCUUGAUCGUGACCAGGUUAACUGGUCGAUAAUCUACAACCAUCCGAUCCGUACCAUCCUUCUUCUUGACGAAAAGGACGGGACAAGCCCAUGGAGACGAACUAGGACGGAUGAAACCCUUUUUCAAGGACUCAUCGAGUUGUUUCUUAAGCUCGGCUAGUUCUAGUGGUGCCAUUUUAUAGGGUCUUCUAGAAAUUGGGACAGUUCCUGGAAUAAGCUCUAUCACGAACUCGACAUCUCUGUCAGGUGGAACACCUGGCAAUUCUUCUGGAAAGACAUCACGAAAGUCACGGACUACCGGAACGUCUUCGAGGUCUGGCAAAGGACUGGCGUUAAGAGAAAAAUAGAUGUCGCUUGGCUACUCGGGUCAAGACAUUGACUAUCUUUCCCGAAGGAUGGGUGAGUUGAACAGUCCUAGAGAAGCAAUCAAUCUUGGCAUGAUGGGCUGACAUCCAAUCCAUACCCAAGAUGAUAUUAAUAUCCGAAGAUUUAAGGGCUAUCAAAGAUGCGAGAAAAACAAGUCUGUCGACUUGAAUUUCAUUUCCAUGGCUUACUCUAGAGGUUUGCCAUCUAGAACCAGGAGUAGAAAUUUCCAUAAUGGAAGGCAUGUCACAGAAUGCGUUGUUAUGCAAACGAGCAUAAUUUUCGGAUAUGAAUGAAUGAGAUGCUCCAGUAUCGAAAAGAAUAGAUGCCGGGUGGCAAUUAACAAGGAGCGUACCGAGAACGACGUUGGGAUCCUCUUGAGCUUCUUCAGCAGAGAUACAGUUGACAUGGCCACGUGCAGCGGUGGACGGCUUGGCGUAGAACGCUUUCCCUGUCGGCUUGCCACGGGCAAUAGCUUUUCCAGAUUGGUUGGGGUUGGUCUGGGGACACUCGCGCAGGUAGUGGCCCGAUUCCCCACACUUGAAGCAUGUCACGGAGCUGGUGCGUGAAGGAGCAUUUUCGGUUGGACCACCAUAGGGCUUGGCUGGUGCAAACUGUUGAGCGGGGCGAGGCGCCUAAUAGGAUGGCCUCGGUGUGAACCUGGGUGGCAGGGCAGUGUUAGGCACACACACCCGGCGCUUCUGAGGACCAGCACCGGAUGAGGAACCCAUGUCACGGCCAUGCUUGCAUGUUGCUUCGUAAUCAGUCUUACCAGACUCGGCACUGAUGGCUUUGUUUACAAGCUUCUGAAAAGAUGUGCACUCAUGCAGACGGAGGUCACGGAGAAGCUCAGGGCUAAGUCCCUUGCGGAACCUUGCUUGCUUCUUGGCAUCAGUGGAAACUUCCUCAGUCGCAUACCGUGCUAGGUUACCGAACUCCCUGCUGUAUGCAUCCACAGAGAGUCGACCUUGAGUGAAACUGCAGAACUCCUCACGUUUACGGUCCAUAAGACCCUCCGGAAUGUGAUGUUCACGGAAAGCCUCGCUAAAUUCGGCCCAAGUAGUGACCUGGCCUACUGGGCGCAUGGCUCCAUAGUUCUCCCACCAGAGACUGGCGGGGCCUUCAAGAUGAUAUGCAACAAAAGUGACCUUGUCAGCCUCAGCUACGAGUGCAGAGCGUAGCUUGUGAGUAAUACUGCGAAGCCAGUCAUCAGCGUCGAGGGGCUCGACAGAGUGGUGGAAAGUGAGUGGAUGUAACUUGAUGAAGUCACUGAGUGACACCAAGUUAUUCCUCUGAUGGUGUGCCGUGUUUUGCUCGAUGCGCUCCAACAAACGGUUGGUCUCCCGCUUGUUUCUCUCGGCCUCCAGCAUAACCUCGGCCAGAGAAGGAGGGUGAGGCAGGUUUGUUUCCCCAACUCUGCUGCCUUCGGCCUGCUCUGGGGGAGCAGGGUUGGUGCGGGUGUUAACCAUCCUAGGAAAACAAGACAAUGGUUUAGUCCAAGAUGAUAGGAUUCUGACAUAGAAAUGUAGAAAGUAAUGGAUAACUUGGAAUGUAAGAUGAUCAUCCGUAUGACAUGGUAGAUACGGAAACUGCUUCUUUUAUUCCAUCGUCAUACACACCAUACAAGGUUUAGUACAAAACCAAACAAAGUACUACUACGGUGAAAGGAGGAUUACAUCUCAUCGGAGGCAUUCCAAGCUCCUAUACAUUAUUUUUCUACACCUCCGGAAGGCGGUACAAGCUAAGUCAUAUCCCACGAGUCACGCAGGACAGUGGAUGAUACAACUAAUACGAUACUAGUGAUACUACUACUAACUCAGACAGCUCCAUAGUAGUCUUCAUAGAAGUCACCUCCAUAGCCUGGAAGCUCAACGUGAUCAUCCGGAAACAGUCGGUCCCGUGGAGCUUGUGGACCAUAGGGGCUAGGAUGAGGUCUUGGACCAACAAACGGUGGCCUGCGGGGACCACAAGGUGGGGUGAUGCCUCCUACAUCACGCCAAUCCAUCAUGUUUGGCAGAGCAGAUCUCACAGGAUAGAGAUCUCGCAUAUCCAUAUAUCCAGCUUGCACAGCCGGUGCAAACCGAGUCAAAGUGGCCCAAUGAUCAGCACGGGUAUUGAAAAGCUCCAGUCUCAAGGCCCGAUUUUCACGGUCCUUGUCUUCAAGCAACUGUGCAGUGGUGCGGGUUAGUGAGUCCUCCUGAGUGGAGUCAGCAUAGAUAGCCUGGAGAUACCCUUGUGCUCCCGGGAGUGAAGCUGGCAUAUAUCGGAAGUCGGAGUCCCGAAAUAGGCCAGUCCUGACUCGCAUGAUGGUCAUCAUAGAGUAGGCAGCAUCCUGCACAGCCAUCUCAAUAGUAACCCCGAGUCCAUAGGAGCACUGGAGGGGCUCGGUAGAUCCAGGAUAAGAUGGAAAUAUCCUGACAGUGCAAAAAUAUUGACUUUGAUUAAAGUCUCGGAAUUGCUCUUCGAUCGUGUACUCAGGAUACCAACGGUAUCCUGCCUCAGUCAUUACCCUGACCAACAUGGCAGUAUGGCCGGGUACAUCUAGGCAUCGAGUCAAACGAACCACUUGAUUCUGAGGACGGGAAGCCAUCUGGAACAUGAUAAACGCAAGACAUUAAGAUUCCUAGCAGAAAUUGGACAGCAUAACGGCUGUAAAUGCUCAAAACGGAUUUUGAGGCAUUUUGCAAAGAAUUGCAUAGACACUCAACAACAUCAUAUCAAGGUUCUGGGUCCAUCUUAGCAACAUAAUGGGGUAGUAGAACUGAACUAGGCUUGUAUCCAUCAACCUAUAAGGUACUACUGAUUAGUAACACGUGAAACUGGUAGAGAGGGGAGAUCCUAAUUCCUUAACCCCCGGUGGAAGAAUAGACUGACUCAGAUCAGAAUGUCAUGAGAUAAAGAAGUAAAAAGAGCCUUACGUUCCAUCCCACAAUCAAUUCCCCUACAUAUAACUAAAGCAUUUCUAGACUCAACAUCGACCAGUUUGGCUUGGAGAACCUACAGGCAGUCUGGCUCUGAUGCCAACGCUGUCAGGACCCCGACUCAAUGCCACAUCGAUCUAGCAUGUAACACCUCAUAUCACUUUGCGGCCUCACGCACGGUAUUCCCACGGGUGUCGCCUUACCAUUGCCCGGGACCGUUUGCGCCUUUUGGCACACGUAUAUGAUAGUGUCGCUAGCAUCCAUAUGGUAAGGAGCCCGGGCUGACAUGGCUAGUCGUAAACCCAAAGUGGCACAAACUUACAGGGACAGGCAUCCAUGACCCAGCAUUGAACGUGUCGGUCAUCAACGAGUGAAUCCGGGCUGUAGCACUGGGCUAGCAGGACUCCGGUAAACCGGGCUGUAGCGGGCUAACAGGACUCCGGUAUCCAUCGCGUGACAUUUCCCCGAAGGGACAGACACAGGAACGAAGAAGGACACAUGCCGGCCAGCCUAAGUGUUCCGGAGCAGUAGCAAGCUACCAAGGCUCAGUGGAGACACUAGGAGACAUUUCCUGGUAAGAGAGGCUACUAAGAAUAAACAACUAGAUAGUCAGAUCCCACAUAUACCAAGCAUUUCAAUCAUACACACAGUAUGCUCGAUAUGUGCAAAUACAACAAGGCAUCACAACAUGACUCUACAACACAAGUACUUUAUUUAAAGGCUCAGGGAGCCAUACAUAUCAUACACACAAGUACGGGUCACACGACCCAGCAUUCAAGUCAUACAGACAUACAAGCCAACAGCGGAAGUAACUUGUCUGAGAAUAGACAACUAGUAAAAUAAAAGAGGCUUGGGAAAGCCUGACUAUACUACGUGGUCCUUCACAAGCUCAGGAUCACCACCNNNNNNNNNNNNNNNNNNNNNNNNNNNNNNNNNNNNNNNNNNNNNNNNNNNNNNNNNNNNNNNNNNNNNNNNNNNNNNNNNNNNNNNNNNNNNNNNNNNNUGAAAUUUUGUGUUGACAUAAUGUGGGACUAAUGCCCUUAAGAUCAUCCAGAGUAUAUCCAAUAGCAGCUCGGUGCUUCUUCAGAGUUUUCAAUAAUCUUUUUUCUUCUUUCUCUGAAAGGUUAGCACUAAUAAUAACAGGAUAUAUUUCUUUUUCAUCAAGAUAAGCAUACUUGAGAUUAUUAGGUAAGGGUUUGAGUUCGAACACGGGAUCACCCUUGGGUGGAGGGGGAUCCCCAAGAAUUUCAACGAGAAGGUUAUGUUUUAGCAUAGGUUCUUGUUUAAGGAACACUUCGUCUAUUUCUUCCCUUUCCUUCAUACACUGCAAGAAAUAUGUCAACUUGUGACCAGCACUAUUGGUCACUGAAUGGUCACUGUUUUCAAUUUGUGACCUUUUUGUGACCAAAAAUAUAAGGUCAAAAGCUGGCGGUCGUAAACUGACUAUAGCGACCUUUCUUCUGGAAUGGUCGAAGACGUUUAUGACCAAAAUACGUCUACUGUGGCGUUUUGGUCACUAGCAACCUCCCCAGGCCACGUAGGCAUCCAGCGUGACAAUCUGAUGUGGCAUAAGAUUCAGCCCGGUCCAAUUCAAUUUUCUACAUGGGCCUAGCCCAACAAUUCGGCCUUUUAAUGUAUUUGUUUCUUGUUAAUUUUCGGUAGCUACAUGGGCUUGGGCCAUUAAUUCGGCCUUUUUUCUAAGAUGCAGCCUUUUAUAGUCUACUGAUUUUUUAUUUUCGUCCUUUUUUUUGCCAUUGGUCCCACCAAUCAGAUUGGUCCCACUUGUCAUGCUUAUCACAAAAUUGAUCCCACACAUCAAAAAUUUCAAAAUUUGUCAAACAACCAUUAUAACUUGGAUCCCCUUGUCAGGUUUCCAUUUGACGGGUAUUCAAAUCUCAUACACAAUCAUUAUUUCAAACAAUGCAAAUAGCAUAUGAAAUUCAUCCAAAACAACACGACAUUGGUCUAUUACAAAUGUUACAGUAUACUACAGCCCAGAUAAGCCUACUACUGCCUAAAUUUACAACACAUAAUAUGCUAGUCUUUGUUGAUAUGCUUCACAGCUUCAAACUUGGAUCCGCACUUCACCUGUACAAAAAAAUGAAUGAACAUAUAAGAAUAAGAAUGUGUAUAGAACUUCGAACCUGCAUUUACAACACAUAAUUUUUGUACUAGUUAAAAUCGAACAUGGUUUGUACUUCUCACAUAAAUCUUUACUCUUGUAAAUUCAAAGCUAUGUUUGAUCCCAGACGACAUGAGCUGAUGAUUAUAAUGUAUGACACCCUACUGAAGCAACAAACAACUCCUGACUUAUUACUACAAAGAAAAUAGUUCUUCCCAAGCCUCCAUUUUAACAAUGUAUAAAUCUACACAGGCAUAUACUGUUAUGUCACUGCCUCCUAAGUAUAUAGUGACAUCCAAUUUAAAUUCAGCAUACAAGGUAAGAUGCAACGCGUUAAUCAACUUACAUUAACUACUGGUAAUUCAGAGUGAAGUUGUUUCUGAACACCACUAGUGUAAUUAGCUAGCUAGGUGUGUGUAGGGAGGGAGGGAAGCUAGCUAGGUAGCUAUGGAUUUGAGUGACAUUCAGAGAAAUCAAUGGAUCAAUCAGUCUAGUAGUAGUAGUAACUGCGGCGACCACUCCCAUGGUACUCACUUGUUCUUAUCCAUGUGUCUAAACAAUGAUCAGACAGAAAACCGUACAGGUGGGGAGUGCCAAGCGUGAGAAGCAAACUUAUGUCAGAAGUCCUGAAUUCCUCCAUGUACACGCGCGCGAGCCAGCCUCCAGCUGAAUGCCCUAUCAAUGAUAGCUUCCCAUCUGCAAGCAUCAAACAGUCCAGAGUUAGGAUGAAUGCCCUCAAUUUUCAAACAUAAUUCAUUUUAUUCCAUGGUUUUCUGCAAAAAAAAUCUGCUUGCAGUUUCGUGGACAACUGAGUAUACUGUCCAUAAUCUUGAACCAGUUAGAGGGCUGAAACUAGCAGCAACAGAAGGAUAUUCAAAUUGGAAGAAACAAACAAAUUUUAGAUGGUGAAUUGGAAGCAAGAUUUUCUUUUUCAUGGCAACUGAAACCAAGCACAAGUUGCUCAAUGGCACAAAGGCAGUAAAACUGCUAGCUUCAAUCGCGGGGCACUGAUCAGUGCUAGAAAUUGCACCAUGAUUCGGGAGACGGACCUGGAGAGGAAAGCUCCCUGGCCUCGGACACCGCUUCCUCCACUCGUCUCAGGACACCAUUCCCACAGGCAAAGCAAGCACCUUAAGCCCUUUCGCCACGGAUCCUCAAAGAGACCCACCAGGUAGGCCUCUGCAGCUUCCUGAAGGGCCAGCACCGCAUGGCUCUGGAAGCGGAGGUCAGUCUGCACAGACAGAACAGGGUGGUGCUUUUAGUUUACUUGAUUCAUCAUACUAUAAGAGUUGAGAUAAUAGGAGCAUAACAAUGUAGUUAUGUACUGUGAAGUUUGAGGAGCAUAACAAUGUAGUACUGUACUGUGAAGUUUGAGGAGCAUAAAAUAUAUGAGACAGUUUACUUGAACCAAAGUUUAAUGAGUACCUUACCUACUAGUAGUACUGUACUGUGAGACUUUCCUAAAGCAGAGUCUGUUACCAAACAGAGUGAGAACCAUCAGAAGAACAGAGAUGGUAUUUGAACAAGCAACUAGUAUAAAUUUGAACAAGCAAUGGUAUUUGUCAAUGCUGGAGAUACAGUCAAACUGUAAUCACAAAGAAUGAUUGAGUGCAUUGGAGAUACAGUCAAACUGUAAUCACAAAGAAUGAUUUUGAGUCCAUGGCCAGUGAGGGAGUCCUGGAUUAGGGGGUGUCCGUAUGGCCGGACUAUGACCUUUGGUCGGACUCCCGGACUAUGAAGAUACAAGAUUGAAGACUCCGUCCCGUGUCCGGAUAAGGACUUUCCUUGGCUUGGAAGGCAAGCUUGGUGAUACGAUAUGAAGAUCUCCUCCCAUUGUAACCGACUCUGUGUAACCCUAGCCCUCUCCGGUGUCUAUAUAAACCGGAGAGUUUUAGUCCGUAGGACGAACAACAAUCAUACCAUAGGCUAGCUUCUAGGGUUUAGCCUCUCUGAUCUCGUGGUAGAUCAACUCUUGUAAUACCCAUACCGUCAAUAUUAAUCAAGCAGGAGUAGGGUUUUACCUCCACCGAGAGGGCCCGAACCUGGGUAAAAACAUCAUGUCCCUUGUCUCCUGUUACCAUCCGCCUAGACGCACAGUUCGGGACCCCUACCCGAGAUCCACCGGUUUUGACACCGACAACCAGUCUGCUUAUGGUAAUGUAUUGCGCUGCACAUAUCAUUUAAGUUUACUUCAGCAUGCAAUAUUUAAGAAGUUCCGCUUUACUGAAAAAAUCUUAUAAAUCAACAUAUUUUUAGUCAUUGAGCAUAUGUCACAGUAAUAGUCAUGAUCUUUCAGUAAGCAUCGAUUGUGGAAACAGUAGCACUGGCUACUACGGCUACAGCAACACCAAGAAAUUCAACGAAGCAACGACCACCAUACAGAGCUAAGCACUAGCUACUACGGCUAGUAAGUGAGUCGGUCAAAUAGCCCUACGUACUUCUUGUUGAUAUGCAACAAUACUCCUUGACAAAUAGCCGAUCAUAUUCUGAGCCAUUCCUGCUUUCCCUAUGCCAGAUAUAAAUUUAUAACUAGCCUUAUGAAAGGUAAAGAUACUAUAGAUUAUGUGGUGAGAAAACCCUAGCAGCUACCAGCCAGUCAGACAGCACCUCACUAACUUAGAGCCGUGAGCAAAUUUGAGGGCCACAAAAAAUACGUGUGGGUGAAGCGAAUUACACAAAUAAGCCUCACCCGAUCCACUACAUCGUCACAUUUCUACACUAAAUCAACUGACUAAAAAUAGAUUGCUGGAUGCACAAAUAGGAUCGCGUUGCUUGUUAAUUCUACUGCUGAAGCCUGUCGACGAGGACAUUAACUGAAUUUUAGUUCUUCCACGCAUGGACAUUGUAUCCAUACACUCGGCCCAGCGUCUCUACAGCUACAGCCGACACGGACAUUAUAACAGCCCUACGCAACGCAACAAAAUCAAGAUCCCAUCUGACGGACCAAUGCUCAUUUUAUCUAUUGAAUAGAUUGCAGACUUGCAGCGAUAGCUAGCAAUGUUGGAUUUUACCUGUAUCACUUGGAGCAGAGGAGGGAGGAGAAGAUGGCGCGGAGCCCGGUGACAGUGUGGCUCUUGGUGGGGUGGCGGAUGAUGCACUGGUCGAGGGUGGUGGUGACGGAGCGCGCCUCCGGGGCUCCGGUGAGCACGUCAUCGAUGGCCUUGUGCACGCGGAGGUAGUGGAAGAGGGCGCGGCCGUGGACGCCCAGCGGGCGGUNNNNNNNNNNNNNNNNNNNNNNNNNNNNNNNNNNNNNNNNNNNNNNNNNNNNNNNNNNNNNNNNNNNNNNNNNNNNNNNNNNNNNNNNNNNNNNNNNNNNCUCUCUCUCUCUCUCUCUCUCUCUCUCUCUCUCUCUGUAUGUAUGUCUCGAUUGACCUCGCUCUUUCUCGAACAAAAACGAUAUAUCACCAUGUUUGAGCCCAAUUUGACUUAUUCACAUUGUAUGCUCUCUCAUGCACAUUGUCUAUCUAGGUCACUCUCUCCAACCCGUCUCACUCUUUCGAUCGCACGACGACUGUCGGUGUCAAAACCGGCGGAUCUUGGGUAGGGGGUCUCGAACUGUGCGUCUAAGGCUAAUGGUAACAGGAGGCGGGGGAUACAAUGUUUACCUAGGUUCGGGCCUUAUCGAUGGAGGUAAUACCCUACUUCAUGCUUCAUUGAUCUUGAUGAUAUGAGUAUUACAAGAGUUGAUCUACCACGAGAUCAUAGAGGCUAAACCCUAGAAGCUAGCCUAUGAUUAUGAUUGUUGUUGUCCUAUGGACUAAACCCUCUGAUUUAUAUAGACACGGAUGGGGCUACGGUUACACAGAGUUGGUUACUGAGAAGGAGAUCUACAUAUCCGAAUUGCCAAGCUUUCCUUCCACGCAAAGGAGAGUCCCACCCGGACACGGGACGAAGUCUUUAAUCUUGUAUCUUCAUAGUCCAAUAGUCCGGCCAAAGUAUAUAGUCCAGCUGUCCGAGGACCCCCUAAUCCAGGAAUCCCUCAACGACCCUAUGUGAUUGAUUAACCUUGGUUCCUCCCACGCAAAAAAUAUAUCUACACGUCUGUGACUGGAUCAUCUCUCCAGAGCAAAUAUAUUUGUUCAAUAAAUGUCGGACCACACUCACUUUGUCUCUCUAUCUAUAUGUCUCUCGAUUGACCUCUCUUGCUGACGCCGUAUCUUCCACAGAUUGAAGCUACCUCUCCAUCCCUCGCAAAGCCGGAGCUAUUUACAUUGUGAGGGGCACUCCAACCUUGGAUUAAUUUGUGUAGGCAUUUAUUCCGGUCGGUUUAGAUUAUAUUUUCGUAGCAUUCGGCCCAAAACUACUCGAAACACCGUUGCAACCCCCGCAACUCCCCUAGUUGAUUUCCCUCUGGCUCAGUCAUCGCUCUCUCGCACGUCCUUUCUUGCCUUCAAUGUUGCACUAUGGUAUUAUUGCAAAAAACUAUGUUAUUCUCUUUAAUUAUUAUAAAUAAGCUACAAAACUACACACUGAUAGUCCACUUGGAAUGGAACAAAUUUCGACCCACAAAUUAAAGUGCUACAAACAAAACACCGAGGGGCCCACAUGUCAUGAAACAAAUUUGAACCCAUAUAAAAAUUAAAAAAUAAAGGACGAGGAUCGAACAUGCGACCAGGGCCUUCAAGCCGCACGUCAAUAGGCAACAUACAUAGAACAUCAAUGUUUGUUUUAUCUCCCUUUGUUCACAUGAUGUUUUUAUAUUACCACAGCCUAUUUAAUUGAUAACAAGUAAUAUUAGUUUUAAUACUAUUCGCCUUCACUUACUGGUGGGUUCCAUGUGUGCUCUCUCCCUCUCCUCCCCUUCUGCGUUUAGACGCACGGGCAAACACGAAGAACUCACGGGCGAUGUUGCCGUUGACCAUAUCUGGACGUGUUCACAAGUUACGACACCAGUUUCACGUGCUAACAGCACUAGUCAGUGUGUACGUGCAAUGCACGUUAAUUUGUAAGUAUAUUAAGCGCAUGCGUAUAUUAAUUAGGAUAUUAUUCGCGUGUUAUUAUGUGAUUAGCACUAUUUUUGGCAUUAAAUUAACUACACGCUAUACAUGUUGAGCGCUCGACAUUGAAGCAGUCUAGGUUGUUGGAUGACAAGGAAUACAUGUGGCUUGAUGACGUUUUAUAUUUAAUUUGAUAUGGCUCUAGCAGAACAUUCAAUCGAUCAAACCAUAGAUUUCGUUCAGUCUGACUCCGACUUUAAAUUAUACGACGAUCGAUCUAAAAUAAAUGGAAAUGAUAAACAUUAGGAUUUUAAGCAUGACAAUCCGAACGUUUUUCAUGGAAAUUUUAGAUUAUGCGGCGGCGGCGGCGUCUUGCGGUGGGAAGCGGCUCCUGUGCCGUGCUCUUUGUUUCGUCGGGCCACUGACCGACGGCGAUGGCGGUGCCUUGCGCCGUUGUUGGCGUACUCCUGGACGUUGGCCUGGCUUCAAGGAAGGCUAAAAUGUUCUGGACUUCGGAGCGAGUCAACUGGCGGGAGGAGGCGACGGGCGUUGGUGCAAGGAAGUGGUCAACGGCGGCCAUCCAUGCCGCUGAGGGGGGCACUGGCGCCCGUGCGGGGACAGGCGUUGUCAACGGCGCGGCGGAGACAUUCGUGUGCACGGGCACCGGCAGGGGCGCGCACGUCAGUGCACACCCAGGCGCAUGCGCUGGCAGGUGCACGACACCGGCAUGGGCGUGCGCGUCAGUGCACGCCCAGGCGCAUGCGCUGGCAGGUGCACGGGCGCGUGAAAGUCGGCGGGGACCUCGUGGAACCCCGUGGCAUCAAGCUCGGCGACAAUGUGCGGCUCCCAGCCCAUCAAUGCCACGGGGAUGGGUGCUGGCGCAGUCGGGGCGACCGAAGCCAGAACAGGAGCGGGGACAGGCGCGGCUUCUUCCCGCAAGGCCAGUUCAAGAUCGUCCCAAAGCGCCUUAUGUUCUUGAGACCCUGGCUGAGUGUCUUCCUUAGGAAACUGGAAGACUAAGGGCAGACCAUCUUGAUGCGGCAUGGCGUACGUUUAGGUCAGGCUGGUUGGAGGUAGACGAUAGGAGAAUCGGAGAGGAAGAGAGAAAAUUGUAGCGAUAUUGGGUAGUGUGGGGUUGAUUUUAAACUGUGGUGCCGGCGACAUUAAAAGUGGGAGCAGUUGGGACGAAGGUGGGCGGCAGAGCCUAGUCAAAGGGCUCGCCUCCCGGUGAGCCUACACAGCGGUCUGCUCGCCCGCCUCCCUGUCAGCCGGCGCAGCGGUCUGCUCGCACACCUCCCUGUCAGCCGGCGCAGCGGUUUGCUUGCACGCCUCCUAUCGACUCACAUGCUUGCUCGGACGGCACCUGCCGAUGAGAAGCGGGACUCGUGGCAGCACAUAAACACCCACGGAUUCAAUAGUGAAAGUGUUCGCCUUAACAUGACGGGUCUUUGUUCCAAAAUACUUUGGCUCUUCAUUUGUGCAACUUGUCAUAAGUAGCUUGUCUCAAAUUGAAGAAAAAAAUUACGAAGUAAUAUUUGUGCCAUAUCACGUGACCAUGCUCAGUUUCAAGAAUUUAUGGUCACUUUUGGAUUUUCUGAAAUUUAAGAUCCAGGAUUCAAAACAAUAUUAUAACCAGCAUCAUGCAAUAAAUUUUCAAGCCAUACAUCUGUCCUGUUGUAUUUCUUAAGAAAGGAUUUAGUCAAACAUUUUGCUUAGUUAGACUUCAGACAAGUUAUAUAUGCAGAGCAAAAGGAUAAUCCCUCCGUACCAGUGCAUUGCCUGAUAUAUUAACUCAAGUACUAGGCACGAACAAACGAGCUCAAUUAUGUGCUCAUCCUGGUGUAGUAGUAGCAGUACUAGGCAAUGCAGUUGACGGGUGCCCUUGGCGAGCAGCGACCGAGGGAAUUGAACCGUGCUCGGCACGGUAGGUAACGUUGUCUAGUUACUAAAGCAUCUCUCCGUUGUUCAUCGGUAGUCAUUAUGGACCGGGGACAUGAGGCGAAUUUCCUAGGGUUGGAAUUUUGGCCGCCAGAUAUUUCGACUCGAAACGCGGAGGCUCGACUGGUUGGGGUUGCUUAAUGUGCGUACUACACACGCCACCAGAAGGACACGAGCCUGGUUUUUUUAUUUUUUAUUUUUUUAGGAUCAACACGAGCCAAGGUCUGGAUGGUACGCCGUUGGGUCCUACCAUUCGAGAAUACGAAUGGAACCUUUUAAAUUGCCGAACAAAUCUAUGUGUAUUACAAUGCCUGUAUUUUGCUUGCAAAUACUAAUCUCAACGUGGUAAUUGAUUUAUGAUGAGUUGCUGAAUUAGAGUGAGUUUGUCAUAUAGUGAUCUCAAUGUGGAUUUCACAUUUCAUGGUAUCCCUGGUAAGUUUUUCAACGCAAAUUCAAAUUUAAAAGAUGAACAAUAUGGAGGUGAGAAAACUUUGUAUGUAUCAAGCAUAUGACUACACACACANNNNNNNNNNNNNNNNNNNNNNNNNNNNNNNNNNNNNNNNNNNNNNNNNNNNNNNNNNNNNNNNNNNNNNNNNNNNNNNNNNNNNNNNNNNNNNNNNNNNUUUCAGGACGCUCUUGGCCCAUCUGACAUGGAACAUCGGGACCUUCUCUCCAGCGUAGCUCAACUCCCAGAUCUCCUCGAUCCUUCUGUAGUAUCUGUCCUUGUCGUUACCGGUGUAGGAUUCCAUCGUUACCUCGGAGUUCUGAUAAUUGCUCUUCAUGUCCUUUUCCUCGGUGUAGAAUGUGUAGCCAUUGAUAUCGUAUGCCUCAUAGGUCAUCAGGUUGUGCUCGACGCCCUAUGACAAGGCAAAUAUGAGUUUUUCUUCCGCGGAAGAAUCCUCAAAAGGGUACGACAGAAGCUUCUCCUUGAACCAACGCGUGAAACAUGAGUUGUGCUCUUUGAUUAUAUCUCCGUCUAUCCUCUGUUGUCCUCGGUCAUUGUAUGUCUUCUCAAUAAAGGUUUUGUGCUCUACCACCCAAGGAUCGACCACGUCUAUGUGUUGUAGCGCGACUAGGUUUUCUCUUUCAAAGUCGGCGAGUCGAACCUUGAAGUCGGCAUGCAUUUCGCGACGACCCCAUCCAGCGAGCCUGCCGAGGUGCCUGUUAACGGGCAGACCAACAGGGUUCUCGAUGCCUAGAUAAUUCAUGCAGUAGGAGAUGCACUCUUCGGUAAGAAAGCCCUUGGCUAUGCUUCCAUCUGAACGUGCCCUGUUGCAAACAUAUCCUUUGAUGACACCAUUCAUCCUUUCGAAUGGCAUCAUUCUGUGCAGGAACGUCGUCCUGAGUUGGAUGAUAUCCUCCACGAUAUGGACCAGCAGAUGCACCAUAACGUCAAAGAAUGCGGGCAGGAAGUACAUCUCAAGCUCGCAUAGGAUCACCACGAUCUCUUCCUGUAGCCUUCUGAGUUGCCUCACGCCAACCGACUUCCAAGAGAUGAUGUCAAAAAAGUUGCAUAGGCCAAAUAGCGUUUCACAGAAGUGUGCGUCCAUGAUCCCAUGAGUUGCAAUUGGAAGUAUCUGCGUUAUCAGCAUGUGACAGUCGUGAGACUUCAUCCUGUUGAACUUCUGCUUCGCCGAGUCUAGGUAUCUGCUUAUCUUCCCCGCGUAACCGUAAGGAAGUUUUACUCCUACGAGGCAGGUGAAAAACUGCUCGAUCUCCUCCUGACUUAGAGUGAAUCAUGCGGGAGGGCAGUCAUAUUUGAUCUUCUUGGCCUUUUUGCCUUUGCGACAACUUUCCGUGUCCUUCGCCUCAUCAUCAUCAUCAUUAGGGCAUUUUGCAUGAAGCUCCUCCCUGAUGCCCAUUGAUUGCGAGUCUUCCCUUGCUUUCGGCCCAUCUUUGGUCCUCUCUGGCAUGUUGAGCAGGGUACCAAGAAGACUCUCACACACGUUCUUUGUGAUAUGCAUGACAUCAAGGUUGUAAGGCACACGAAGGAUCUUCCAGUAUGGCAAGUCCAAAAAAACAGACCUCAUUUUCCAUACCUUCAGGAGUGGCUCUGGCGCCUUUCGCUUCUUUCCCGGCGGUGGGCACUCUUUCCAAUUUUUCAACAGCUCGUCUAUUUCCUCGCCGCUCCUUGUACGCGGGCGUCUUCGGGGUUCGGUUUUCACCAUUGAACAGAUCCUUGCGUUUUCUCCAUGCGUCAUCGUCGCGAAGCCACCUUCGAUGUCCCAUGAACACGGUUUUCGAAGACCCGAGAUCUCUAUCUAGCUGACGAUACAUUGUGUCAUCCAUGCACCUGACGCAUGCACAAAAUCUGUGGACCACCUGCCCCGCGACAAAUCCGUAAUCGAGAUAGUCGUGCACCGUCAUGAGCAAUGCGGCUCUCAUAGGGAAAUAUUCUUUCGCUGCGGCGUCCCACGUAUUGGCUGGCGUUUUCCACAGCGUGUCUAGAUCCUCUUUCAGCAGCCCCAGAUACAGAUUGAUUUUGUUCCCUGGUUGUUUCGGCCCUUCAAUUAGCAUACUCAUGUGAAUGUACUUCCUCUUCAUGCACAUCUAGGGGGAAGGUUGUACAUCCACACAAGCAGAGGCCAGGUGCUACGUGAGCUUCUCUGGCUGCCAAACGGAUUGACUCCAUCAAUGCUCGCGCCCAGCAUGAUGUUCCUUGGAUCGUCCCCAAAUUCUGGGUGUUCAAAGUUCAACGCUUGACACUGGCUCGCAUCCUUAGGGUGACUCAGCAUCUUGUCUUUUUUAUUUAUCUCCGGAUCAUUUCCGUAAUCUUCUCGCUUCUUCUCCUCCCUAUCCGCGUGCCAAUGCAUGAGCUUUGCUAGCUUAGGGUCCGCGAAAUACUGCUUCAGACGAGGAGUGAUCAAAAAGUACCACACCACUUUUCGAGGAGCUUUCUUCCUCUUCUAGUAUCGAGUGACGCCGCACACCGGACAUAUGGUAGACUCCGCGUGCUCGUCCCGAUAAAUGAUGCAAUCGUUCAUGCACACAUGGUAUUUCACGUGCGGUAAAUCCAGAGGACACACGAUUUCCUUCGCCUCCUUGAAACUGGUCGGGCACUUGUUCCCCUUGGGAAGACGUUCGUGCCGGAAUGACAUGUUCUCGUCGAAGCAUGCGUCGGUCAUUUUGUGUUUUACCUGCAUCUCUAGAGCCAUGAGCGUUACUUUCAGGCGGGUAUCCUCAGUCGUGCAUCCUUCAUACAUGUUGGAAAUAUGCCCUAGAGGCAAUAAUAAAAUGUUUAUUAUUAUAUUUCCUUGUUCAUGAUAGUUGUCUAUUGUUCAUGCUAUAAUUUUAUUGAUCGGAAACCGUAAUACAUGUGUGAAUACAUAGACCAUAACAUGUCCCUAGUGAGCCUCUAGUUCACUAGCUCGUUGAUCAACAGAUGGUCAUGGUUUCCUGACUAUGGACAUUGGAUGUCAUUGAUAACGGGAUCACAUCAUUAGGAGAAUGAUGUGAUGGACAAGACCCAAUCCUAAGCACAUCACAAGAUCGUGUAGUUCGUUUGCUAAAGCUUUUAUAAUGUCAAGUAUCAGUUCCUAUGACCAUGAGAUUGUGUAACUCCCGGAUACUGUAGGAGUGCUUUGGGUGUACCAAACGUCACAAUGUAACUGGGUGACUAUAAAGGUGCACUAUAGGUAUCUCCGAAAGUGUCUGUUGGGUUUGCACUAAUUGAGACUGGGAUUUGUCACUCCGUAUGGCGUAGAGGUAUCUCUGGGCCCACUCGGUAAUGCAUCAUCAUAAUGAGCUCAAUGUGACUAAGUGGUUAGUCACGAGAUCAUGCAUUAUGUAACGAGUAAAGUGACUUGCCUGUAACGAGAUUGAACGAGGUAUUGGGACACCGAUGAUCAAAUCUCGGGCAAGUAAUGUACCGAUUGACAGAGGGAAUUGUUUACGAGAUUGCUUGAAUCCUUGACAUCGUGGUUCAUCCAAUGAGAUCAUCGUGGAACAUGUGGGAGCCAACAUGGGUACCCAGAUCCCGCUGUUGGUUAUUGGCCGGAGAGUUGUCUCGGUCAUGUCUACAUGCCUCCCGAACCCGUAGGGUCUACACACUUAAGGUUCGAUGACACUAGGGUUAUUAGGAAGACUUGUAUGUGAUUACCGAAUGAUGCCCGGAGUCCCAGAUGAGAUCUCGGACGUCACGAGGAGUUCCGGAAUGGUCCAGAGGUGAAGAUUUAUAUAUGGGAAGUUGUCAUACGGUCACCGGAAAAGUUUGGGGGCAUACCGGUAUUGUAUCGGGGCCACCGGAGGGGUUCCAGGGGUCCACUGGGAAGGGUCACCUCUCUCGGAGGGCCUCAUGGGCCGUAGUGGGAAGGGAACCAGCCCUNNNNNNNNNNNNNNNNNNNNNNNNNNNNNNNNNNNNNNNNNNNNNNNNNNNNNNNNNNNNNNNNNNNNNNNNNNNNNNNNNNNNNNNNNNNNNNNNNNNNGUCGGUGGGUAUUCGAAGUCGUGAGAUCUCAGGUUGGCAGUCGCCAGCGGUUGGGGGCGUUGAUUGGGCGGUGUGGUGGGGAUCGCCGGAGAAAGAGCUCGGCGGGGGGGGAGGGCUAGAGGGAUGGCCGGUGCGGCGGCAGACCGGCGGUGGGGAGUGGUUUCGGGGAGGGCGGGGCGUCAUGUCGGCGCGGGCCGGCCACGGAUGGCGGGGGCUGGUAGUUCGGCCGGUGGUGGCUGGCGGCUCAGGGGGGUGGAGUUUGAUGAUGAACUGGAGGCCCUUGAUUUUGUAUCCAACGGCUGGAAAAUAUAAUGACCAGAGAUGAAAAACUCAGUCGACUGACGUGUAGCCUCACCCCGCACGUACACAUGCACGCACACAAGACACGCACGCAUGCAGGCGUGCAACACUGACACAUACACAUAACGUACACACACGCAUGCUGGUGUGCAACACUGACACAUACACAUGCACUCAUGAACACACGCACGCACCCAUGCAUGCUACACUGAAACGUACCCUUCCACACACGCAACACUCGCACGCCUGCAUGCACACAGCGCACGACGCAAGACACAUGCUCAACCUAUACGUGCAUGCACCCUUUGUUAAGGACAUGGAUUGUUACGGGUAUUAAUCAAUCUUAUCUGUGAUAAGCAGAAGAUUGGUGUUUGCAGCGGUCUUUAUGAAUCACAAUGUAUCGAACGGGCUAUCAACAUAGUAGGCUUAUCUACAUGAAAAAGAUGACAUCACACUCAAUGAACAAUCAUCGGUUUAUGAAAUGCCCACUUCUGACCGCCCUAGCCCACCAAAGGUUCCUCUGCUGUGCGCUGCCUGCGUUGGGUCACUGACAUGCAGGCCAUGUACCCAAAGAGCCCACACGUCAGUGGAAGAACGGCGCGGUGUCCUAGGUCAGAGUCGAGGGCGCCACUCGCUGCAUGCCCGGCUGAACACGCCCCCUUGCCGCAUUCAAACGCCUCCAUGAAACCCGCCCGUGUGGAAGCCGAGAAACCCACUCUAGACGCACGUCCGUUCAUGACUGGGCCGGCAUUAAACGCAACGCCGGCCGAGCUCCUCCCGUCCGCCGUCUAUUUAAUCUCCUAUUUAAACGAGGCCAAAUGUCGGCCAAGAAUCGCACACCUCCGCCGCUCCCCUAUCUCCUCCUUCACCAUUUUGUACGCUCUUACAAUGGCUUACGAAGAGUAGUUAUUCCGCAUCCAAGCUGGCUGGGUAGCCCGCCGGAUGCGAGCUAUGCAGCUCGCCAAUCCACCUCCCUCCCCUCGCCCGACGGAGCCAGUUGCCGCCCCAAGCUAGCGCGCGGUUCAGCAACUCGCCGCUCUAGGCCAGCUCGACGAGGAUUGGCGCACGGGCGUCGUUGCUGCCGUCCAUGCCGCCGCCUUGUACCGCGUCUCCCGUUUCUAUGGCCGAGAUUCCCAUGCUAGCGGCCGCACCAUGCAAGCAGCGACAGAAGCCGGGUGCGCGGAGAGCGACGAGUCGGUGGCUAGCGCCUCCGCGUCCGCCGCCAUCAUCGAGGAGAAGUAGAACACGGGAGGCCGCCGCCGCUUGGGUCCCAUGAAGGCGACCACAGAGGCUACGUCGGCGUACACAGCAGGAGUCUUUCCGGAUCCUUUUGUUGCGAGGACCUUCGUCGACCCCGGAUGGGCUCCACAGAAGAGGGGUAUGUUAGGAUGAACUCGAGCCGGUGCCGGCCAUGGCGAAGUACUGGCCGGUGGUUAACUCGAAUCGGUGCUGGCCACCAUCAUCUUCGGCAUCAGCCAAUGAUAUCAGUUGGGCAGUGGGGAAGCGAUCCGUCCUUUGCGCUGAAGCAUAUACCUCCGAGGCUCCCGGUAGUCCAGUGAUCAUGCUGCCGGACAUGAGGAACACAAAUCGAUCGGCGGGCGGCCAUUUCGGCCAGGUAUUAUAUACCUGUGCUGUCCAGAACUAGCACCGCGUAGUUCAUUUGAAUGUAAUGAAAUCCGUCAUGCUUGGAUGAAAAUUCGGUAUUUUAUAUGAUUUCCAUCGUUGUUUAUAUGAAAUAUCAGUUUGUCUACGUGUUUGCGUGAAUUUCGUCCAGUUGGUUGAGUUGCUGUCAUAAUGUGUGCGGCUAUGGUUGGAUGGCGUAAUUUGCGGGUCGCCGGUCAGUCUAUGGGCCGCUCGGGCGGUGUUGUGGGACAAAAAAACACAGCUCGUGCGAGCUCGUCUCCAACGUGCGUGCUGGAGGAUGCAUGACAGCAUGAGCACCCGAGCCAUUCCUCGUUCAUCGGUGGCAAAGGCACCGGUGGACAAAAGGGUCGCCAAUAUUUUGGCUACCCCGGCAAGAUCCAAACAGCCCCUCCCAAGAGAUUCAAAUCCCUCGUUCGCUGUGGAAUUUUGCCAUGUGUUGUUUUCAUGGACUAGCAAGAUGCCCGUGCAUUGCACGGAACAUCAAGAUGCAUUUUUUUACAAAGUCUCGCAUGCAUGCAAUGGAUAAUUAAUGUCCUCCUUGGCUAGUACCACGAGGCAAACACCAUUAAUAUUGCAUCGAUUAGUGUUAGUGGCCUUGUAUAUCUGCAAAUUGUAAUUUUGUUAGUGGCCCUUGUAUAUAAAAAUGGAGGGAGAAAGAUGAGAGAUAAGGUGAGGAGGAGUGGGGCGUGGUGGUAACUGGUGGUCGGACUGGGCGGAGGCAUGGGGAUGGACGGCGCAUUAUGUCUAGGUUUGUAUCUCUCACACACACACACACACACACCCACAUAGGUGGGGGACGUGCACGAAGAGAAGAGGUGCACGCACGGCGCACGUACUCCCGUCUCUUUCCCAACCACACCCGCGCAGGUACAUGGUGGAGCUUAUUUCUGUAUGAAAAGGAAGCCCACGUGGUAAUUUGACACGUGUACUGGUUGUCCACUUGGUGGAGGGAGGAUCGUCUAACAAACAAAUUGCNNNNNNNNNNNNNNNNNNNNNNNNNNNNNNNNNNNNNNNNNNNNNNNNNNNNNNNNNNNNNNNNNNNNNNNNNNNNNNNNNNNNNNNNNNNNNNNNNNNNGAGGCAUCAUCGAUCGGCUUCAGCUAGCAGCAGUAGCAAAGGAAUCGCUCGAUCGGGUUCAGUUAACAGCCAUCGAUCAAUCGCUCGGGUUCAGUAACGCGUAGCUUGCAGUGCAAUCGCUCGGGUCCAGUUAGAGCCCAAUGCCUCGCUCGGGUUCAGAUAGAGCCCAACGCCUCGCACCUACGCGUGUGCAUGUAUGAGAGAAACGCGCAUCGCUCGGCCCCGACCACCCACCGUAACCGGGAACACCCCGAUAAUUUCCUCGCCCUCACUUCUACCACAGUUUUUUCCAUCAUGGACGGCCCAAAGAAUGUCAUGCAGCUGCGUCUCCGGCCCGCCCAGAACGAAAAGCCCAUUUUCUGUCAUGAUUUUUUGUCAUAGAAGUAGGAGCCCACCACAUCUAUGAUGAUACCAGGUUUUGUCACAAUUAUCAUUAUAGAAGUGUCAUAAGUAUGACAGAAAAAAAAAUUGUUCGGCCCAAAAUGUCACGGAUGUGUCUUUUUUUGUAGUGUUACUAUGCUUGUGGCCAAGAUGCCAAUAUGAAUUAUGCUUAUGGAGAUGAACUUUCUAUAGUUCCUUAUGUUGAACAUGAAAUUGUUGCUAUUGCACCCACGCAUGAUAGUCCUAUUAUCUUUUUGAAUUCUCUUGACUACACUAUAUCGAAUAAGUUUUCCUUUAUUAAGGAUUAUAUGAUGGGUUGCCUUUUACCGUUGCACAUGAUGAUUUUGAUGAAUAUAAUAUGCAUGUGCUUACUGCUCCUACUUGCAAUUAUUAUGAGAGAGGAACUAUAUCUCCACCUCUCUAUGUUUCCCACAUGAUAAAAUUGCAAGAAACUAUUUAUACUAUGCAUUGGACUUUACUAUGUGUGCAUGAAUUGUUCUUUUAUGACAUGCCGAUGCAUAGGAAGAGAGUUAGACUUCUUCAUUACAUGAUAUAUGUUACUAUGUGCUCACUACUAAAUUACAAAUCAUUGUUAAUUAAAAUUGGCUUUGAUAUACCUUGGGAUCCGGGCGGAUCCAUUACUUGAGCACUAUAUGCCUAGCUUAAUGGCUUUAAAGAAAGCGCUGCCAGGGAGACAACCCAGAAGUUUUAGAGAGUCAUUUAUUUCUGUUGUGUGCUUUUAUAAAGUUUAAAAACAAAAAAAUAAAGAGGGGAACCCAAAACUUUUUCAAAAAGGAAAGUCAAAGUGAGAGAGACAGGCAUUGUUGAAGUGGAGGAGCUCCUUGAACUUUGUUCAUGCUCAUGGAAACUUUGUGAAUCUUCAUUACAAAAACUUUUCAAAAAAAAUAAUUAUCCCCUUGUACAAUUCCAUUGUAUAAUAAAAAUAAUGUGCCAAGGUUUGCCUUUAGGAUGUUUACAAUGUUUGUUGGUUUGUACGGUGCAGGACAGAAACUUUGGCUGUAGUGCGCGAUUUUAUAUUUUUAUUGGAAUGUCAAAUGGUUCUGAAACUUUUUGCACUGUCUUUCUAUACAAAUUUUUUAUUUUUCCUAAUUUUGGUAGAAUUUUUGGAGUGACAGAGGUAUGGUGAAUGUUCAGAUUAUUAUAGACUGUUCUGUUUUAGACAGAUUCUAUUUUUGAUGCAUACUUUGCUUGUUUUGAUGAAACUAUCAAUUUCUAUCAGUGGAUUAAGCCAUGGAAAAGUUAUAUUAAAGUAGAUAUAAUGCAAAAACAAAAUAUGAAUUGGUUUGCAACAGUACUUAGAGUAGUGAUUUGCUUUAUUAUACUCUCGGAUCUUACCGAGUUUUCUGUUGACUUUUGUGUGGAUGAAGUGUUCGAAGAUCGAGGAUGUCUAGAUAUGAGCAUAAGGAGGAGAGACAAGAGCUCAAGCUUGGGGAUGCCCAAGGCACCCCAAGUAAAUAUUAAAGGAGACUCGAGCAUCUAAGCUUGGGGAUGCCCCGGAAGGCAUCCCAUCUUUCUUCAACAAAUGUCGGUAUGUUUUCGGAUUCGUUUCGUUCAUGCGAUAUGUGCAAAUCUUGGAGCGUCUUUUGCAUUUAGUUUUCACUUUUUAUUUUAUGCACCAUGCUCGUAUGAGAUAGUCCUUGGUUUAUUUAGAGAAUGCUCAUUGCACUUCUCUUAUAUCUUUUGAGUAUGGCUUUAUAGAAUGCUUCAUGCGUGUCACUUAUAUCAUUUGAAGUUUGGAUUGCUUGUUUCUCUUCACAUAGAAAACCGCCAUUUGUAGAAUGCUCUUUUGCUUCACUUGUAUUUGUUAGAGCGUGGGCAUAUCUUUUGUAGAAAUAAUUAGACUCUCUUGCUUCACUUAUAUCUAUUUAGAGAGAUGACAUGAAUUGGUCAUUCACAUGGUUAGUCAUAAAAUCCUACAUAAAACUUAUAGAUCACUGAAUAUGAUGUGUUUGAUUCCUUGUAAUAGUUUUGCGAUAUAAAGAUGGUAAUAUUAGAGUCAUGCUAGUGGGUAGUUGUGGAUUGUAGAAAUACUUGUGUUGAAGUUUGUGAUUCCNNNNNNNNNNNNNNNNNNNNNNNNNNNNNNNNNNNNNNNNNNNNNNNNNNNNNNNNNNNNNNNNNNNNNNNNNNNNNNNNNNNNNNNNNNNNNNNNNNNNUUUGAAGUACUUUUAUGUUGGUUGGAUCAAUCUAAGAUUGUGUGAUCGUAUAAUCAUGCCCACGGAUACUUGGGGUGACAAUGGAGUAUCUAGGUGACAUUAGGGUUUUGGUUGAUUUGUGUCUUAAGGUGUUAUUCUAGUAUGAACUCUAUGAUGGAUUGAACGGAAAUAAUAGCUUUAUGUUAUUUUCCUACGAACUCUUGAAUAGAUAGAACAGAAAGGAUAACUUUGAGGUGGUUUCGUACCCGACCAUAAUCUCUACGUUUGUUCUCCGCUAUUAGUGUCUUUGGAGUGAAUCUUUGUUGCAUGUUGAGGGCUUGUUAUAUGAUAUAUCUAUGUUAUUAUUGUUGAGAGAACUUGCACUAGUGAAAGUAUGAACCCUAGGCCUUGCUUCCUAUCAUUGCAAUACCGUUUACACUCACUUUUAUCGCUUGAUACCUUGCUGUUUUUAUAAUUUCAGAUUACAAAAACCUUUAUCUACUAUCUAUUUUGCACUUGUAUCUUCAUCUCUUCGCCGAACUAGUGCACCUAUACAAUUUACCAUUGUAUUGGGUGUGUUGGGGACACAAGAGACUCUUUGUUAUUUGGUUGCAGGGUUGUUUGAGAGAGACCAUCUUCAUCCUACGCCUCCUAUGGAUUGAUAAACCUUAGGUCAUCUACUUGAGGGAAAUUUGCUACUGUCCUACAAACCUUUGCACUUGCAGGCCCAACAACGUCUACAAGAAGAAGGUUGUGUAGUAGACAUCACCACUCUUGGCUACAUGGAUGAGAUAGUAAGACAUGGAAAAACAAAAAUGGUGGCAGCUAGUGGGUUCAAGUCUUCAAGGGCCUAGCUAGCUAUACGCGUCCUCCAAGGUAAAAAGUACUCCUACCAGUACUACUAAGUAUACUACUAGUACAACAAUGAAAGAUAAGGCGAGAGGGUUAAAAAAUGGACGACUUGGGUAGAUGGUGACAGUCGGAUCGUGGUAGAUUGUGUGACCAUGCAUGUUGCACAUCAGUGGUACCAUGGGUAACGACUGCUAAGAUAGUUGAUCCCAAUAUGCCAAAUUCAGCUACAAGGUUCCAGGUUAGAUCGAAUCGCGGAUGCAAAUGCACAUCCAGGAUCGGUGAUCUUAUUUUGAUCGGGGGAUGACUGGUCCCUGCAAAAUAAUGGAUUACCGUUAGGGAUGCAAAUGAUGGUUUGUGCAUUCCGUUUGUAAUGUCCCGUACUGUAGGAUGGUAACCAAAUGAAACCAGUCCCCUGGCUUGCCACUACAAAGAUGCGUCCUAGAUGGCGCACGGCGUCUUCGAACGUGUAGGGGUACAAAUCUGCCGCCGCCAACAUGCGCUAGCCUCUGCCGUUACUGCCUCUUGCAUUGAUGGCAAUCCUUAUGUCGAACACUGCGAUGAGAUAGUAAUCAUCGUAGCCGCGUCGCUUUGUCGGCGGGUCCGCAAUUGCUAUCUCCUUCAAUCUCAUGUAGGCAUCAUCAUACGUAUUCAAGCCCAGCCAGUCUGGAAGGCCGAUCCCAAUGGUGGAGAAGGGGUCUAACGGAACGGCUGCACUGCUGUGGAUGUUGUGCAAAAUGAUGGUGGUAUCUGACUAGAGGUAUGCAAGCCAAUCUUCGUUGGCACCGACCCAGACCUAUAUAUAAGAUGGUGGGUAACGGAGAAAUUAUGGGAUGGAAAUGGAAUAACUAAGUACUAGAUGAUCAAACUCCAUUACUGACCUGCUCAUCGGACAAAAUCUGACUACCUCUCAACAUCGGCAACUCUAGCGGAGUCAACGUGCAACCAUGGCCAGGGAGCGGUGGACUGUUCAAAGGAUUGUCCCAUAGAAGAACCUUCUCGUCGAGGACGCAUGGAAGACUAACAAGCAUGGCCUUUUCCCAAGCCUGUUUAAGCAGCGUCUGAAAAAGUUGGUGCAGGAAGCACCGAGUCUUGCGGCGGUGAGGACGUCGGAGUGGCGUGCGAUUUCUCCCAGAGGAUCGUCGUCCAAGGUCUCCCAGCCCCGACGAGGAGGAGAACCGCCUGGCGAAUCCAUGGGAGCAGUGACGAACUGCCUUCUCUUCGGGGGGAGGGGAACUGGAGAGGAGGAGAUAAGAGCAUAGUAACCGCAAGGCCUCGUCCCUUCCAACUGUAGAUCGUUCCUCAGCGAAGGGGUGUGGCUAUUAUUUACUACUAGUACGAGCAUUAUGGAACGUUAUGGGAUUGCAUUAUACUAUAAAUAAUAGCACUAGGAAGAAUUGUUUGGCACUAGGUAGUAGUUUUUGGCGUGGAUUAAGAAAUUUGGGUAUGGUUUUGCCAUUUUUUGUACACGCCAACUAGUGUCAAAAAAUGUCUUACAUUAUGUGACAGAGGAGUACGUACUCGUACUGUAGCAGUACUAGUACUACUUUUUCUCAACUAGUAGUGCGAUGUACUGUACUUGUAGUCUAGUCUAGUAUAGUGCACCAGUUUUGAACUCUUGAAUCUCAGGGCCGGGCCAAGGAGCUACAGUUGGAAGUGGAGGGUACUACUGUUCUCUAGAACCAUCGCUGUACUAUCAAUGCAGGGAACGUACACCUGCGUAGUGGCCUAGUGGGUACUCUCGAUGCUCUAUUCAGCCGCUCCUCUCACGUAGCUGGCCUACUCAGCCGCUCCUCUCACACACACACUAGCAGCCUGUUUAUCAGCGGCGGUUACUGCGGGGGCAGAACAUUUGAGUUAUUUGAUACAGCGAGACUAUGCUUUUCGCUUCCAUUUGUGGAGGUGUAAUGGAUCUCGUCGAACUUUGUUAGUAGUUCCUUAUUUAUGAAUGAGAUGAAGCAAAGCUUUUGCCUCCGUUUCAAAAAAAACACGUCAAGAGUAAUUUCUUUUGUAGUAGAGCUGAUAAUGGAGUGAAGUCCAUGUGUGCAAUGCCACAAGCUACAGAGUAGUAGUAGAGCACUUUACGUAUAGAGCCAGAUUGUACAGUUCCCAAUGACCCGUCAGGCUUUUCCGGCUCCUCGGGCUUAAUUGGGAGGCGCUAGUUUAAAUAUGCUACUAGCUGAGGAGGAAGCUGCAAGCGAGGUGCGGCUAGGGCGAGUCGCGAGCCACGUGAUGCUAGGAAGGAAAAAUCGUUCACAUGGCUAGGCUAUCCAGUGCACCCAGAUUGUGGGGCUGCACGUCCGUUUGAUUUCAAAACUCAAACUACCCGCGUAAAAUAUUGGCUCGCAGCGAAGUGUAGUAGUACUAUGUUUUUAAAAAAGGACGUCGUGCGUUCGGCCGGGAUCGAACCCACAAAACGAGGUAUACACUCUCGUGACCACUAGUAGUACUCCUUGGAGUACAACGCAACCUAGAAUUGCCUUUUGUCGCUAGUAGUACGUACAUUGUUCCUUACAAGAAACCCCUAAUAAUGCAAGAAACCACUAAAAUGCCAAGAAACUACUACCACUUGCAUACGUGGUAGACUUAAGAUAAGACUACGUUAUCAACCAUUGUACAUGCUCUUACCAACCAGCCCUACCAAGAAAUGACUACUCUACAAAGUGCCGUUAUAGGCACGUUUCAACCCAUGGCCCUGUUUGGAUACAUUUGUUGUCAAUCUAACCCUGCCAUCCAAACACCACUUUGGUUAGAGUUAGUUCAGGGUUAGAAUCUAACUCAAACCUCUGACAGGGCCCAUGUCUCCCAUUAAGUCAACAUCAUUCGACCGGGCGUUAUGACUUGUGGGACCUACAUGUCAGUCUGCACAAAAAUCCCCGAGUGAUCUCCUACCUCCGGCCCGUCCACCUAGCCAUCCUCGGCCAUGGGACGCAGCUACCGCCGCCGGCAGAAGGUGAGGUCAAAACCGCCGGUGGUGCGAAGCCCAUGUUGCGGCAGCCCGGAUGCCAGCUCCGUCCGGCGCUCGCAGCCGCUAGCUAGCCAAGAUAGCUCCGUCCAGCUGCUUGUCUGCAAGGUUUGCUAGCUAGAUUGGCACGGCAGCGCGGCAUCUUGCUCGUGCGCGCCGCGCUAAGGCCAGCCAUCUGGCUCGAGCGAAGGCCAUCGCGGCGGCUUGCUCGCUCGCGAGUCACGCUCGGGCCAACCUGCCAACCCGUGCGGAGGCCAGCGUGGCGUCCGGCCCGUCCGGCGGAGCGGCGGCCAACUCGCUCAUCACCGGCGCCACCAAUGAACACGCAUCAGUACUGUUUGAAGUAAUGUUCAGGAAAAAUAAUGAUUUGAGUGGGAAUAACAGGAUAGAAGGUCAGAUGUGGGUCCCUCAUGUCAACGGUCAAACAAAAUGUGUUGGUUUAAGCUGCCUCGUCAGCACGGACGUGUGGGCCAACCCUGUCAUAAAUGUGUUUAAACGAACCUAAUCGGUAGGAGUACUAGGUAGUAGUUUUGGCCUGGAUUAAGAAAUUUUGGGUAUGUUUUUGCUAUUUUUUGUACAAUAGAUUCUUCCUAGGGCUGGUUGAAAGUGGUAGUUUUUUGUUAAAUACUCUACAUAUUGUAAGUAGGAGUGAAAGUUAAGCUUUGGAAGCCAAUAAGCAAGGCUAGUUACAUAGCGCAUAUGUGUACAUGAUUGAAAGUAAAUAUCAACCAUGAGUGACUAAUAUCUUGAUGGAAAACUCGAAACUAUGGAAUACUAGGAAAAAAAUGCAUGGNNNNNNNNNNNNNNNNNNNNNNNNNNNNNNNNNNNNNNNNNNNNNNNNNNNNNNNNNNNNNNNNNNNNNNNNNNNNNNNNNNNNNNNNNNNNNNNNNNNNCAGUGGAGCGAGGGCAUAAUUUGUGUUUUGCUGUGGCAGAUUGGUUUGGGUAGCAAAGGCAUCCGAAAACACGUAGCUCGGCAUAGGAAGCGGGCAUGCGAUAAAGAAGCUCGUAUGGGAUGGAAAACCCAAUAGGCUGAGAAGGUCGUCGGUUUAGAAGAUAGGUAGCAGCAGCAAGAGCUUCAGCCCAAUAAGAGGAGGGCAUGUGGGCUUGGAAGAGAAGUGUACGAGUAAUAUCAUUGAGGGUGCGAAGAGCACGCUCGGCUUUUCCAUUUUGUGGAGAUGUGUAGGGACAUGAAAGGCGAAGAUGGAUGCCGUGACCAGUAAAGAAGGUGGACAAUGUGGAGUUGACAAACUCAGUGCCAUUGUCGGCUUGCAUGGCAACAACGGGAAGGUCAAACUGUGUGCGUGCAAAUGCCACAAAGUUAGUAAUCACAGUGGUUGCAUCUGACUUAUGGCGGAGAGGAAAUGUCCACAUGUAGUGGGAGUAAUCAUCGACAAUAACAAGAUAGUAUUUUAAACCAUAAUUACUCAGAAUAGGAGAUGUCCACAAAUCACAAUGAAUUAACUGAAAAGGCACCACACUAAAAGUUUUAGACCUAGAAAACGGCAAACGAACAUGCUUGCCAAGUUGACACGCAUGGCAGACUGAAACAGCUGCAUUAUUACAAGGAAUAGCAAACUAUUUUGAUAAAUGUGACAUAGCGUCACGACCUGGAUGACCUAAUCGACGAUGCCAUAGCUCGGUGGAGUCGGAUGAUGCGAGGAGUCCAAAAGUAGAUGAUGGGUUGGCGGCGGCGGAGACGGUGUAGAGAGGAGGGAGGUGGGCAAUAUAUUUCAACACUCCCCCUCACGUCUAGGCUAUUUUAGUCCUUAGACGUGGGAUCGAUGUAGGCCGCAGAAUCGUUUUAUUUAAUACUGCGUUGGCAGGGUCUUGAACUCAAGACCUCUUGGCUCUGAUACCAUAUUGAAUUCAUGCACCAGCCAACUCAUCCAAAAGUCCGAACUAAUGGAGGGAGGUGGGCAAUAUAUUUCAACAACAAAACCAUUGACAGUACGACAGUAAGAAGCAUUUAGGCAAUCUCAACUUAGAUAAGUUCUGAUUGACAGGGGAUGUUGAAAUACUUUUUAUAGUUUGUAUUCCAUAGCAUGUGUGGUUGUUGUAAUCCCGGUGAUUGGCUUGACGAUUGGUCCGAGCUGCAAACUCUCCAGCCUAGCUUUUACAGGCAUGGGUACUAAAUCUCUCCGUUGGUCCAAGCCUCCAACUAGGCCAUUCCAAAAUCCACCGCUGCUCUUCAGAGUGUUUAGUUAAUGUCUCCUGCCUGCUUGCGUCGGCUUUGCCCAUCCUGUGUAUCACCGUGCCUAGGUAGUAGCCUAGUAGGUACACAUGCUGAAUCCUACUCCCUCCAUUCCAAUCAACAAGAUGUGCACGCAUACCAAAUUCAACUUUGGCCAUAGAUUAGACCAACCAAAUAUAGAUGAUAUAUGAUCAAAUUAUACCGUUGAAUUUGUUUUAAAAAGAAGUUUUCAGUGGUAUAAUUUUCAAGUCGAAAGUAUAUAUAUAUAUUUGACUUAAUUUAAGAUCAAAGUUGAAUUUGGGAAAGCAUGCACGCCUUGCCUUAUUCAUUGGAAGGGGGGAGUAUGACAUAAGAUCACCAUAGUCUGAACGGCAUGUCAAUCUUGCCGCCACCACCGUUCAACUUGACCGAGUUCGACGAAAUUAGAUUAGUUGUGAAAUUUGGUGAAUGAUAUGUUUGUGAACUAUAUUGUUCCGGCACGACAAGUUCUAUGACUAAGAACACAAUUUGUCAAGCCACAUUACAUCUGCUAAAUUUAGGAAGAUCAUAUCCCAUAUUGUGAGUUUUGUAAAGCAAUAAUUAUAUUUUAACUAGACCAUCAUACCCUCUCCUCCGAAGAGGCACAUCUUAAUCUCAAGCGUUGAUUUUAUUAGAGGGGGUGUACUGAAGUGGAUCCCAAAGUUAUAUUAUCCCAAAUAAAAACUCCACCUACAUAGCAAUACUUUAAAGAUCAGUUCUUUGAACAGUCAAAACGAACAUUAUCGGCAUGCUAAAAUUAUUGGCAGCUAUCUUUCCUUUUGGGGUAUGCUCUGCUGGCUCCAACAUUGCCGCAAUGGCAGCCCCAGUUUUCCUCUUCGGUCUUCACCCUCCCCUCUCUUCUAUUAUUUCACCCUCCCCUAGUUAAUUUCCUAUUAGCUAGGUGGGACCCCUGUGUGACCUAAUUAACUUAGAUUAAUUACCUAUUAACUUAACACUGUCCCAAUCAGCCUCUAUCAGUUGGGCCACCCUCCAAAUAAUUUGUUAAGCUAGUUACAAAAAUAUCAAAGCACCAAACAUGGGCCCAUGUGACUUUCAGGCCGGGUCCCACUUGUCAUCUACUAUGAGCUUGUCCCACAUGUAGGUCACAUAUGGAGAGUCUUUUUUCCAACAAUAGUCCCACAUGUCAGUGGCAAUGCACACAUGGGCAACCAUGUCCAGAAAACAUCUAGAAGAUUGUCAAACCUGUUUGACCGGGGUAUUUUCAUAACACCAUCUAACGGAAGAGGGAUAUAGUUGAGCAUCAUUUUUAAUUAGGGGGUAAAAAUGAGGUCGGGCCAAAGUUAGGGGGAAAUGGAAUUGGCCCUCUGUUAAAACAAACUUGCAAGUGAGAAACGAGGCCUGGAAGCUGAUGACUUGGGUGCUGUUGUGUUUAAUGUGACAGUCCGAUGCCGUAGGGCACGUAGUGUGCUACUACUGUCGUGCCGGGCACCGCACCAUUUGCAGUCGUGCCAACACCCACUGCGGCCAGCUGGACAAGGUGGUUGGCGCCGCCAAGGUGCCAUGCCCCUACAAGGCGUUCGGCUGCAAGCGCUACGUGGUGUUCCAUGAGGCCGCGGACCAUCCGCGCGCGUGUGCCAGUGCGCACCCUGCACCUGCCCGGAGUCUGCAGGUGCCUUCGUGGGCUCCCGCGCAAUGCUGAUGCUGGUCGACCACUUCGCCACCGACCACCAGCGCCCGGCCGUCACGGUCCGUUACGGCCGGUCUUGGAGCCUGAGCUUCUCCCUGUCGCACGGCUGGCACCUGCUCGUCGAGGAGGAGGACUGCAACGUGUUCCUCGUCUCCCUCCGCCCGCUCGGUGAGGGCACCGCCGUGUCAUUGAUGUGCAUCAGGCCGGACGGCGAGGCCGAGACGGGGCCCCGGUUCUGGUGCAAGCUCUCCAUGGAGCGCCGUGGCGGCGACAAAGACUACAACCUAGUCCUCAUGACCUCUCGCCAGUGAGCAGCAACGCGCUGUCCAUGGGUGCACCGGGGUUGGGCCAGGUAAUGUUCUUGGUGGCGCCCCAGCAGCUGCUCUCCGGCGACACGGUCACACUCAGUGUCCGGAUCGAUUUGAUCCCACCCGCCGCCGUCGCUCCCAAGUCAACUACACCACAUGCUAGGGUGCCGAGGAGGAUGCAGUGAAGUAUGUGUUUGAUCUCGUUCCUAUUAUCCAUAUUUCUUUUGUGGAAAUGUUAUCCAUAUUUAAUGUAUGAUUAGUGCAUGCUAAACUAGAUGAUUAGUAUGAAUGUAUGGUUAGAAAGUAGCAAACCUACUAGAUCAUGGACACACGCUGCAAGUCCAAACCACACAUGUACAAGCCAAUCAACCUAACCAAUCAAGAUUAUGGUAACAAGUUCAGUAGUAAACUAGUAAUGCAGCUAAGCAGGGAAGGAUUACUACUGGGUAUGGAUGAUUAAUAUGAAUAUACCUUCACCUUUUGUUCUGAACAAAGGCCUAAAUAGUAGUAACGCAGAACCUGGUUUGUAUUUGAUCCGAGUGAAGUGCAACCAAUUGAAAUCUGAAGAUCCUGCACCAGGAUUUAUUCUUUUCUUUAUAACCUGCAGCCGAGUAUGUAUGGCAAAUUAUUCAUUUUGUGAAUCGUAUUGUUCAUGUUCAGAUUGUUCACUGUUUUGUCCAUAUGAAAGGAGCUUCCGUAAAUCAUUUUUCUUAGAAUUCCGUGAGUAAGAUGCAUGUAAAUGUAUCCUUCUGAAAAACUAACAUCAUUUUUCAUUUUUGUAUCUGAGAUCAUUUUUUUUCUGUGAGCAGGCCGGACCCGAUGCUCAAAGAACCCUAAAAUUCAGACCGAAGGUGAUAAUGUGGACAAAGUCACAUUUCAAAGAGUCAUCAGAGACGGGCCAAGUUGUAUGUUAUUGUGUAUCAAACUGGGGACAGAGGAUCAUCCUUCUUUCAAAGUUUGUAUUCAUGGUUCACAUAAAUCGUCGUACGUUUUGAUGUAAACCUUUUGGUACUCGGUGACUUUAAUCUGUUAUGUUUAAUAAAAGUUUUUUUGUAGGACGAGCUACACGGCACCCACUAUCAUAACCGUCCAAAUGAGGCUCCGGUGCGUGAAGAUUCGUGCCAGAUACAACUACAACAAGGAUUGCAGGCCUACCUCAACAGUAACCACAUGAGUAAAAAACUGAAUGGCUGGCUAGCUCAGUAUCGAUUCUGACACCGCAAUUGCAUGGCUACAGUACAUGCCAGAUAAAAAAUUCUCAUACUUCUCUCUCACACAAACGAAGCUCUUCUCCUUUUGUCAAUUUGUCAAUAUAUGGUUGUCGUUGACGGAAAGCGACGUACUAUUUCGGGAAUAAAUUAGCAGGAGCGUACGUCCUAUAACAUAUAUUGUUGGAUACUGUUCCUCUGCCUAAACAAACAAGAUUAAAGAGAAGAAGAAUAUAUAUCUUGCAUGUGUUAGCUUAGUUGCAUCGCUGCCAUGCCUCGUUUGGGGCUACUGUUUAUGACAUUGCAUUUGCAUAUGCCUCUGACUUUCACAGACUGUUCCUGUGUCAUCCCUUACAUGCCCAUCUUUUCUCUCUGCCUUUAUGCUCUCCUUUCUCUGUCAUCCCGUGCAUACCCCUCUCUCUCUUUAAGGCCAACUCCACCGCGCGACCCUAUCCUGUCCGGCCCUGUCCGUUUGGGGCAAAAGGGACAAACGAGGCGGCCCAGCGCGCGACGGACGGGACCCAUCCUGUUCGUUUUGUGUCCGGGCCGACCCAUUUUGAGCGCAAACUUGCAUCGGGUUUGGGUCGCGGCGGACACCAAACGGACGCGCGCCUCGUCCGCGCCGGGGCCGCGUGGCAGGCGGCCACCUACCUCCCACCCGCCAACAUCAAUGCGCACGAGCGGGCGGCCCCACCUGUCAUCCGCACGUCGAACGGUCGCCGUCCUUCUUUAAGUGGGAAGCGUGGAUGGGUCGUCGUCCACACUGCCCCACGCCACCCCGCGGCUUCCUCGAAACCCGACAGCGCCUGCUCCCAAACCCUAGCCAAGAAACUCGCCGGCCGGGCGUCCGCAACCAUGGGCCUCUGGAACUACGGCCGGAAAGGCAAGCGCGACGGCGAGGCUGGUUCCUCGCCGGGGCGCCGCCGCGGCCCGGUGAAGAAAGAGGAGCCCGCGUCGCCAUCGCCACCAUGCCGGGCCCCCGCGCCGCCCGCCUUCUCCAUCGCGCCCACGUCCGCCGGCGAGCGCGACCGGCAUUACAUCCGCGCGUCGGUGUGCCGCCGUUAUUGGGAGACGAGGACGCCGCUCCCCUGGAGUGACGUCCAUCUCCCCAAUAACAGACAUCUCUCCGCCGACCGGGUCCCCAUCCCGCCGGUCCCGACGAGCGGUCGUGCGCGCGACGAGGAGAUCGAGCGCCGCCGCCGCCUCCUCCCCUACGACCUCUUCUACGACGCCAGGUACGCCCCCGACUCCGGGCUCUGGGACACCUGGUUUCAUGACGAGCACGACACCAGGCGCGCGUCGUUCUUCUCUGGCACCUCGACGGGGACGCGGCGGCCACGACAGGAGCGCGCAGCGCCUGCUCCCUGGAGCGCGGGCGUAGGCGGGUGCGCGACGUCACGCCCACGCCGUCGCCUUCGCCGUCUCCAUCGCCACCACCACCUCCUCGCAUGACGGAGGAGGAGGAGGCCCGUCUCGUUGCGCGCGUCAUGGAGGACUCCAUGCGCACGCACGGCGAGCGCCAGUGGGAGGGCCUCGAGGAGAUGAUGGCCCGCUCCGCCGCCGGCGAGGUCGCCAUCCCCGAGCUCGAGAUGGUGGCGAAGGAGGAGGUGGUGGAGGAGCCGCCGGUGGCCGCGUUCCACCCGGCCCUGGUUGGCCAGGGGUGGGGCUGGUCGUGCACGGCAGAAGAGAUGGCCGACGCCGUGGGCGUGAACUGGCGCCCCACGCCGCCGCGGUCACCGGAGCGGGAGGCGUCGCCGCGGGUGGAGGUGGUGCAGGCACCUCCCGCCGUCCAGCCCGCCCCCAUCUACCACGCACCGCCGGCCCACCUCUGGACGCUGCCGGCCUACGUCGACCUGGUCAGCGACGACGAUGACACCGGCGGCCCGUGAGCGGCGUCGGCCACGGCAUCGAUGGGCGCGGCAGGAGCAGGAGCGCACGGGAGGCAUUUUCUUUUUUGUUUUAUGUUAAUUACGAACUUGGCCGUUUAGGUGGACUGAUAAACUGGGCCGUUUUGUGGCCGUAACCCCUAUAUAUAUGGUUUAUGUUUUUUUAACUUAGUUUAUUUACUUUUUUAGUCAUUUCAUUUAGUUUUUAAACUUUUUUAUUCACGUCCACCCCAGACAGGUUUUGGGGUGCGGCCGCGCGUUGGGCGCACCCACGACCCGUCGGACAAACGCGGACAUGGGCGAACCCAUCGGCGCCCCAAAGGGACAAAAUCCGACCAAACCAGACGUCCGUUUGGUUUGGCACGCUGGAGUUAAAAUCUUCUGAAAAAACAAUUGCACAACAACGUUCUCUCUCUCUCAAUUUUGCCUGCGCAGACUCUCUCUCUCUACUUCAAUUACUGGCAACCUCACGUGGCUACAGUGCCUGCAUGCGGACAGCAGAGAGAGGGCUGGUCCACACAGAGAGCACAGGUCAGUAACUGCAUGCAGUCCGCACCUGCUAAUGACACUACAGGGAACAGCUGGCGCCCGUGAUGCUCCUUUUCAGCACAAAUCUCGAAGCAGGCCAACGGGCCAGAUAGUAGGUACCGUGGAGGUCGGGCUAGGAAGAAACUUUGUGUUAAUAAAGUGGUUGUUUGUAUCACACGAUGUAUCAACAACAUUUGUGUCCAGCAUAGCGUAAGAUAUAAGCUUCGACUUUGGUUGUAAAUUCAUCUGUGAACACAAGUAAAAUGUAGCUUUGACAUACGAAAACAUAAUUUUUUUUGAAGUUUUUCACAAUGCAGUGGGCCUCACACAUUCAGUCCAUUAGUUUCAACCUCCAACCUGUUAAUUGGUUACGUCACAGGUUGCGACAAUUUUCAGCUACUUAGUUUCUGAAGUCCCAAACUACAGAGGUUUUUUUUCGAACUGCGGAGGCUUUGUGCCUUUCCCAAAGUUUAUUGAAAAUACCACCUGAUAAUGCGCAUCCAAAACAUGUUCGCACUCUUUUUUGUGACAUUUACUGGAAGUAUCAGCUUGGAAAGAGAUUCUAUUGCAGAAAUGGACAUGCAAAUCAAGAGCAGCUUAACCAAACCAUCACUUGCAUUGUAUGCAACAGAAAGAUGGAUGUCAUCUGCCUACAUUAUCUGAUAACCUACAUUUCUACAAUCUCUAAAAGUUUAAUGACUAACACACAUAGGUAAAACCUUAAUACCAUAACUUCACGAGGUACCCAAGUUGUCCAGGACAAAAGGAAAAAUAUUCCUGAGAUAGACGGCGCAGCGCUAGCAGCGUCACACAUACAAAUUGUGUUCACUAAAAACGCGACAACAGUGGUUUAUAAGGACACAGGAGGCAAACUAGACCAACAACAUCAAAAUAGUUUCAUGGGGGAUCAUAUCCAGUGACCAGUUGACAACCUAGCUUAGUUUGCAACGCCAACCGAUAGGCUUUUUUGAAGACUCGUUAUUGCUUGUUGAGGCAGUUGAUUCUUCUGCUGGCUCGAUGCUACGGGACCUCUUGCACUCGACUGCAAGCUCUACAACAGCUUUUUACUACCUUUACGAGUCUGGUCGAGCCUAGGACUUCUCCUAGGUGUUUCGGUAUGGUAGUUCUUCUUCUUCGUAGGACGUCUCCCGUACUUCCUUAGCGGCAUUCCAUUAUCUCUUUUAAAUGUGAGAGCCUUCGUAGUCAUCAAAGUGGGACCUGUAGUGAUAUCAACUUAUCUCUAUCAUGCUGUCUUUGUUAAUUCACAAUAGGGAUUGAUGAUGCAAUAAUUGGUUGAUAUGCAACAUUUUCAUGAUGAUCACACAACUUAACAAAGAAUGUGAUAGAGAAGAGAGUAAUUACUUGGGAAUGGUAGUGUUGUUGUUGGGGAAUUCUGUGUUGCAGUGAUAUCAACAAGACCCUUUUCCGCAACCGAGGAUGGUGUUGCAGUGGUACCUGUCAUAGUAUUUCUGGACUGAGUAGAGGGCCCUUUUUCAAUCUGGUCUGGCUGUAAUGAAGGUGGAUGAGCCGUCGAAGUGGGGCCUGCAGCAAUGUAUCAACUUCUUAUCUCUAUCAUGGUGCCAUUGUUAAUUGAAAACAGCGAUUGAUGUUGCAAUGGUGGUUUAAUAUGUACUAUUUUCAACACACAACUUAACAGAAAAUGGGAUAGAGAAGAAUGUAAUUACUUGGGAAUGGUACUGCCAUUGUAGUGCAAUUCUGCAUCGUAGUUGUAUCAAGAGGCCCGUUCUCCUUCAACGUGGACAAUGUAGUAGCUUGCAUACUAGUAUUUCCAUACUCGGCAGCUUCUAGCAUUCCAUCACCAGCACCUUCGACAAUGCAUAGGAGUACCAAUCAGCACCCACUCAGCUGUCUCGGGUGGCAAAGCUUUCAACUAGUGAGACUCCCAAAAAACACAGCACAAAUUUGACCGACCAUUAAUAUCUUUUAUACUAGUACUACUUUUUAUGUUCCCAAUACAUCUACUACAUGCAGCUAUUUCAAAAUUCAAGCUUGACAAAGAAGUUAACUUUUUUUUUGGCUGUGAGACAAGCAGUUAAGUUAAUUGUUAGUCAAACAUUACUUUUAGAAUAGAGUAAAAUUCACUCACGGUACUCGAACUUGUACUGCGAGUUCACUUUGGUUAUCCUACAUAGAAAGUCGGUCAAUACGGUCACUAUAUACAAGUUAAGGUGAUUAUACGGUCACUGACCCGCCAUAUAGCUUCGUAUUUGUGCUGACUGGUCAAACACGCCCUCUUUUCCUCAUGUGGGACCUACUUGUCAGUGAAUGAAGGAGAAAUGAGGAGAAUAAAAUUCUAGGGAAGUGGGGAUUUGAACCUCGAGCUUCACACUAAAGUUACCCCGCGCUAGCCGCCCGAACACAGAAUAGUUGGCCGCUGCAAACAGUGUGAGCAAUUUUUAUACAAUAAUGGUCACAUGCAUGCAUGCACACGGACGACGCACGGCGCGCAUAGAGCUCUUUUUUUUUCAUUUUUUUUUGAGAAACCACAUAGAUCGAGCUCCUUUUUUUCUUGAGGGAGCACAUAGAGCUCCUGCAUCGUUGCACUUACCAGAUAAUAUAGAAGCGGUGCUUUUGUGCACAUAAAAUUAAUUUUUUUAUGGAUACUAAAAUUAUAUACUGUAGUUGCAAUUAUUUUCCCAUUGCAAUUAGUUCUUCUUGGAAAAUUGUUUUGUGUGCUUUUUUUUGCAGAAAAAAAUUGUUUUGCGUCAAUAAAUAUUUUCUCACAUUUUUUUCGCAGAUGCCUUACAAACUAUUAUACAUUUGUUUUGUAUGUAUAUACAAUUCUCAUGUUUCUUCAUGAAAAUUUGUUUUGUGUGUAUAAAUAUGUACAUACAUUCUAAAGACAAACAUUUGAACGAAAAAAAGAACUACAUGCUCGAAUUUCAUCUCAAAAUCAUCUUCCAUCUCCGACAAAAAUUGCAUUUUUUUAUAUCUGUGAACCACGGCAACCACAGCGAGCAAAGCAAAAUAUAUUGCGUGUACGUCAUGUGUUGCGUGCGUGCGUGCGUUCUUAUUUGUAUAAAAAAACUGUCGCUCUGCAUUAAGAUACAAAACAUCCGGUGUUCAGUUGGCUAUCGCAUGCACGUUGUGUACCGGUUCGAAUCCCCCGCUCCGUCAGAAUUUUAUUCUCCUAUUUGAUUCUUUCCUCCACCCAUUGACAGGUGGGUCUCACGUGGGAGAAGAGAGAGAACAUGGUCACGUAGCAUGUUUGCCCGGUCAACAUGGAUAAAAUACGACGCUAUACGGCAGGUCAGUGACCGUAUAAUCACCUUAACUUGUAUAUAGUGACCGUAUUAACCGACUUUCUGAUUCCGUCGCGAAGCAAUGCGAGCAUUACAAAGGGGUCUGCCCGAUCAUACCACCCUUCUUGUUGACUCCGGCGACGCGACUCACAUUGGCAACAAAAGCCGUUCAAACUAUUGUGGUUUAAAAAAACUAUCAGGCUGGUCAUAGUGGGAAGUAACUUAGACUAGUAACAUGCAAAUGUUACUAGUCUAUGUUACUACCUCUAUAGUGCAUAUCAACAUAGACUAGUAUCAUAGAUGGUCUCAUUUAUUGUUAUGCAUGACAGAUAGUAGCAUCACAUUUAUUAUGUUAUGGUAUCUACCUAUGUUACUAUAACCAUAUCUCUCUUCUUUAAUUGCCUGCCAUAUAAGCAUGUUUGUGAGUCCCAAGUGCAUGAUACUACUUAGACUAGCCACAAUGGGUAGGAACAUAGAGUAGUAACAUGAGUAUGUUACUACCUCUAUAGGGAGUAACAUAUGUGUGGUAACAUGCAACACUUCAUUUAUUAGGCUAUAGACUCAUCUUGCCUUGAUAUGUGUGAUGUUACUCAUACUAGUAGUAACUAGCUAUGUUACCACAUGACUCUUUCUUCAUUUAUUGUUUGCCACAUCAUCUAUUUUAUCUAGAUAUGUGUGAUGUUACUACCUAUGUUACUCCCAUUGUGGGUAGUCUUAGGCUGGUUCUAAUGCUAGCAUCAUACCUAGUACUCCCUCCUUUCCGGUUUAUAGGGCUUAUCUCAAAAUUUUAGUUUUUUCAUUUUAUAAGGCUCAAUUUGGUUGUUUUCCAUCACAUGUUCAGAUUCCAGGUGCAUUAAAUUAUUACAUGCAAGCAUUAAGAGGAAAUUGACCAAUGCAUGUACUUUAUGCAUGCAUGCAUGCAUUGUAAUUAAUGCAUUGAUAAACAUAAUUUUUUGAGGAAAACAAGAGCAUUAAUUAGGUGCUUUUGCAAAACUAUAAAAAGUAUUCCACCACUCACCAUCUACCUUGAUUGGUGAGAUUUUUGAAUUGAGCCCUAUAAACCGGAAAGGAGGGAGUAUCAUGCAUGUCAACUAGGCAAUUUUGAUGAUGUGUCAUAGAAUUAAGUGAAGAAAGAGAGAGUAGAGUAUCAUAUCAUGAUACCGUAUCAUAAUAAAUGUUAUGUUACUAUGUGUCAUGCAUGAUAAUAAAUAAAGUACUACAUAAUACUAAUAUAUGAUACUAUGCAUUAGGGAGGUAGUAUCAUACACUAGUAUCAUAUGCAUGAUACUAGUAUAUGAUACUCUCCAUUACAACCAGCCUUAUGUUACUCCCACUAUGGCCAGCCUCAUGGUUUGAAAGGGAGGACUUCCUAGAAUUGGUAGCCAGGGAGUGGGGUAAAGAAAACCGAGGAGGAGUCUAAUGUCGAAAAGUGGCAGUAUAAGAUCUGGCAUUUAAGAAAUUUUUUACAGGGUUGGGCUAAAAAUGCUAGUGGGAUUUAUAAAGUGGAAAAGAAAAGACCUUUCAAUCUCAUCAACGAGUUUGAUAAAAGAUUAAACAAAUCCUCAGAAAAAAGGAGAUAGAAGCGGCACUAAGAGGUAAGGUACGAUAAGUAGUACAAAGGGAUAAUAAUACUUAGUUUCUCCAUCCGAUUGCCAAUGAAAAACACAGGAAAAAAUUGUCUAACUUGAACAAGAUGAGGGUACAAUAGUAGGUCCAAGAACCUUAAGUUGUAUAUAUUGAAUUUCUAUUAUGAAAAGCUCUUUGGGGCUUCGGUAGAGAAUUUUGUGUUUUUAGAUGAGGGGCCAAUGGAGGAUAUCCCACAGCUUUGUGCGAAGAAGAAUGAGGUGCACAAUACUCCUUUUAUGAAAAAGGAGGUGUUUGAGGCUAUCGCACAAAUGAAGAAUAAUAAGGUGCCAUGUUGGAAGUGUUGGGAGAUUAUUAAGGGUGACUUGAUGCCCAUGAUGCAUGAUCUUUUUAAUGGCCAGCUUCAGCUUAACUUUUGGACUAUUACAUUGCUACCUAAGAAGGAUGUAGCAGUUUGCAUUGAGCAUUUCAGACCGAUUUGUUUGAUCAAAGUUAGCUUUAAGAUUUCUACCUAAGUGGGAACUAAUGAUCUCACGCAGGUUGCACAUUCUAUGGUUUAGCCGACUCAGACUGCUUUCAAGCAUGGGCAACACAUUCUAAAGGGUGUUGUGGUUCAACAUGAAACCUUACACCAAAUUCAUUUCAAAAAAAUUGGAUGGAGUUGUUUCCAGAAUGGAUUUUAAGAAGGCUUACUAAUAAAGUUAAGUGGCCAUUUCUACAACAAGAUUUGCGUAGGAAGGGUUUCAACUCGGCCUAGAGGAAGCAGGUCGAGUCCUUCAUACAAGGAGGCAGUGUCGGGGUCAAGGUAAAUGAGAAUGCAGGUCAUGAUUUCCAGACAUAAAAGGGAUUGCAUCAGGGUGAUCCGAUGUCCCUUACUCUAUUCAAUAUUGUUGCAAGGCAAUCCUAUUUGGUAGAGCCAAAGAGGACGAUCUGGUAGGGGGGCUCAUCCCACUUCUCGUGGACGGGAGUGUCUCCAUCCUACACUAUGAUGAUGAUACUAUAAUUUUCAGGGAGCAUGAUAUGUCCAAAGCGAGAAAUACGAAGCUAUUUUUAUGUCUCUUUGAACAACUGUCUGGGCUGAAAAUAAAAUUCCAUAAAUGUGAACUGUUUUGCUUUGGAUGCGAUAAGGAGGAACAUGAAAACUACAGACAGUUGUUUGCCUAUGAGAUUGGGUCCCUCCAUUUAAUUAUCUUGGGAUUCCAAUUCAUGACAUAAAGAUAACAAAUAAAGAAUAAAAAUGUAUUGAAGAUUGUUUUAAGAAAAACUAAGUUGUUGGAAGGGAAAACUUAUAUCUUAUGGGGUAUGCUCGUACUUAUCAGCUAUAUAUGUGCUUAUGAGCAUAUCGAUGUUCAUGUUAUCUUUCUUUGAAAUACCCUUAAGGUACGGAAGAGAUUGGACUUCUAUAGGUUGUGGUUCUUUUGACGAAGUGACGAGAAUAAAAUAAAAUACAGUCUAGUUAAGUGGAGCAUAUUGUGUAGGCCAAAAGACUAAGGAGGUUUGGGGAUUGAAAAUCUAGAAGUGGAAGAUAAGUGCCUACUUAGUAAAUGGUUUUAUCGGUUAUCCUCUAGGGAGAAGGGGGUGUUGCUAUAGUUAUGGUUUAAAAGAUAUCGACACUCCAAAACUUUAGUGCAAGUAAUGGCACAGCCAAAUGAUUCCCCCUUUUGGAAGGGUUUGAUGACAACUAAGAUAACAAUCUUCAACAAUGGUAAAAUUAUUACUAGGAAUGGGCACACAACUAGAUUUUUUAAGGAUACUUGAUUUGGGGAGAUGCCUCUAGAUCUGCAUUAUCAAACGCUUUAUAAUAUUGUGCAGUGUAAAGACGCAUAUUUGUGAGUACAAUAUUAUGUUCGGUUCCCUUAAAUAUACAAUUCAGGCGGGCACUAGUUGGGAAAUGAUGGAUCGAUGGUUGCAAGUUUGUAGGUUGAUAGAGGUCAACUUUUCUAAUGAGCCAGAUGUAUUCCGACGGUCCCUUUCUGAUACGGGCAUGCUUUCUGUUAAAUCUUUGUAUGUGAACUUGCUUAAUAAUGGACCAAUCCGGUCUAUCCAUAUCUAGAAAACAGAGGUUCCUUUAAAAAACAAGAUUUUUAUGUGCCUUGUGAUACCAACGAAGUUAAACUUGGUAAAACAUACUCCCUCCGUCCGGAUUUAUUAGGCCUAAAGACAACUUCUCUUAGACCAAGGCACAUAGUAAUUUGUUCACAUUAAUUCUUCUACUCCACUCCCAAUGCACUCUCUCACAUGCAUGCAACCAAUGAAAAAUAACACAUGAAAUGUAUUGAUUUUCCAGUCAUGUCACCAAUAACAAUGACUUUCAAUGCAACCAAUAAAAUAGUUGCAUGCAUGCACCUUUCCAAAGCGGGGCCUUAUAAAAGGGGACAUGCUUGUGAUGUUGAGAGGCCUAAUAAACCCGGACGGAAGGAAUAGGUGAGAGGGGAGUAAACGGUGUUGUGCUUAUGACCACAAGGGAACGAUUCAACAUUUAUUUCUCGCAUUCCAACUAGCCAAGCUAUUGUGGCAAAAAAAUGCAUGUGUCCUUUAAUGUACCUCCAACUAAUAGUAUUCCCAAUCUGUUUGGUAACUGGUUAGGUGGGGUUGAGCCUAAUAUAGUGGCACAAAUUCGCAUGGAAGUUUGUGCAUUACUUUGGGCUAUCUAGAAUUUUCGGAAUGAUUGUGUGUUUAACAGGACAAAUACCAUUACUCCCUCCGUUUCAAAAUAGAUGCCUUACUUUGUACUCCAAAAUACAUGUGUCCUUUGGGUCAUCUAUUUUGGAAUGGAGGGAGUACUUUUUACAGGUUAUCUACCAACGUGUGGAUGAAUCCGUAUGUGAUCAUUACUAUACCAUGCAAAAAUGAAAGAGCUUAUGGUCUUUGGGUGCAACCUAUGGGAGACAGUAACACGGACUACAUACAAACAGUUUGGAUUGCGGUGUAACUAUAGGGUAGGUGUUUAUGCAUGGUGUCCUAUUUUCGCGGGUGUGGCUAUCAGUUUACUUUCUUGAUCUUGAUUAGCUACUGGAGAUAUUAAUUGUACUCCUACUUUGAUACUCAUUUCAUUUUAAUAAAUGAUUGUGUGCAUUGCUGGAUGCAGAGGCCGGGGUAAUCUUUCAACAUAUGAUGGGUUAACCAAAGUAUGGAUAUACAUACUACAAAACUAAGGGACUCUAUGAUUGGCAAGAUACCCAAUAUACUGGAAGAAAAAAACCGUAGAAAGUUGGGCGAUGACAUUUUUUGCAUUGAAAUGAUCUCCUCGAAGUGUAUAUCUUGUAUGCCUCCAGAUUUCCAUUCUUAUGUUCAUAUCAACAACAACUUGAAAAAAAUAAGAAGAUUUACACUUACAUAUUUUACAUUUAUUAGUGAUCAGUAUGAAGCUUGAAUUUAUUAUUAUAGAAAAUAUCUGAGAAUAUUAAGUUUAAAUUUAAGAAAGUAUUGGUGUGAAAUAAAUUCAUCAGUGGUUUGGCAAUGAUGAGCAUAGUUAAUUAUUCAACAACUGAUGGCCAUAUGAUGUUGCAACAUCAUCUAUAGCAAAACCUAUAGCCGGCAAGUAUAAUACUUAGAUAUAAAUAUGUACUACUUAUUUACAUGACCCACCUCUCUCUUUCACAAAAUCUCUAUGAGCACGUGUUGAAGCAGGUUGUUAAUCUGUAGCCCGCUUCUCUUCUCUCUUCUCCAACUCAUCAAUCCGUUUAUUUUUAUUCUGCAUAUAAAUUUUGUUUGAAGUCAAACUACAUAAAGUUUGACCAAAUUUAUGUUAAAAGAUAUUAACAUUUAGUUAUAUAGUAUGAAAAAUAAUUUCAUGACACAUCUCAUGAUAUUGAUCUCAUAUUGUUAAUGUUGAUAUUUUUUUCUUAUAUAGUUGGUCAAAAUUUACAAACUUUAACUUCAAACAAAUUUUAUAUGCAAACUAAAAAGAAAAGAAGGAAGUAUAUUGUUUGUAGUUUUGUAAUACACCUACUUCACCUUAUUAUAUUUGCUCUUAUGUCUAGGUGCACCUACUGGUGCACUAGACGCACCUGACCUCGAAUUCUGCUAUCUUGGACGGGUUGAUGCGCCCUUCGCCGACUUCGUCUGGAAUAGCUUUGUCUCCUUGAAGGUUUGAUUCUUCGGCUAUUCUUGCAACCCAGGCCCAUUAUGCCCCAUUGAGAAAGAUAUUAUAUUUGACGAAUUUGUGUUUGCUCACGGACCCAACACAAACCUCCAAAAAAUUAUAAAGCAUGCUCCAUAUGGCUUUUGGUGAGUCUGCUAGAUUUGCUCUAAUUUUGAUCGCCUAUUUCACCCAAAAAAUAUAAAUUACAUGACACAUAAAAUGUAUACUACAAUGUUGAAUAUGAAUCUAAUGGUUUAUAUUUUAGUAUAAAACACACAUUUGUUGAUCACAAAAAUUGGACUCAGAGUACGAGGCAGCCUUGCAUUUGAAGUCAAUCCUCACAAAGUGUGCUGUGUUCAGAAGAGUAUGCAUGCAGUAGUACUAGGCGAGUUAAUGCCUAUCACGCGGGUGGCUGAUGGGCGCAUAGUAGUAAUUGUGUGGAGCAAGUCCCCACGAAGUGUUUUGUGCUGUUUUCACACGCCACAUCGUUUACCCCUUUGGCUUCUACUAGUACUGCGUGCAUAAGUUGAGCCGUGUUGCAUUUUCUGCUUGGCCUUCCACCUUUGCCAACCAUGGAGAACGGCGGCGAGCCGAGUAACAAGAAAUCGAGGUUGCAGGAGGAGCAGCCCAUGGCGGUGAAGCAGGAAGGGCUAGAGAGGAGGCAGAGCCAAGGCGGCGAAGGUGCGCUGUUGGCGGUGGAGGAAGCCAUGCAGGUUCCAUGGGUGGCCGCGGAGGUGAACCCGCUCUUCUAUCUCUGCUUUGCAUGCCAACUUCCCCUCAGGCCUCCUGUGCACCAGGUAAUGCAUGUCUAGCAGCUAGUCGGCGAUUCUUCUCCAUCGAUACAAUAGCUUGAUUUGUGACUGACUGCGUGCAGUGCGAGGGUGGCCACAGGGUGUGCGGCAGGUGCCAUGGCGACCGCUGCACGGCGUGCGACCCGCCGGCGGCCUACAUCCCCUUCCCCUUCAUGGACGACGCGCUCGGCGCCGUGCAGCUGCCGUGCUGCUACAAGGCGGACGGCUGCGGGAGGAAGCUCAUGUACCACGAGGCCGCCGACCACGCGCUGCAGUGCGCCUUCGCGCCCUGCCACUGCCCGGGGCACGGCUGCAGCAUGUGGGCCUCCCCGCCGGCCCUCCUCGACCACAUCGCCGCCGCCCACUCCUGGCCGGUCACGGAGGUCAGCUACGGGACCCCGUUCAGGAUCGCCGUGCCGCCUCCGUGGCGCGGCGGCGGCACGCACCUCCUCGUCGAGCGGAACGACCCGCGCCUGUUCCUCGUCACCCUGUCCGAGUUCGGCGAGGCCACCGCUGUGUCGGUGGUGUGCGUGCGGGAGGGCACGGCGGCGGCGGCGCCCCGCUUCAGGUCCACGGUCUGGGCUGAGGUUGCGAGCAACACGGAGGAAAAUUUGUUUCGUCGUCUGUCCACGGUGCCGAGCAGCAGCAGCGGCAAUAUUCCCGGUGAAAGGCCGCCGGUGUGCCUCCUGGUGCCACCGGACUUUGGGAGCGAGAGCGAAGACCUCUUCCUCGGUGUUCGCAUUGACAAGCUCUGAUCCAUCCACGGCGCCAAGUCUCAUUAUAACCUUAUUAUAGGAAUGAUCCAUGAUAACCGUAAUCCAUCCGCCUUUUACUCUAGUAGUUGGUACUGGUAUGGUAGUACUAGCAGAAAAUGUCAGGUCAUGAACUGCUAGGCACGCGAUGCAUGUCUUUUGGGUUGCAUUUUCGAAUGGAAGCAGUGAUCAACAAUUCUUAUGUCGUGUCUGAUCAAGAUUAAUUAUAAUGUUCCCUCGCAAAAAAGGACUGGUGUGUUGCUUUUGUGUCCGUGUUGAAAGUUGUGAGUGUUUUUUCAAUCAAUGUGUUUACACAGGUCCAUCCUGGAUGGGUAGAAAUUAUAUGUUCUGCCUACGUAUCUUUGUUGAUAAACAAGAUGAUUAGUAUUCCAGAAAAAAAAACAAGAUGAUUAGAG
rnacentral:lncRNA from 1 species